AUGUGAUCACCUCCUUCCCAUCAAACCUAGGAUGUGAAGCCUAUAGGCGCAUGUGAUAGAGACUCCAUUCAACCUGAUUUAUUAUGGGUUUUCUCUGCCACUUUAUUGUACCAUUUUUGUUGUCAACCUGGACCUUGUGCUUGUGCUUAGCUUGCAGGUUUCCUGUUAUGACAGAAGUAGUUAAACGAGUUAAUCUAAUAAAUGUUAAUACACAUCAUUUUCUCGCUGGCACGAUGGAUUGUAUUACUAUGAUGCUCCUAAGUUGCGUAGAAAACCAAAAGUUGCAGCCAUGCAGCUGGGGUUCCUGUGCGUUUAAACUGUGUGUUGCUUAAAAAUACAGGUUGUUGGGCUCGGGAAAUUUUGAGGUCGUUUCAUCUUCCAUUUGGUUCUAGAUACUGAAAUCCCGGGCAUUAACUUGCAUAUGCUGUGCCGAGGAGAUAUGUGAAGAAUGCAAGCAAAGAAAUAUGUUCCCCUUGGCUCUCAGUACUGCAACUGAAGUUAUGAAGCGGAAACAACUGGUCGCGUAUACCAGCAACAACAACUUGACAGUUUGUUGUUUAUUUCAAGAUAGCUUGCGGGAGAGGCGUUUUGGCUCCUGGGUACAUCUGCACCCGGAUGAACAAUAAUGUAAAAAGAAAACAGUGAAUGUUUUAAACAAAAUGUGAAUUUUUUCUGGAUGUUCCUGUCGCAAGCAUGCUUGGUAAUUUUCAUGUGAAACGGAUCAGUGAUGUUUUGUCGGUGAAAAAAAUAAAUUUGAAUGUGACAUUUUGAGGUAACAAUUGAUGUUUAAUUUAUUUAUUUUUGUAUAGGCUAAAAUGCUUAACCUUUUUACCUAAAAAAUUUCGGAUAUCAUUUGAAUGUGACAAAGAACACACAGAAAUUUUGUUGGAAUUAUUUUCACAUUUCGAAAUUCAUUUUUGAUGGGCAGGAACACGUGCUCUCCGGAGCCGAGUUGCAUUUCUCAUAGCUUGACGCCUUUUCCCGUCCAUCUCCCACGCUCAUGGAGUUAGCUCCGUCCUAAGACUCCUUUCAAGAUUAGGGUGAUUUUGUUCCAUGGCAAUAUUGUCUUCUGCUUUGAUCACCCGCAUCGUGGUCAAUUGGAAUGUUGACAAAGACGCUUCCAACUCAUGGUUCAGGGUUUGAGGUUACGAAACAAAGAUGAAUCAUGUGCAAUCAGAGAUUAAGCCAUAAGAUCCCACCCCAAAAACUGCAAGAGUCGGGGGCACCUACCGAAGGAGUCUUCCCUCCAUGGAUUCAAUGACAAAAAUAACCCUAUUGAGAGGUCCUUUGAGGUUUUGACCAAUUAUUCCAAUCAAGCAGUCCGAUCCUUCUCCUCUCUUUUGUUCUUAUCUCUAGCUCAUAAUGACUAAAGAUUGAAUGUUCUAAGCCAUGUAUCUGAGCCAGUUAUUUGAGUAUUGUUGUGUUCGACUCUAGCUUCCGACCAGUCCACUUCACUUCGGAGGUCAUAACAGCUUAAGAAAAAACUGAGAUCAGGCCCGCGAAAAGCGCGCAGACACACAUGCCAAGGAAUGAAUCCAUUUUUUCAUUCUCAAUACCAGGGGUCUUCUCCGGACACAAACUAUUUGUUGUAUGAAUAUAUGGUGUGUAUUAUGUUUUAUUUACUACGGUAUAGCACAUACCAACAUAUAGGGGCAAUCCUUCAUUAGUCCUCGGCCAUUGAGAUCUAAGCGAAAUUCUAUUUAUCUGCAUGUAGUUCAAGUGUAGUUUUCCCCCAAAAUCUUGACUCUCUUAGAGUCACAGGCAGAGCUGCACAAACCAAACCAAUCCAACAUGAGAAUAAGCGAGGAUAGCCAACAAGGAGCAAGGCCGAAGAGAAUAUGACACGGGACACUCCAGGUGGCAAUGUACGUGCCCUUGCCGAGGUUGCUGAAGACCAUACCGGAAACGCAUAAUCGAACGAACCUACCACGAUGGCAGGGCGUGACCGACAGGGUGCUAGAUGUUGUCUCUGUGUCCAUCGAUGACCCACUCUCGUCCCAAUCCACCACGGGAGGUGUACCACGCGACUGUUACUUGUCCACUAUCCAUCCCUCCUUCCAGUCCUCCCACUCAAAGUCGUCCGAUAUGCGGUCCUCCGAGGAAGACAUCCAACGUUAUUGGUUUCGAAGCACCGACUGCUGUGAGCUUCCCUUUGAAUAGGCUGAGGUUGGAUCCAUCUUUUUUAGGGUCGGCAUCAUUGUACCGAGGCUUCGGAUUAUGCAAAUGACGAUUUUUGGCUUCGUAUUGUGCUGUCACAAAGUUAGCCACCUCCUCAGUAAUCAAUGCCUCGACCAUCGAUGCUUCAAUUCUACGUUUAUUUUUACAUUUAGCUCAAAGCGUCUUCUGCAUCCUCUCAGUUGCAAAGCACCAACGAUUUUGCACGGGCCCACCCAAUCUUGCCUCGGUCGAUAGAUGUAAAAACAAAUGCUGCAUUGGAUUAAAGAAGCCCGACAAAAAGAUCUUCUCUAACUUGCAGAGCAACUCCGGCGCCAACUCCUCCAUGCCAUCUACCACGCCAGGCGACAGUUCUUUCGCACAAAGAACACGGAAGAAAUAGCUCAGCUCCACUAGUACUAGCAUUCAUCCUCAGGAAUAAAGCCACGUAACAUCACCGACAUUACCCGCUCAAGCCAUAUGUGCCAAUCAUGACUCUUGAGACCAAAGAUUUUAAAUUUUUCAAGACUUGCUCCCCUCUUUAGAUUCGCUGCAUACCCAUGGGGGAACAUCAAGUGCAUUUUGACCCACAAGAUAGUUUCCCUCAUAGCUGGCCUUCCAAGAUUGAACCAGGCCUUUGGCUUCGACUAGUUCUGCUUUCCUUUCGAUUCUCGCAUGUUUUAUAAUGGUCUAUGACAUAGUGUCUCUUGAUCGACUCUAGCCUUAGUAUUAUCAUUUGACUUCCCAUGUAUGCCAAACAAUGUACCAAAAAUGGCCUCUCCAAUAUUCUUUUCAGUGUGCAUCAUGUCAAUGUUGUGUGGAAGAAGGAGGUCUUUGAAGUAAGGCGGAUCCCACAAGCAUGGCUUGUGAGUCGAGGCGUGUUCUGAAUUAUACCCCUUGAAAUACUCUGGAUGCUGUGGAUCAGGCUCGAGGGCGUUUAACUGAUCCAGGAUCUGUUGGCCUGUCAACGCAGGUGGUGCCAAGGUUUUGACAACUUUACCUUUGGUAAAGUUCUUCUUGUCUUUUCUGAACUGAUGGUGAGGAUCCAGGAACUGUCUAUGCAAGUCAAAGCAAGAAUAAUUCCCACCCGCCUGCAACCAAUGAAACUGAAGAGAUGCCUUGCACGCGUGGCACGGGAACCUUCCAUGCACACACCAUCCAGAGAAUAGUGCAUACGCCGGCAAGUCAUGCAUCGAGUACAUGUACCACACAUGCAUUUUGAAGUUUUCUUUUCUAGCGGCAUCGUAUGUCUUGACCCCAUUAUCCCAAACUUCUUGCAAUUCAUCCUUAAGCGGCUGCAUGUACACAUUCAUAUUCUUCCCCGGAUAGUUGGGCCCUGGAAUUAUCAACGUUAGGAAUAUGUUCUUUCUUUGCAUAAUCUGCCCGAGAGGGGGGGGGGAGAUUGAGUGGAAUGACAAAUAUAGGCCAACAACUGUAUUGGGUUGUUGUCAUACCGAAGGGAUUGAACCCAUCCGUGGCGACGCAAACUCGAGGAUGCCUUGGAUCUGCCGCUUUAUCCUGAUGUAAUCCAUCGAAAUCUUUCCACGCUUCCCCAUCCGAUGUGUGUACCGCCAUCUUAUACCCAUCCGCAUCUAGUUCGGUUCUUUUGCCCAAUUUGUGCCAUGUUAUCUGUUUGGCUGUCUAUUCGACCAUGAACAGACGUCGAAGCCUUGGUAUGAUUGGCAUAUACAAAAGAACAUUAACUGGGAUUUCGGUCUGCCUCUUAUCACCCAAUACCAUUGUCUACCACAAGAUACCUGCAAGACUUGUAAAUGGGACAUAGUCCAAGUGUGCAUACUCCUUCCUAAAUAAGCCACAUCCUUUCUCACAGGCAUGUAUAUGCUCAUAGGGCAUCUUAAAUACACAAAGUAUUUUGUCCGACUGGUACAUGUUUGCAGGCAUAACAUGGCAUUUGGGUAGAAAGCGUCCAAAUAGUGUCAUCAUCGCGUCGUAGCAUUCUCCUCCUAAGUUAAACCGAGCCUUCAGAGCCAUCACUUAUCCAAUGGCAUCAAGCUCACAAAGCUCAGUGUGCUUGUGGAGAGGACGUUUUAAAGACUCCAACAUUUCAUAGAAGGACUUGUUGGGGAACGUUGUAUGGGAAACAAAAAUUUUCCUACGCACACGAAGACCUAUCAUGGUGAUGUCCAUCUACAAGAGGACAUUUGGAUCUACGUACCCUUGUAGAUCGCACAGCAGGACGCGUUAAGAAACGCGGUUGAUGUAGUGGAACGUCUUCACGUCCCUCGAUAAGCCCCACAAACCAUCCCAUGAACCGUCCUGCGAUCCGUCCCACGAUCCGUUCCGAUCUAGUGGCGAACGGACGGCACCUCCGCGUUCAACACACGUACAGCUCGACGAUGAUCUCAGCCUUCUUGAUCCAGCAAGCAAGACAGAGAAGUAGAUGAGUUUCCCGGCAGCGUGACGACGCUCCGGUGGUGUUGAGGAUCUACUCGUGGACGGCUCUGCCCGAGCUCCGCAGAAGUAAGAUCUAGAGGUAAAACUAUGGUAUCUAGAUCUAAGUUGCACGUGGCAAAAGUUGUCUCAAAUCAGCCCUAAAUCACCACUAUAUAUAGGAGCGAGGGGAGGAGGCUUGCCUUGAGGGCCAAUCCCUCAAGGGUGCGCCGGCCAUGGGAGAGGAGGAGUCCUACUCCAAUCCUAGUCCAACUAGGAUUGGAAAGUGGAGUCCUUCUCUUCCUUCCCAUCUCCCUUUUUUUUCUUUUCUUUGGUUUUCUUCUUAUGACGCAUAGGCCCUCUUGGGCUGUCCCACCAGCCCACUAAGGGAUGGUGCGCCACCCCUAGGGCCUUUGGGCUUCCCCCGGGUGGGUUACCCCCUCCCGAUGAACUUCCUAAACCCAUUCGUCAUUCCCCGUACAUUCUCGGUAAUGCCCGAAAGCUUUCCGGUAACCAAAUGAAGCCAUCCUAUAUAUCAAUCUUCGUUUCCGGACCAUUCCGGAAACCCUCGUGACGUUUGUGAUCUCAUACGGGACUCCGAACAACAUUCGGUAACCACACAUAUAACUCAACUAUACUAAAACAUCGCCGAACCUUAAGUGUGCAGACCCCGCGGGUUUGAGAACUACGUAGACUGCUACUGCAACAAAAGAACUUCCAACGGCGCCAGAAAUAGGUGUGUUGACGGCACCAGGAAUCCUUCUGCUACGGCUACGCCUUAAGGGACUUCCUAGGAAAAUAUGCAAAGGAUUUCCCCCGUGGCCUUGGAGCCUUGCGUUGGUGUUCCCUCAAAGCGGAAAGGGUGAUGUAGCGCAGCGGUCGUAAGUAUUUCCCUCAAUUUGAGAACCAAGGUAUCGAUCCAGUGAAGGAGUAUCACAAGAGCCUGCACAAACACAAAAAGCUUGCUCCCAACGCUAUGAAGGGGUUGUCAAUCCCUUAUAGAUUGUUCGCCAAGUGAGAACUGAAAGCAACAAAGUAACAAAGCAAAGUAAAAGCGAAAGCAGAAACGAUAGGUGUGAAUAGACCCGGGGGCCGUAGUGUUUACUAGUGGCUUCUCUCAUGAAAGCAAGUAGACAGUGGGUGAACAAAUUACUGUCGAGCAAUUGAUAGAACCGCGCAAAGUCGUGAUGUCAUCUAUGGCAAUGAUUAUAUCUAUAGGCAUCACGUCCAAAACAAGUAGACCGAUACUUUCUGCAUCUACUACUAUUACUCCACACGUCGACCGCUAUCCAGCAUGCAUCUAGUGUAUUAAGUCCAAAAGAACAGAGUAACGCCUUAAGCAAGAUGACAUGAUGUAGAUGGACAAUCUCAUAUCUACGAUAGAGCCCACCUUGUUAUCCUUGAUGGAAAAUACACGAUGUGUGCCUUGCUGCCCCUACUGUCACUGGGAAAGGUCACCACACGGUAAGAACCCAAAACCAAGAACUUCUCCCAUUGCAAGAAUCAUAGAUCUAGUUGGCCAAACAAAACCCAAGACUCGAAGAGACUUACAAGGAUAUCAAAUCAUGCAUAUAAGAAAUCAGCAAAGACUCAAAUAUAUAGCAUAGAUAAUCUGAUCACAAAUCCACAAUUCACCGGAUCUCGACAAACACACCGCCAAAGAAGAUUACAUCGGAUAGAUCUCCAUGAAGACCAUGGAGAACUUUGUAUUGAAGAUCCAAGAGAGAGAAGAAGCCAUCUAGCUACUAACUACGGACCCGUAGGUCUGAAGUGAACUACUCACGAGUCAUUGGAGGGGCGAUGAUGUUGAUGUAGAAGCCCUCCAACUCCAAAGUCCCCUCCGGCAGGGCACCGGGAAGGGUCUCCAAAUGAGAUCUCGCAGAAACAGAAGCUUGCGGAGGCGGAAAAGUAUUUUCGUGGAUCCCUUGAUUUUUUUCUUCUGAUUUUUAGGGAAUAUAUAGGCGCAAGAUCUAGGUCAGGGGGGCGCGAGGGAGGCCACAAACCUGCCCACCGCCGCCCCCUGGUGGCGGAGAGGGGGCUUGUGGGCUCCCUGUAGCCCUCCUGGCUUGGCCCACAAGCCCCCUGAUCUUCUUCCGUUCGGGAAAAAAUCAUUUCGGGGAUUUUAUUCCAUUUGGACUCCGUUCCAAAAUCAGAUCUGAAAAGAGCCAAAAACACAGAAAAAACAGGAAUUGGCACUUGGCACUGAAUUAAUAAGUUAGUCCCAAAAAAAGAUAUAAAAGGUACAUAAAACAUCCAAAGAUGACAAGAUAACAAUAUGAAACCAUCAAAAAUUAUAGAUACAUUUGAGACGUAUCAAGCAUCCCCAAGCUUAACUCCUACUCGUCCUCGAGUAGGGAAGUGAUAAAGAAUGAAUUUUUGAUGCUUUCAUGCUACCUAGCAUAGAUGUCCUUUGUAACUCCUCUUAUGUGACGUGAAUGUUCAGAUCCAUUAGAUUCAAAACAAUAGUUUGCUAUUGAUGUGGAAACAAUAAUAAUUCAAGAAAACUAGCAAGGUAAUCAUGAACUUUCAAAAUAACAAGGCCAAAAGAAAGUUAUCCCUACAAAGGCAUAUAGUCUGGCUAUGCUCUAUCAUCAUUGCACAACAAAUUUAAAUCAUGCACAACCCCGGUAUUGGCCAAGUAAUUGUUUCACACCUUUACUUUCUCAAAACUUUUCAACUCUCAUGCAAUACAUGAGCGUGAGUCAUGGUUUUAGCACUAUAGAUGGUGUGGAGUGUGGUGGAGGUUGCAAGACAAAACAAGGAGAAGAUGGUCACAUUAACUAGGCAUAUCAAUGAGCUGUGGAGAUGCUCAUCAAUAGAUAUCAAUGUGAAUGAGUAUUGAUUGCCAUACAAAUGCUACACUAGAGCUAAGAGUAUGUGAAAGCUCUUAAAGAAAACUAGUGGGUGUGCAUCCAACUUUCUUGCUCACGAAGACCUAAGGCAAUUUUGAGGAAGCCUAUCAUUGGAAUAUACAAGCCAAGUUAUAUAAUGAAAAUUUCCCACUAGCUAUAUGGUGGUGACAAAACGAGAGACUCUCAAUUAUGAAGAUCAUGGUGCUUAAUAUGCCCAAGUGUGGAAAAGUGGUAACAUUGUCCCUUCUCUCUUUUUCUCUCAUUUUUUUUUAUUUUUUUGGUGGGCUCUUUGGCCUCUUUUUUUUAUUUUUUUAUUUUUUGUGGGCUUCUUUCGCCUCUUUUAUUUCAUCACAUAGGACAAUGCUCCAUUAAUGAUGAUCAUCACACUUUCAACUCAAAACUCAGAGCAACGAUGACUCUAUAUGGAAUGCCUUCGGUAGUGUACCGUGACAAUGAUCUAGCAUGGCAUAGACAUUAAUGGAAACAUCAUGCUAGCUAUCUUAUAAUCAUGCAAUGGCAAUGUAGACGUGAUGGCACAUGUCAUGGUGGUAGUUGCAUGGCAAUAUAUCUCGGAAUGACUUUGAAAAAGACAUAGUAGGUAGGUAUGGUGGCUGUUUUGAGGGAGGCUAAUGGUGGGUUUUGUGCACCGGCGAAAGUUGCACGACACUAAGAAGAUAGUGAUGGUGGAAGGUGAAAGUGCAUCUAAACCAUGGACUCAACAUUAGUCAUGAAGAACUCAUAUACUUGUUGCAAAAGUUUUAUUAGUAAUCGAAACAAAGCAUUCAACGCAUACUCCUAGGGGAAGGGUUGGUAGGUAUAAACCAUCGCGCGAUCCCGACCGCCACACAAAGGAUGACAAUCAAUAGACUAAUCAUGCUCAGAUUUCAUUACAUAGCGGUUCACCAUACGUGCAUGCUACGGGAAUCACUAACUUCAACACAAGUAUUUCUAGAACCACAACACCUUACUAGCAUAACUUCAAUAUUACCAAAACCACAACUCAAAACUAAUUGAGAUGAAUCAAACUUCUCUAACUAUUCAAUGCACAUGAAGGUGGAAGUUUUCGUAUCCCUUUGGAUAACUACCCCUUUUGAGACUACUUUCAAAGCAUAGAUCAAUUACCAAGCCACGCACCGCUGUACUCUAAAAGAUAUAAGUGAAGCACAUAGAGCAAAAGUAUCUAGCUCAAAAGAUAUAAGUGAAGCACAUGUGAGCUGAAUUGUCUACCAAAAGAUAUAAGUGAAGCUCGACAAAAUCACGGUGAGUGCAUGUCUGUCUCUCUAGGUGUGAAGCAAGGAUGAUUGUGACACAACAAAAAGAAAAGAAUCCUACGAUACAAGACGCUCCAAGCAAAAACACAUAACAUGUGGUGAAUAAAAAUAUAGCCCCAAGUAACAUUACCAAUGGAUUGAAGACGAGAGAGGGGAUGCCUUCCCGGGGCAUCUCCAAGGUUAGGCUUUUACGGCAUCCUUGAAUCUAUUGGGGUGCCUUGGGCAUCCCCAAGCUUGAGCUCUUGCCACUCUUUAUCUCUUUGUCCAUAAGAACUUCACCCAAAACUUGAAAACUUCACAACACGAAACUUAAAGAGAAACUCGUGAUAACAUUAGUAUGAGAAAGCAAACCACCACUUCCUUAGGUACUGUAGCAAACUUAAAUUCUACUUAUGCUGAUGUUGGGUUACUGUAUUUUCAAUCUCCCAUGGCUAAUACCCCCCGAUACUAUCCAUAGUUUCAUCAAAAUAAGCAACCAACACAACAAAAACAUAAUCUGUUAACAACAGACCAGUCUGUAGCAAUCUGUAUAUUUCGUAUACUUCUGGUACUUCAAAAAAUCUGAAAAAUUACGAAAGUCUGAAGAAUUUGUGUAGCAAUCAGCAGCAAAAAGAAUCAACUAAAAACCUCUUACAAAAAAAAUGAAAAUUCUUUUCGUGAGCAGAAAGUUUCUGUCUUUUCCAGCAUGACCAAGCGAUCAUCCCCAAGACUAGUCAUAACGGUUUUGCUUGGCACAAACGCAAAAAGAAACACAAAAAACACAAUCAUAACAGAAUUAUGAAAGUGUGGAAAACACAAAACAGAAAUAAAAAGGAUAGAUUCGUUGGGUUGCCUCCCAACAAGCGCUUUUGUUUAAUGCCCUUAGCUAGGCAAAAUGUGAUGGAAUCACGUAUAGUCAUCUUUGGUGCUCAAACCAUAAGUAGCCCUCAUCAUAGAUUCAUAAGGCAAUCUUAUUUUAUUUCUAGGAAAGUGCUCCAUUGCCUUCUUUAAAGGAAAUUGAAAUCUAAUAUUCCCUUCCUUCAUAUCGAUGUUAGCACCAAUAGUCCUUAGGAAAGGUCUACCAAGAAUAAUGGGACAUGAAGGAUUGCAAUCUAUGUCAAGUACAAUGAAAUCCAUGGGUACAUAGUUCUUAUUUGCAACAAUAAGAACAUCAUCGAUCCUUCCCAUGGGUUUCUUGACAGUAGAAUCCGCAAGAUGCAAAUUAAGAGAACACUCUUCAAUCUCAUGAAAACCAAGAAUAUCACAUAAAGACUUUGGAAUCGCGGAAACACUAGCACCCAAGUCACACAAAGCAUUGCACUCAUAGUUUUUGAUCUUGAUUUUGAUAGUAGGUUCCCACUCAUCAUGAACUUUUCUAGGUAUAGAGACUUCUUGUUCGAGCUUCUCUUCAAGAGAUUUCAUCAUAGCAUCUACGAUAUGCGCGGUAAAGGCUUUGCUUUGGCUAUAAGCGUGUGGAGAGUUUGCAAUGGAUUGCAUCAAAGAAAUGCAUUCAAAGAAGGAGCAAUUAUCAUAAUUGAAUUCCUUGAAAUCCAAAGUGGGAGUUUCAUUACUACCCAAAAUUUUGAUUUCUUCUACUCCACUCUCCGCACCUUUAUCAUCAAGAUGGGUGGACUCCGAAUCAUUAGGGCAUUUUUCAACCAAAGUGGAUUCAUAUCCAGCCCCUCCAUCAAUAGGUUUGACACACGAAAACAAAGAUUCAAGAGGAGACACACCAAGCACUUUAAGAUCUUCGUGAUUUGCAUCACAAAUUUCAGGUUUAGCUGCCAUCUUAUUGACUAAGGUAGCCUGCUUGUCUGAAAUUUGGCCCACCAAUUUUUCAAGGUGAGCAAGCUGAGAAUUAAGUGCAAGGAAAUCAUUGGCCAUAUCAUCAACCUCUUUAUUCAAACAGACCAAAAAGGAAUUUUGCUCUUUUAAUUCCCUACGGAAGUAACUAUUUUGGUCAAACUGAGAAGACAUUAAACCUUUGACAUUAGUUUCAAUCUCCUCCAACUUUCUGAAAUAGUUUGGUUUGGCCAUGAGAAAAGGUCUCUCACGAACAAACCUAAGAGUAGGCGGGCGAAAUGGAACGACAAAAAGGCAAAAGGAAAAAGAAAACAACAAAGGAGAAAGGCAAAUUGGUGAAGUGGGGGAGAGGAAAACGAGAGGCAACUGGCAAAAAAGGUAAAUGCAAGAGAUGAGUUUGUGACACUUACUUGGAUAGAUCUCUCCUUCCCCGGCAACGGCGCCAGAAAUACUUCUGCUACUGCAACAAAAGACCUUCCAACAACGCCAGAAAUAGGUGUGUUGACGGCACCAUGAAUCCUUCUGCUACGGCUACGCCUUAAGGGACUUCCUAGGCAAAUAUGCAAAGGAUUUCCGCCGUGGCCUUGGAGCCUUGCGUUGGUGUUCCCUCGAAGCGGAAAGGGUCAUGUAGCGCAGCGGUGGUAAGUAUUUCCCUUGGUUUGAGAACCAAGGUAUCGAUCCAGUGAAGGAGUAUCACAAGAGCCUGCACAAACACAAAAAGCUUGCUCCCAACGCUAUGAAGGGGUUGUCAACCCCUUAUAGAUUGUUCGCCAAGUGAGAACUGAAAGCAACAAAGUAACAAAGCAAAGUAAAAGAGAAAGCGGAAACGAUAGGUGUGAAUAGACCUGGGGGCCGUAGUGUUUACUAGUGGCUUCUCUCAUGAAAGAAAGUAGACGGUGGGUGAACAAAUUACUGUCCAGCAAUUGAUAGAACCGCGCAAAGUCGUGACGUCAUCUAUGGCAAUGAUUAUAUCUAUAGGCAUCACGUCCAAAACAAGUAGACCGAUACUUUCUGCAUUUACUACUAUUACUCCACACGUCGACCGCUAUCUAUCAUGCAUCUAGUGUAUUAAGUCCAAAAGAAGAGAGUAAGGCCUUAAGCAAGAUGACAUGAUGUAGAUGGACAAUCUCAUAUCUACGACAGAGCCCACCUUGUUACCCUUGAUGGCAACUACACGAUGUGUGCCUUGCUGCCCCUACUCUCACUGGGAAAGGUCAUCACACGGUAAGAACCCAAAACCAAGCACUUCUCCCAUUGCAAGAAUCAUAGAUCUAGUUGGCCAAACAAAACCCAAGACUCGGAGAGACUUACAAAGAUAUCAAAUCAUGCAUAUAAGAAAUCAGCAAAGACUCAAAUAUAUAUCAUAGAUAAUCUGAUCACAAAUCCACAAUUCAUCGGAUCUCGACAAACACACCGCCAAAGAAGAUUACAUCAGAUAGAUCUCCAUGAAGAUCAUGGAGAACUUUGUAUUGAAGAUCCAAGAGAGAGAAGAAGCCAUCUAGCUACUAACUACGGACCCAUAGGUCUGAAGUGAACUACUCACGAGUCAUUGGAGGGGCGAUGAUGUUGAUGUAGAAGCCCUCCAACUCCAAAGUCCCCUCCGGCAGGGCACCGGGAAAGGUCUCCAGAUGAGAUCUCGCGGAAACGGAAGCUUGCGGCGGCGGAAAAGUAUUUUCGUGGAUCCCUUGAUUUUUUUUCCUGAUUUUUAGGGAAUAUAUAGGCGCAAGAUCUAGGUCACGGGGGCGUCAGGGAGGCCACAAGCCUGCCCACCGCCGCCCCCUGGUGGCGGAGAGGGGCCUUGUGGGCUCCGUGUAGCCCUCUUGGCUUGGCCCACAAGCCCCCUGAUCUUCUUCUGUUCGGGAAAAAAUCAUUUCGGAGAUUUUAUUCCGUUUGGACUCCGUUCCAAAAUCAGAUCUGAAAAGAGCCAAAAACACAGAAAAAACAGGAAUUGACACUUGGCACUGAAUUAAUAAGUUAGUCCCAAAAAAAUAUAUAAAAGGUACAUAAAACAUCCAGAGAUGACAAGAUAACAACAUGAAACCAUCAAGAAUCCAAAGAUGUCUGAGACGUAUCAUAGACAUGCCCCGAGGUACUCAUCGGUCAAUAUCCAAUAGCAGGACCUGGAUGCCCAUAUUGGAUCCUACAUAUUCUCCGAAAAUCUUAUCGGUUGAACCUCAGUGUCAAGGAUUCAUAUAAUCCUGUAUGUCAUUCCGUUUGUCCUUCGGUAUGUUACUUGCCCGAGAUUCGAUCGUCGGUAUGCGCAUACCUAUUUCAACCUCGUUAACGGCAAGUCUCUUUACUCGUUCCGUAAUACAAGAUCCCGUGACUUACACUUAGUCACAUUGCUUGCAAGGCUUGUUUGUGAUGUUGUAUUACCGAGUGGGCCCCUAGAUACCUCUCCAUCACGCGGAGUGACAAAUCCCAGUCUUGUUCCAUACUAACUCAACGGACACCUUCGGAGAUACCCGUAGAGCACCUUUAUAGUCACCCAGUUACGUUGUGACGUUUGAUGCACACAAGGUAUUCCUCCGGUGCCAGUGAGUUAUAUGAUAUCAUGGUCAUAGGAAUAAAUACUUGACACGCAGAAAACUAUACCAAUAAAACGACACGAUCAAUAUGCUACGUUCAUAGUUUGGGUCUAGUCCAUCAAAUGAUUCUCCUAAUGAUGUGAUCCAGUUAUCAAGUGACAACACUUGCACAUAGUCAGAAAACCUUGACUAUCAUUGAUCAACUGGCCAGCCAACUAGAGGCUUGAUAGGGACAUUGUUUUGUCUAUGUAUCCACACAUGUAUCUAUGUUUUCAUUCCAUACAAUUAUAGCAUGGAUAAUAAACGAUUAACUUUAAAUAAGAAAUAUAAUAAUAACUAUUUAUCAUUGCCUCUAGGGCACAUUUCCAACAAUCUCCCACUUGCACUAGAGUCAAUAAUCUAGUCCUCACAUCGCCAUGCGAUUUACAUUGUAAUAAAUCGAAUAGCCAUACAGUUCUGGUGUUGAUCAUGUUUUGCCCGUGGAAGAGGUUUAGUCAACGAGCCUGCUAUAUUCAGAUCCGUGUGCACUUUGCAAAUAUUCACGUCCUCUCCUUCGACGUAGUCACAUAUGAGGUUGAAGCGUCGUAUGAUGUGUCUGGUCUUCUUGUGAAACCUUGGUUCCUUUGCUAAGGCAAUGGCACUAGUGUUGUCACAUAACAGAGUUAAUGGAUCUAGUGUGCUUGGCACAACUCCAAGAUCUGUCAUGAACUGCUUCAUCCAGACACCCUCCUUUGCUGCCUCCGAGGCAGCCAUGUACUCCGCUUCACAUGUAGAAUCUGCUACGACGCUCUGCUUGGAACUACACCAGCUUACUGCACCCCCAUUAAGAAUAAAUAUGUAUCCAGUUUGCGACUUAGAGUCAUACGGAUUGGUGUCAAAACUUGCCUCGAUGUAACCUUUUACGACGAGCUCUUUGUCACCUCCAUAAACGAGAAACAUUUCCUUAGUCCUUUUCAGGUAUUUCAGAAUAUUCUUGACCACCCUCUAGUGAUCCACUCCUCGAUUACUCUGAAACCUGCCUGCCAUACUUAUGGUCAAGCUGGCGUCUGGUCUAGUGCACAACAUUGCAUACAUUAUAGAACCUACGGCUGAAGCGUAGGGGACGGAAUUCAUUUGUUCUCUAUCUUCCGCAGUUGCUGGGCACUGAGUCUUAAUCAAUUUUAUACCUUGUAAUACUGGCAAGAACCCUUUCUUGGACUGAUCCAUUUUGAAAUUCUUCAAAACUUUAUCAAGGUAUGUGCUUUGUGAAAGUCCUAUCAGGCGUCUCGAUCUAUCCCUAUAGAUCUUAAUGCCUGAAUGUAAGCAGCUUCUCCUAGGUCCUUCAUAGAGAAACUUUUAUUCAAGUAAUCCUUUAUGCUCUCCAAAAGCUCCACGUUGUUUCGAAUCAGCAAUAUGUCAUCCACAUAUAAUAUUAGAAACGCCACAGAGCUCCCACUCACUUUCUUGUAAAUACAAGAUUCUCCAACCACUUGUAUAAACCCAAAUGCUUUGAUCACCUCAUCAAAGCGCUUAUUCCAACUCCGAGAUGCUUGCACCAGUCCAUAAAUGGAUCGCUGGAGCUUGCAUACUUUGUUAGCAUUCUUUGGAUCGACAAAACUUCGGGUUGCAUCAUAUACAACUCUUCCUUAAGAAAACCGUUAAGGAACGCCGUUUUGACAUCCAUCUGCCAGAUUUCAUAAUCGUAAAAGGUAGCUAUUGCUAACAUGAUUCGGACGGACUUAAGCAUCACUACCGGUGAGAAAGUCUCAUCGUAGUCAACUCCUUGAACUUGUGAAAAACCCUUUGCCACAAGUUGAGCUUUACAAAUGACCACAUUACCGUCUGCGUCCGUCUUCUUCUUAUAGAUCCAUUUGUUCUGAAUAGCCUUGCGGCCUUCAGGUAGUGCUUCCAAAGUCCACACUUUGUUCUCGUACAUGGAUCCUAUCUCGGACUUCAUGGCCUCCAGCCAUUUGUUGGAAUCCGGGCCCACCAUUGCUUCUUCAUAAUUCGCAGGUUCAUUGUUGUCCAACAACAUAAUCGUUAAGAUACGAUUACCGUACCACUCAGGAGCAGUACGUGAUCUUGUCGACCUGCGAGGUCCGAUAGAAACUUGAUCCGAAGUUUCAUGAUCAUCAUCAUCAACUUGCUCGUCAACCGGCGCCACAGCAAGAGGGGUUUCACCUUGCCCUACUCCACCAUCUAGAGGAAUUAGAGGUUUGACAACCUCAUCAAGUUUUAUCUUCCUCCCACUCAAUUCUUUCGAGAGAAACUCCUUCUCAAGAAAAGCUCCAUUUUUAGAAACAAACACUUUGCCCUUGGAUUUGAGAUAGAAGGUAUACCCAACUGUCUCUUUUGGGUAACCUAUGAAGACGCACUUCUCCGCUUUGGGUUCCAGCUUUUCAGGCUGAAGCUUUUCGACAUAAGCAUCACAUCCCCAAACUUUAAGAAACGACAGUUUUGGUCUUUUGCCAUACCACAGUUCGUAUGGUGUCGUCUCAACGGAUUUUGAUGGUGCCCUAUUUAAAGUGAAUGCAGCCGUCUCUAUUGCAUAACCCCAAAACGAUAACGGCAAAUCGGUAAGCGACAACAUAGAUCACACCAUCUCUAAUAAAGUACUAUUACGACGUUCGGACACACCAUUACGCUGUGGUGUUCCAGGCGGUGUCAACUGUGAAACAAUUCCACAUUGUCUUAAGUGAGCACCAAACUCGAAACUCAGAUAUUCACCCCCACGAUCAGACCGUAGGAACUUGAUCUUCUUGUUACGAUGAUUUUCAACUUCAUUCUGAAAUUGCUUGAACUUCUCAAACGUUUCAUACUUGUGCUUCAUCAAGUAGAAAUAACCAUAUCUACUCAAAUCGUUAGUGAAGGUGAGAAAAAUAACGAUAUCCACCGCGCGCCUCCACAUUCAUCGGACCACAUAUAUCGAUAUGUAUGAUUUCCAACAAGUUACUUGCACGCUCCAUUGUUCCGGAGAACGGAGUCUUAGUCAUCCUGCCCAUGAGGCAUGGUUCGCACGUGUCAAGUGACUCCAAAAGUCCAUCGGUAUGGAGUUUCUUCAUGCGCUUUACACCAAUAUGACCUAAGCGGCAGUGCCAUAAAAACAUGGCGCUAUCAUUGUUAACUCUAACUCUUUUAGUCUCAAUGUUAUGUAUAUGUGUAUUAUCACUAUCAAGAUUCAAUAUGAACAAUCCUCUCACAUUGGGUGCAUGACCAUACAAGAUAUUACUCAUAGAAAUAGAACAACCAUUAUUCUUUGACUUAAACGAGUAACCGUCUCACAAUAAACAAGAUCCAGAUAUAAUGUUCAUGCUUAACGUAGGCACUAAAUAAAAAUUAUUUAAGUUUAUAACUAAUCUGAUGGUAACUGAAGUGAAACUAUGCCGACGACGAUUGCAUCAACCUUGGAACCAUUUCCCACGCGCAUCAUCACUUCAUCCAUCGCCAGCCUUCGCUUAUUCCACAGUUCCUGUUUCGAGUUGCAAAUAUGAGCAACAGAACCAGUAUCGAAUACGCAGGCACUACUACGAGAGCUGGUUAAGUACACAUCAAUAACAUGUAUAUCGAAUAUACCUGAUUUUUCCUUGGCCGCCUUCUGAUCAGCCAGAUACUUGGGGCAGUUGCGCUUCCAGCGACCCAGAUCCUUGCAAUAAUAACACUCCGUUUCAGGCUUAGGUCCAGCUUUGGGUUUCUUCGUCGGAUUGGCAACAGGCUUGCCGCUCUUCUUUGAAUUACCCUUCUUUCGUUUGCCGUUUCUCUUGAAACUAGUGGUCUUAUUCACCAUCAACACUUGAUGCUCUUUAUGGAGUUCUGACUCUGUGACUUUCAUCAUCGCGAAUAACUCGCCGGGUGACUUGUUCAUCCCUUGCAUGCUAUAGUUUAACACAAAGCUCUCAUAGGUCGAUGGGAGUGAUUGAAGAAUUCUGUCAGUGAUAGCCUCUUGCGGGAGUUCAAUCCCUAGCUCAGCUAGAUGGUUUGAGUACCCAGGCAUUUUGAGCACAUGUUCACUGACAGACGAAUUCUCCUCCAUCUUGCAAGCAUAGAAUUUAUCGGAGGUCUCAUACUUCUCGAUCCGGGCAUUCUUCUGAAAGAUAAACUUCAACUCGUGGAACAUCUCAAAUGCUCCAUGACGCUCAAAGCAACAUUGAAGUCCCGGCUCUAAGCCAUACAAGACUGCACAUUCAACUACUGAGUAGUCCUCCUUGCGUGCUAACCAGGCGUUCUUAACAUCUUGGUCAGCCGCGACGGGUGGUUCAUCUCCUAGCACAGCAUUAAGGACAUGAUCUUUCUUUCCAGCUUGUAGGAGCAACUUAAGAUUACGAGCCCAGUCUACAAAGUUGCUUCCAUCAUCUUUCAACUUAGCUUUCUCUAGGAACAUAUUAAAAUUCAAGGCGACUCUCGCGUGAGCCAUUGAUCUACAACACAAAUAUUUUCAAAGUGGACUUAGACUAUGUUCAAGAUAAUUAGAGUUUAACUAAUAAAAUUACUUUCUAAACUCCCACUCAAAAAGUACAUCUCUCUAUUCAUUUGAGUGGUACAUGAUCCAAAUUCACUAACUCAAGCCCGAUCAUCACGUGAGUUGAUAAUAGUUUCAGUGGUAAGCAUCUCUAUGCUAAUCAUAUCAACUAUAUGAUUCAUGCUCGACCUUUCGGUCUCAUGUGUUCCGACGCCAUGUCUGCACAUGCUAGGCUCGUCAAGCUUAACCCGAGUGUUCCGCGUGUGCAACUGUUUUGCACCCGUUGUAUGUAACGUUGAGUCUAUCACACCCGAUCAUCACGUGGUGUCUUGAAACGACGAACUGUAGCAACGGUGCACAGUCGGGGAGAACACGAUUUCGUCUUGAAAUUUUAGUGAGAGAUCACCUUAUAAUGCUACCAUCAUUCUAAGAAAAAUAAGGUGCAUAAAAGGAUUAACAUCACAUGCAAUUCAUAAGUGACAUGAUAUGGCCAUCAUCUAGUGCUUCUUGAUCUCCAUCACCAAAGCACCGACACGAUCUUCUUGUCACCGACGCCACACCAUGAUCUCCAUCAACGUGUCUCCAUCGGGUUGUCGUCCUACUUAUGCUAUUACUACUAAAGCUACGUCCUAGCAAUAUAGUAAACGCAUCUGCAAACACAAAUGUUAGUUUAAAGACAACCCUAUGGCUCAUGUCGGUUGCUGUACCAUCGACGUGCAAGUCGAUAUUAAGUAUUACAACAUGAUCAUCUCAUACAUCCAAUAUAUCACAUCACGUCAUUGGCCAUAUCAUAUCACAAGCAUACCCUGCAAAAACAAGUUAGACGUCCUCUAAUUUGUUGUUGCAUGUUUUACGUGGCUGCUAUGGGUAUCUAGUAGAUCGCAUCUUACUUACGCAAAAACCACAACGGAGAUGUGCAAAUUGCUAUUUAACCUCUCCAAGGACCACCUCGGUCAAAAACAAUUCAACUAAAGUUGAAGAAUCCGACACCCGCCAGUCAUCUUUAUGCAACGAGGUUGCAUGUCAAUCGAUGAAACCAGUCUUUCGUAAGCGUAAUAAUAAUGUCGGUCCGGGCCUCUUCAAUCCAACAAUACCGCUAAAUCGAGAAAAGACUAAGGAGGGGAGCAAAUCAAACAUCACCGUCUACAAAACCCUUUGUGUUCUACUCCAGAUAACAACUACGCAUGAACCUAGCUCAUGAUGCCACUGUUGGGGAACGUUGCAUGGGAAACAUAAUUUUUCCUACGCACACGAAGACCUAUCAUGGUGAUGUCCAUCUACGAGAGGAGAUUUGGAUCUACGUACCCUUGAAGAUUGCACAACAGGAAGUGUUAAGAAACGUGGUUGAUGUAGUGGAACAUCUUCACAUCCCUCGAUCAGCCCCACAAACUGUCCCACGAACCGUCCAUCGAUCCGUCCUACGAUCCGUUCCGAUCUAGUGCCGAACGGACGACACCUCCGCGUUCAACACACGUACAACUCGACGAUGAUCUCGGCCUUCUUGAUCCAGCAAGCAAGACAGAGAAGUAGAUGAGUUCUCCGGCAGCGUGACAACGCUCGGUGGUGGUGAUGAUCUACUCUUGCAGGGCUCCGCCCGAGCACCGCAGAAAUACGAUCUAGAGGUAAAACUAUGGUGUCUAGAUCUGAGUUGCACGUGGCAAAAGUUGUCUCAAAUCAGCCCUAAAUCACCACUAUAUAUAGGAGGGAGGGGGAGGAGGCUUGCCUUGAGGGCCUGCGCCGGCCAAGGGAGAGGAGGAGUCCUACUCUAAUCCUAGUCCAACUAGGAUUGGAAAGUGGAGUCCUUCUCUUCCUUCUCACCUCCCCCUUUUUUUCUUCUUUUCUUUGGUUUUCUUCUUAUGGCGCAUAGGCCCUCUUGGGCUGUCCCACCAGCCCACUAAGGGCUGGUGCGCCACCCCUAGGGCCUUUGAGCUUCCCCCGGGUGGGUUGCCCCCCUCUCGGUGAACUUCCGGAACCCAUUCGUCACUUCCGAUACAUUCCCGGUAAUGCCCGAAAGCCUUCCGGUAACCAAAUGAAGCCAUCCUAUAUAUCAAUCUUUGUUUCCGGACCAUUCGGGAAACCCUCGUGACAUCCGUGAUCUCAUCCGGGACUCCGAACAACAUUCUGUAACCACACAUAUAACUCAACUAUUCUAAAACAUUGUCGAACCUUCAGUGUGCAGACCCUGCGGGUUCAAGAACUAUGUAGACAUGCCCCGAGGUACUCCUCAGUCAAUAUAGAAUAACGGGACCUGGAUGCCCAUAUUGGAUCCUACAUAUUCUCCGAAAUUCAUAUCGGUUGAACCUCAGUGUCAAGGAUUCAUAUAAUCCCGUAUGUCAUUCCCUUUGUCCUUCGAUAUGUUACUUGCCCGAGAUUCGAUCGUCCGUAUCCGCAUACCUAUUUCAAUCUCGUUACCGGCAAGUCUCUUUACUCGUUCCGUAAUACAAAAUCCCGUGACUUACACUUAGUCACAUUGGUUGCAAGGCUUGUUUGUGAUGUUGUGUUACCGAGUGGGCCCCGAGAUACCUCUCCGUCACACGAAGUGACAAAUCCCAGUCUUGAUCCAUACUAACUCAACGGACACCUUCGGAGAUACCUGUAGAGCACCUUUAUAGUCACCCAGUUACGUUGUGACGUUUGAUGCACACAAGGUAUUCCUCCGGUGCUAGUGAGUUAUAUGAUCUCAUGGUCAUAGGAAUAAAUACUUGACACGCAGAAAACUAUAGCAAUAAAACGACACAAUCAAUAUGCUACGUUCAUAGUUUGGGUCUAGUCCGUCACAUGAUUCUCCUAAUGAUGUGAUCCAGUUAUCAAGUGACAACACUUGCACAUAGUCAGAAAACCUUGACUAUCAUUGAUCAACUGGCCAGCCAACUAGAGGUUUGCUAGGGACAUUGUUUUGUCUAUGUAUCCACACAUGUAUCUAUUUUUUCAUUCAAUACAAUUAUAACAUGGAUAAUAAAUGAUUAUCUUUAAAUAGGUAAUAUAAUAAUAACUAUUUAUCAUUGCCUCUAGGGCAUAUUUCGAACAAGACUUUGCAGAUUCCUCCAUCUCAUCGUCUGAAUCCCGAGCAUCAUCAAAUUCUUGCACCAUGUCUUCGAUCCCGGUACCAUGCUCGUUGGUGCAACGAUGAACCACCUCAGCUCUGGUGCGUUGUAUAGACUCACCAUAAAAUGUCCACACCGUAUAAUUAGGCUUAAAACACCUCCUCUGCAGGUGUUUAAUCAUUUUAUCCUUUGUCCUCUUUUUAUAGUUGUCGCACCCAGGACAGGGGCACCAGUUUGUUUCCUGGCCAUUUGCAAAUGCGGCUUUCACAAACUCCUUGGUUUUUGGAAACCAUUCUUUGGUCAUCUCUUUCUGACUAGGGUGACCGGUGUACAUCCAUGCACGGUCACUCAUCUUGCCUAGUUGAACGCAGGGGUGGAGUUCGUCGAACACCAGACCCUCACGGCGAUGAAAACAACUCCACAUUUAAAAUCCAAAGAUGAGUACCAUAAAAACAACUCGCAGUGCUUGUUUAGUCCACGCGGAGGGACCCCUACCCGAAAUAUAUGUCAUUCAAGGUUCCAUCUACGUUGAGGCAUCCCUAACCUAUAUAGAUGUCAUUUAGGGUUCCAUCGAUGCCGAGGAACCCCCUAACUCGCUCGUCCCCGGCGCCCUAAGGUAUGGCGACGCACGGUCGAAGGGUCAGCACGCCAUCUCUUCCGGUUCCAGAACCUCUCCUCACUGCCUCUCCUCUCCUCUCCGAGCAUUCUCCUGGUGAGGUCCGUCGUCGGCCACCUUUGGAAGGCCGAAGAGCACCUUAUCGGUCAACAUGAGGCCGAAGAGCUGUCGGGGGUCAGGGGUUGGGGCUCAGUGGUGUCGUAUUAACAGCUGCGUGGAGUUUUGUGUGGGGGUGUCGGGAUGUCGUGUCGGGGCAUCGUGUCGGGGUAUUGGGGCGUCGUGUCGGGGCAUCGUGUCGAGGUGUCAGGGUGUCGUUUUCUUCUUCCUCCUCUACUUUUUCCCCUCUUCUUCCUUUUCUUCUUCUUCUUCNNNUUCUUCUUCUUCUUCUUCAUCAUCAUCAUCAUCUUCUUCUUCUUCUUCUUCUUCUUCUUAUUCCUCUUCUUCUUCUUCUUCUUCUUCUUCUUGUUCUUCUUCCUCUUCUUCUUCUUCUUCUUCUUCCUCUUCUUCUUCUUCCUCUUCUUCUUCUUCUUCCUCUUCUUCUUCUUCAUUUUCUUCUUCUUUUUUGUUUUCUUCUUCUUCUUCGUCUUCGUCUUCUUCUUCUUCUUCUNNNNNNNNNNNNUCUUCUUCUUCCUCUUCUUCUUCUUCUUCNNNNNNNNNNCGAUGGUGGAGGAGGGGGGGCACGAUGGUGGAGGAGGGGGUCGCCGAGAGGAAGGGGCGAUGGUGGAGGAGGGGUCGCAAGGAGGAGGAGGGCCCGGGGAGGAGGAGGGCGGUAGUGGAGGAGGGGGCGGUGGUGGUGGACGAGGGCGAUGGUGAAGGAGGGCCGCGGGGACGGCGAGCUCCUGCAGCGGGUCAUGGGAAGGGCGAGCUCCGGCAGCGGGUCGCGGGGAGGAGAGGAGGGCGAGCUCCGACGAUGGUGGGUUUCAGAGGUGCGGGGCGAGAGAGAUCCGUUAUGAGGGAGAGGGGGUGUGGGGUGGGGGUCGACGUCCGUUAGGGCGCCAUCCUCUUUGUCGUCUGCCCCCCGACGGCAACGAGGUAGAAGGCAGACAACAAAGAGCUCACUGAUGGGGUGUGGGGUGGGGGCCGACGUCCCGUGCUCUUUGUCGUCUGCGUGUCGUCUCUUUGCCAUCAGCUGGCAGACGAUAGAGCGCUCAGUGAUGUCAAAAGAAAUAUCAGCCAACGGUCAGUUCUUUGUCGUUUGCCUUUCAUCUCUUUGCCGUCAGCUAGAAAACAGUAAAGUGCUCACUGAUGGCAAAUAGUAUCUUUGCCAUCAGUCUGUUCUUAGCCGUGUGGUUUUUGGCAGCUGACGGCAAAGAGGGUCUUUGCCAUCACCCAACAAACGACAAAGAACAGGCUGAUGGCAAAUUCUCUGAUUUGAGUAGUGAUGUGAUCAGCACCCAAUGAGUUCUGCGGUUUGAUUAUAUUUUUCUUGUGAACGAGGUUUUAGUCAACGAAUCUGCAAUAUUCAGAUUCGUGUGUACUUUGCAAAUAUCUAUGUCAUACUGUACAUGUUGCUACCACAUUCCACUUGUAGCUGUUCCAAAUGACUGCUCCACUAUACAAAUCCGAUUUGCUACUCAGAGUCAUCCGGAUUGGUGUCAAAGCUUGCAUCGACGUAACUCUUUACAAGAAACUCUUUAAUCACCUCCAUAAUCGAUAAACAUUUCCUUAGUACUCUUGUUACUAAGGAUAAUUUUGACCGUUGUUCAGUGAUCCACUCCAGGAUCACUUUUGCACCCCUUGACAGACUCAUGGCAAGGCACACAUCAGGUGCGGUACACAACAUGACAUACUAUAUAGUCUAUGGCUAAGGCAUAGGGGACGACCUUCGUCCUUUCUCUUUCUUCUGCCGUGGUCGAGCUUUGAUUCUAACGCAAAUUCACACCUUACAAUACAACCAAGAACUCCUUCUUUGGAUUGAUCCAUUUUGAACUCCUUCAAAAUCUUGUCAAGGUAUGUAUUCGUGGAAAGUUUUAUCAAGCGUCUUGAUCUAUCUUUAUAGAUCUUGAUGCCCAAUAUUCAAGUAGCUUUAUCCAGGUUUUGCUUUGAAAAACUCCUUCCAAACAACCCUGUAUGCUUUCCAGAAAUUCUACAUCAUUGUUGAUCAACAAUAUGUCAACCACAUAUACUUAUCAGAAAUUCUAUAGUGCUCCCACUCACUUUCUUGUAAAUACAAGUUUCUUCAUAAACUUUGUAUAAAUCCAAAAGCUUUGGUCACCUUCUCAAAGCACAUAUUCCUACUCCGAGAUGCUUGCGCCAGUCCAUAAAUGGAUCGCUGGAGCUUGCAUGCUUUUUAGCAUCCUUAGGAUCGACAAAACCUUCUAGUUGUAUCACAUACAACCUUUCCUCAAGGAAACCGUGAAGGAAACGAUGUUUUGACAUCCAUCUGCCAGAUUUCAUAAUUGAAAAAUGUAGUAACUCCUAACAUAAUUCCAACAGACUUUAGCAUUGCUACACGUGAGAAUAUCUCAUCGUAGUCAGCUCCUUGAACUUGUCGGAAACCUCUUUGUGUCAAGUAGAUCUUUAUAAAUGGUGGCAUUUACCAUCAUUGUCUGUCUUCAUCUUAAAGAUCCACACUUAAUAGCCUUACGACCAUCAAGUAAUUCUUCCAAAGUCCACACUUUGUUUUCGUACAUGGAUCCUAUCUCGGAUUUCAUGGCCUCUAGCCAUUUGCUGGAAUCCACGCCCGCCAUUGCUUCUCCAUAGCUCGUAGGUUCAUCGUUGUCCAACAACAUGACCUUUAAGAUAGGAUUACCGUACCACUCAGGAGCAGUACACGUCCUUGUCGACCUACGAGGUUCAGUAGUGCCUUGAUCUGAAGCAUUGUGAUCACCAUCACUAGCUUCCUCUUAAACCAGUGUAGGCAUCACAAGAACAUCUUCCUGCGCCCUGCUACUCUUUGGUUGAAGUGACAGUUCAAAACCUCAUCAAGUUCCGCCACCCUCCCACUAAAUUAUUUCGAGAGAAACUCUUUCUCGGGAAAGGACCCAUUCUUCGCAACAACCACUUUGCCUUUGGAUCUGUGAUAUGAGGUAUACCCAAUUGUUUCCUUUGGGUAUCCUAUGAAGAUGCAAUUAUCCGCUUUGGAUUCGAGCUUAUCAGGCUGAAGCCUUUUGACAUAAGCAUCACAACCCCAAACUUUAAGAAACGACAGCUUAGGUUUCUUGCCAAACCAUAGUUCAUAUGGUGUCAUCUCAACGGAAUUAUAUGGUGCCCUAUUUAAAGUGAAUGUGGUUGUCUCUAAUGCAUAACCCCAAAAUGGUAGUUGCAAAUCAGUAAGAGACAUCAUAGUACGCUCCAUAUCCAAUAGGGCACAACUUCCGUGUACGGACACACCAUCACUCUAUGGUGUUAUAGGAGGCAUGAGUUGUGAAACAAUUUCCACAUUUGUCUUAAAUGUAUACCAAACUCAUAACUCAGAUAUUCACCUCUACGAUCAUAUUGUAGACAUUUUAUCUUCUUGUCACGAUGAUCUUGAACUUCACUCUGAAAUUGCCUUGAACUCUUCAACGUUUCGGACUUGUGAUUCAUCAAGUAAAUACACAUGUAUCUUACUCAAAUCAUAUGUGAAGGUAUGAAAAUAAUGAUAUCCACUCCGUGCUUCAGCACUCAUUGGACUGCAUACAUCAAAAAGUAUUAUUUCCAAUAAGUCACUUGCCCACUCCAUCUUACCGGAAUACGGGGUCCUAGUCAUCUUUCCCACGAGGCAUGGUUUGCAUGUCUCAAGCCAUUUGAAAUUGAGUGAGUCCAAAGAUCCAUCAACAUGGAGUUUCUUCAUGUGUUUUACACCAAUAGGCAUGGUACACAUGUGUCAAGCGAUUGAAAAUCGAGUGAGUCCAAAGAUCCAUCAACAUGGAGUUUCUUCAUGCCUUUUACAUCAAUAUGACCUAAGCGGUCGUGCCACAAGUAAGUGGUACUAUCAUUACUAACUUUACAUCUUUUGGCAUCAAUACUAUGAUCGAGAUUCAAUAAACCAUUCAUCUUGGGUGCAUGAUCAUAUAAGAUACUAUUCAUGUAAACAUAAUGACCCAUUAUUCUCUAACUUACAUAAAUAAUUGUCUCGCAAUAAACAAAAUCAAUAUAAUAUUCAUGCUCAACACAGACACCAAAUAACAUUCAUUUUGGCUUACCACUAAUCUCAAAGGAAGAUGGAGCGUUGGAUGGUUAUCACAUUAACGUUGGAAACAUUUCCAACAUCCAUUGACACAUCGCCCUUAGCUAGUCUCUAUUUAUUCAGAAACUCCUAUUUUGGAGUUACUAAUAUCAGCAACUUAACCGGUAUCAAAUACCGAGGGGCUACAACGAGCACUAGUAAUACAGAUGUCAAUAACAUGUAUAUCAAAUAUACUUUUGUCGACAUUGCCAGUCUCCUUAUCUGCCAAGCAUCUGGGUAGUUCCGCUUUCACUGACUGUUCCCCUCACAACAGAAGCACUCAGUCUCGGGUUUGGGUUCAACCUUGGGUUUCUUCACUCGAGCGACAACUGGUUUGUCAUUAUCGAAGUUUCCCUACUUCCCCUUACCCUUCUUGAAACUAGUGGUUUUACUAACCAUCAACAAUUGACGCUCCUUCUUGAUUUCGACCUUUGCGGUGUCAAACAUCGCGAACAUCUUAGGGAUCAACAUCUCCAUCCCUGGUAUGUUAUAGUUCAUCAUGAAGCUCCAUUAGCCCGGUGACAACGACUUGGAUAACUAUGUCAAUCACUAUCUUAUUUUUUUGAUCAACUCCCACUCGAUUCAAGUGAUUUUAGCACCGAGACAAUCUGAGCAUAUGCUCACCGAUUGAGCCAUUCUCCUUCAUCUUUCGGGCAAAGAAUCUUGUUCGAGGUCUCCUACCUCUCAACACGGGCAUGAUCCUGAAAUCUCAAUUCCAGCUCUUUGGAACAUCUCAUAUGUCCUGUGACGUUCAAAAUGUUGGGUAACGUAGCAAAAAUUCAAAAUUUUCCUACGCCAUAUUCAGAUCUUCCUAUGGAGAGACCAGCAACGAGAGAGGGGUGAGUGCAUCUUCACACCUUUGAAGAUCGCUAAGCGGAAGCGUUGCUAGAACGCGGUUGAUGGAGUCGUACUCGCGGCGAUUCAGAUCGCGGUGUGAUUCCGGUCUAGUGCCGAACCACGGCACCUCCGUGUUCAACACACGUGCAACCCGGUGACGUCUCCCGCACCUUGAUCCAGCAAGGAGGAGGGAGAGGUUGGGGAAGAGCUCCGACAGCACGACGGCAUGGUGGCGAUGGAGUGAUGAGGUCUCCCGGCAGGGCUUCGCCAAGCACCGUGGGAGAGGAGGAAGAAGAGGAGCAGGGCUGUGCCGAGAGAGAGAGAGGAAUUCCCGUGUCUCCAAUGGCAAAACCCUCCCACUAUAUAUAGGGGGAAGGGGAGUGUGGCACCCCCUUAGGGUUCCCACCCCUAAGGGGUGCGGCAGCCCUAGAUGGGGGAGGAGGUGGCGGCCAGGAGGGGAGGAGGGGGUGGCGCACCCCGUGGUGGGCCUUAGGCCCACCUGCGCUAGGGUUUCCCCCUUCCCCCUCUUGGGCGCCAUGGGCUUGGUGUGGGGUGUCCACCAGCCCACCCAGGGGCUGGUUACCUCUCACACUUGGCCCAUGUAGCCUCCUGGGGCUGGUGGCCUCUCCCGGUGGGCCUCCGGAACCCUUCCGGUGGUCCCGACACUUUGCCGGUGGUGCCUGAAACAUUUCCGGCAUCCAAACCCAUCCAUCCUAUAUAUCAAUCUUUACCUCCGGACCAUUCCGGAGCUCCUCAGACGUACGGGAUCUCAUCCGGGACUCCGAACAUCCCUCGGUAACCUCGUAUAACAAUUCCCUAUAACCUUAGCGUAAUCGAACCUUAAGUGUGUAGACCCUACGGGUUUGGGAGGCAUGCAGACAGGACUGAGACACCUCUCCGGCCAAUAACCAUCAGCGGGGUCUGGAUACCCAUGGUGGCUCCCACAUGUUCCACGAUGAUCUCAUCGGAUGAACCACGAUGUCAAGGAUUCAAUCAAUCCCGUAUACAAUUCCCUUUGUCUGUCGGUAUAGAACUUGCCCGAGAUUCGAUCGUUGGUAUACCUAUACCUUGUUCAAUAUCGUUACCGGUAAGUCUCUUUACUCGUUCCGUAGCACAUCAUCCCGUGACUAACUACUUAGUCACACUGAGGUCAUUAUGAUGAUGGUCUACCGAGUGGGCUCAGAGAUACCUCUCCGUCACACGGAGUGACAAAUCCUGAUCUCGAUUGGUACCAACCAAACAAACACUUUCAGAGAUACCCGUAGUGCACCUUUAUAGUCACCAAUUUAUGUUGUGACGUUUGACACACCCAAAGCACUCCUACGGUAUCCGGGAGUUGCACAAUCUCACGGUCGAAGGAAAAGACACUUGACAUUCAAAAAAGCUUUAGCAUACGAACAACACGAUCUAGUGCUAUGCUUACGAUUGGAUCUUGUCCAUCACAUCAUUCUCCUAAUGAUGUGAUCCCGUUAUCAAUGCCAUCCAAUGUCCAUGAUCAGGAAACCAUGAUCAUCUAUUGAUCAACGAGCUAGCCAACUAGAGGCUUGCUAGGGACACAUUGUGAUCUAUUUAUCCACACAUGUAUUACUGUUUCCCGUUAAUACAUUUAUAGCAUGAACAAUAGAUGAUUAUCAUGAGCAAGGAAAUACGAUAAUAACCAUUUUAUUAUUGCCUCUAGGGCAUAUUUCCAACAGUCUCCCACUUGCACUAGAGUCAAUAAUCUAGUUACAUUGUGAUGAAUCGAACACCCAUAGCAUUGUGGUGUUGAUCAUGUUUUGCUCGAGGAAGAGGUUUAUUCAACGGGUCUGCAAUAUUCAGAUCCGUGUGUACUUUACAAAUAUCUAUUACUCCUCUCUGGACCUGGUCCUGGAUGGAGUUGUAGCCGCGUUGGAUGUGCUUGGUCUUCCAGUGAAAUCUGGGCUCCUUGGCUACGACAAUGGCUUGAGUGUUAUCACAGAAGAGUGUCAUUGGACCUGAAGCGCUUGGAACCACUCCAAGGUCGGUGAUGAACUCCUUCAUCCAGAUCCCUUCAUGAGCCGCUUCCGAAGCAACUAUAUACUCCGCUUCACAUGUAGAUGCUGCCACGACGUCUUGCUGCUGGACCAGCUCACUGCCCCGCCAUUCAAAACAUACACAUAUCCGGUUUGUGACUUAGAGUCAUCCGGAUCUGUGUCGAAGCUAGCAUCGGCGUAACCCUUUACGACGAGCUCUUCGUCACCUCCAUAAACGAGAAACAUCUCCUUAAUCCUAUUCAGGUACUUAAGGAUAUUCUUGACCGCUGUCCAGUGUUCCAUACCGGGAUCACUUUAGUACCUCCCUACCAAACUUAUGGCAACGUUUAUAUCAGGUUUGGUACACAACAUGGAUUACAUUAGAGAGCCCACGGCUGAAGCAUAGGAGCCAGUACUCAUCUUCUCUCUAUCUGCUGCCAUGAUUGGUGAUUGAGUCUUACUCAAUCUCAUACCUUGCAAAACUAGCAAGGACCCCUUCUUUGAGUUUUCGAUAUUGAACUUCUUCAAUAUCUUGUCAAGGUAUGUACUUUGCGAAAGAUCUAUGAGGCGUCUCGAUCUAUCUCUAUAGAUCUUGAUGCCUAAUAUGUAUGCAGCUUCUCCAAGGUCCUUCAUUGAAAAACUCUUGUUCAAGUAGGCCUUUAUGCUCUCCAAUAACUCUAUAUUAUUCCCCAUCAAUAAUAUGUCAUCCACAUAUAGUAUGAGGAAAGCUACAGAGCUCCCACUCACUUUCUUGUACAGACAGGCUUCUCCAUAAACCUGUAUGAACCCAAACGCUUUAAUCACCUCAUUAAAGCGAAUGUUCCAGCUCCGAGAUGCUUGCACUAGCCCAUAGAUUGAGCGCUGGAGCUUGCACACCUUGUUAGCACUCUUAGGCUCAACAAAACCUUCUGGUUGCAUCAUAUACAACUCUUCCUUAAGAUACCCGUUAAGGAACGCUGUUUUGACGUCCAUUUGCCAAAUUUCAUAAUCAUGAAAAGCGGCAAUUGCUAACAUAAUUCAGACUGACUUUAGCUUCGCUACAGGAGAGAAAGUCUCAUCGUAGUCAACUCCUUGAAUUUGUCAAAAACCCUUUGCGACAAGUCGAGCUUUGUAAACAGUCACAUUCCCGUUUGCAUCAGUCUUCUUCUUGAAGAUCCUUUUAUUUUCUAUGGCUCGCCGAUCAUCGGGCAAGUCCACCAAAGUCCAUACUUUGUUCUCAUACAUGGAUCCUAUCUCGGAUUUCAUGGACUCAAGCUAUUUGUUGGAAUCCGGGCCCGCCAUUGCUUCUUCAUAGUUCGAAGGUUCACCGUUGUCUAGCAACAUGAUUUCCAUCACAGGGUUGCCGUACCACUCUGGUGCGGAACGUGCCCUUGUGGACCUUCGUGGUUCAGUAGCAACUUGAUCCGAAGCUUCAUGAUCAUCAUCAUUAACUUCCUCUCGAGUUGGCAUAGGCGCCACAGGAACAAUUUCCCGCGCUGCGCUACUCUCCGAUUCGAGAGGGGGUGUAAUUACCUCAUCAAGUUCUACUUUCCUCCCACUUAUUUCUUUCGAGAGAAACUCUUUCUCUAGAAAGGAUCCAUUCUUGGCAACAAAGAUUUUACAUUUGGAUCUAAGAUAGAAGGUAUACCCAAUAGUUUCCUUAGGGUAUCCUAUGAAUAUGCAUUUCUCCGCUUUGGGUUCGAGCUUCUCUGGUUGAAGUUUCUUCACAUAAGCAUCGCAGCCCCAAACUUUUAGAAACGACAGCUUAGGUUUCUUGCCAAACCAUAAUUCAUACGGUGUAGUCUCAAUGGAUUUAGACGGUGCCCUAUUUAAAGUGAAUGCUGCAGUUUCCAAUGCGUAUCCCCAAAAUGAUAGCGGUAAGUCGGUAAGAGACAUCAUAGAUCGUACCAUAUCUAAUAAAGUGCGAUUACGACAUUCAGACACUCCAUUACAUUGCGGUGUGCCAGGAGGCGUCAGUUGUGAAACAAUUCCGCACUUCCUUAGGUGUGUGCCAAACUCGUGACUGAAAUAUUCUCCUCCACGAUCAGAUUGUAGACACUUUAUUUUACUGUCACGUUGAUUCUCAACCUCAGUCUGAAAUUCCUUGAACUUUUCAAAUGUUUCAGAUUUGUGCUUCAUCAAGUAGAUAUACCCAUACCUACCCAAAUCAUUUGUGAGAGUGAGAACAUAACGAUAGCCACCGCGAGCUUCAAUGUUCAUUGGACCACACACAUCAGUAUGUAUUAUUUCCAAUAAGUCGGUUUCUCUCUCCAUUAUUCCUGAGAAUGGAGUCUUAGUCAUCUUGCCCAUGAGGCACGGCUCGCAUGUGUCAAAUGAUUCAAAGUCAAGAGACUCUAACAGUCCAUCAGUAUGGAGUUUCUUCAUGCGCUUAACACCGAUAUGACCAAGGCGGCAGUGCCACAAGUAUGUGGGACUAUCAUUAUCAACUUUGCAUCUUUUGGUAUUCACACUAUGAAUAUGUGUAACAUCACGAUCGAGAUUCAUCAAGAAUAAACCAUUCACCAACAGAGCAUGAUCAUAAAACAUAUCACUCAUAUAGAUAAACAACCAUUAUUCUCUGACUUAAAUGAGUAGCCGUCUCGCAUUGAGCAAGACCCUGAUACAAUGUUCAUGCUCAAAGCUGGAACUAAAUAACAAUUAUUAAGGUUUAAAACUAAUCCCGAAGGUAGAUGUAGAGGUAGCGUGCCGACGACGAUCACAUCGACCUUGGAGCCAUUCCCGAUGCGCAUCGUCACCUCGUCCUUGGCUAGUCUCCGCUUAUUCCGCAGUUCCUGCUUGGAGUUGCAAAUGUGAGCAACAACACCGGUAUCAAAUACCCAGGAGCUACUACGAGCGCUGGUAAGGUACACAUCAAUAACAUGUAUAUCAUAUAUACCUUUAACGUUGUCGGCCUUCUUAUCCGCUAAGUACUUGGGGCAGUUCCACUUCCAGUGACCUUUUCCCUUGCAAUAGAAGCACUCAGUCUUAGGCUUGGGUCCAUUCUUUUUCUUAUUCCCGGCAUCUGGCUUACGGGGCGUGGCAAUGGAUUUGCCGUCUUUCUUGAAGUUCUUCUUACCCUUGCCCUUCUUGAAACUGGUGGUCUUGUUGACCAUCAACACUUGAUGCUCUUUCUUGACUUCUACUUCUGCAGAUUUCAGCAUCGAGUACAACUCGGGAAUGGUCGUCUCCAUCCCUUGCAUGUUGUAGCUCAGCACAAACCCUUGUAGCUUGGUGGGAGAGACUGGAGGAUUCUAUCAAUUACGGUGUCAUCCGAAAGUUUGACUCCAAGCUGAGUCAGACGACCGUGCAACCCAGACAUUCUAAGAAUAUGCUCACUAACAGAACUGUUCUCCUCCAUCUUAUAGCUAAAGAACUUGUCGGAGACUUCAUAUCUCUCGACCCGGGCAUGAGCUUGAAAAACUAGCUUCAGCUCUGGAACAUCUCAUAUGCUCCGUGUUGCUCAAAAUGCCUUUGGAGCCCUGGUUCUAAACUGUAUAACAUGCCACACCUAACCAGAGAGUAGUCAUCACUCCACGCUUGCCAGACGUUCUGAACAUCUUGGGCUACCGCGGGAACAGGGGGGUCACCUAGCGGCGCAUCAAGGACAUAAGCCUUCUUGGAUGCAAUGAGGAUGAGCUUCAAGUUGCGGACCCAGUCCGCAUAGUUGCUACCAUCAUCUUUGAGCUUGUUUUUCUCUAGGAACGCGUUGAAAUUGAGGUUGACAGGUGCGUUGGCCAUUGGAUCUACAAUAUUUGUAAAGACAACCUUUUAGACUAAGUUCAUGAUAAUUAAGUUCAUCUAAUCAAAUUAAGUAUGAACUUCCACUUAAAUCGACAUCCCUGUAGUCAUCUAAGUGAUACAUGAUCCAUGUCGACUAACCCGUGUCCGAUCAUCACGUGAGACGGACUAGUCGUCAUGGUGAGCAAAUUCAUGCUGAUCGUAUUCAACCAUACGACUCAUCUUCGACCUUUCGGUCUCUUGUAUUCGAGGUCAUGUCUGUACAUGCUAAGCUCGUCGAGUCAACCUAAGUGUUUCGCGUGUGUAAAUCUGGCUUACACCCGUUGUAUGCGAACGUUAGAAUCUAUCACACCCGAUCAUCACGUGGUGCUUCGAGACAACGAUGCUUCGCAACGGUGCCCACUUAGGGGAAUACAUUCUCGAAAUUUUAUGAGGGUUCAUCUUAUUAUUCUACCGUCGUUCUAAGCAAUAAGAUAAAAAACAUGAUAAACAUCACAUGCAAUCAUAUAGUGACAUGAUAUGGCCAUUAUCAUCUUUGCUCCUUCGAUCUCCAUCUUCGGGCAUCGCAUGAUCAUCAUCGUCACCGGCGUGACACCAUGAUCUCCAUCAUCGUGUCUCCGUGAAGUCAUCACGCCAACUACUACUACCACCACCACCACCACCACCACCACCACCACCACUACUACUACUACUACUACUACUACUACUACAACUAACCAUUAGCGAUGAAGUAAAAGUAGUAAACACAUGUCGUUGCAUCUCAUACAAUAAAUUAAGACAACUCCUAUGGCUCCUGCCGGUUGUCAUACACAUCGACAUGCAAGUCGUGAAUCCUAUUACAAGAACAUGAUCAUAUCAUACAUAACACAUGGAACAUCACAUUCUUUGGCCAUAUCACAUCACAUGUCAAAACCUGCAAAAUCAAGUUAGAUGUCCUCUAAUUGUUGUUGCAAGUUUUACGUGGCUGAUUUGGGUUUCUAGCAAGAACGCCUUCUUACCUACGUCACAACCACAACGAUGAUAUGCCAAAGCUAUUCACCCUUCAUAAGGACCCUUUUCAUCAAAUCCAAUCUGACUAGAGUGCGAGAGACAAACACCCGCUAGCCACCUUAUGCACCUAGUGCAUGUUAGCUGGUGGAACCAGUCUCACGUAAGCGUACGUGUAAGGUCGGUCCGAGCCACUUCAUCCCACAAUACCGCCGGAAAAUAAUAGGACUAGUAGCGGCAAGCAAUUGACAAAAUCAACGCCCACAACCUUUUUGUGUUCUACUCGUGCAAAGAAUCUACACAUAGAAAACCUGGCUCGGAUGCCACUGUUGGGUAACGUAGGAAAAAUUCAAAAUUUUCCUACGCCAUAUUUAGAUCUUCCUAUGGAGAGACCAUCAAUGAGAGAGGGGUGAGUGCAUCUUCAUACCUUUGAAGAUCGCUAAGCGGAAGCGUUGCUAGAACGCGGUUGAUGGAGUCGUACUCGCGGCGAUUCAGAUCCCGGUGUGAUUCCGAUCUAGUGCCGAACCACGACACCUCCGCGUUCAACACACGUGCAGCCCGGUGACGUCUCCUGCACCUUGAUCCAGCAAGGAGGAGGGAGAGGUUGGGGAAGAUCUUUGGCAGCACGACGGUGUGGUGGCGACGGAGCGACGAGGUCUCCCGUCAGGGCUUCGCCAAGCACCGUCGGAGAGGAGGAAGAAGAGGAGCAGGGCUGCGCCGAGAGAGAGAGGAAUUCCCGUGUCUCCAAUGGCAAAACCCCCCACUAUAUAUAGGGGGAAGGGGGGUGGUGCUCCCCUUAGGGUUCCCACCCCUAAGGGGUGCAGCAUCCCUAGAUGGGGGGAGGAGGUGGCGGGGAGGAGGAGAGGAGGGGGUGGCGCACCCCCUGGUGGGCCUUAGGCCCACCAACGCUAGGGUUUUCCCCCUUCCCCGUCUUAGGCGCCAUGGGCUGGGUGUGGGGGGCGCACCAACCCACCCACGGGAUGGUUCCCUCUCACACUUGGUUCAUGUAGCCUCCUAGGGCUGAUGGCCUCUCCCGAUGGGCCUCCGGAACCCUUCCGGUGGUCCCGACACUUUGCCGGUGGUGCCCGAAACAUUUUCGGCGUCCAAACCCAUCCAUCCUAUAUAUCAAUCUUUACCUCCGGACCAUUCCGGAGCUCCUCGUGAUGUACGGGAUCUCAUCCGGGACUCCGAACAUCCCUCGGUGACCUCGUAUAACAAUUCCCUAUAACCCUAGCGUCAUCAAACCUUAAGUGUGUAGACCCUACGGGUUCGGGAGGCAUGCAGACAUGACCGAGACACCUCUCCGGCCAAUAACCAUCAGCAGGGUCUGGAUACUCAUGGUGGCUCCCACAUGUUCCACGAUGAUCUCAUCGGAUGAAACAUGAUGUCAAGGAUUCAAUCAAUCAUGUAUACAAUUCCCUUUGUCUGUCGGUAUAGAACUUGCCCGAGAUUCGAUCGUCGGUAUACCUAUACCUUGUUCAAUAUCGUUACCGGUAAGUCUCUUUACUCGUUCCGUAGCACAUCAUCCCGUGACUAACUACUUAGUCACACUGAGCUCAUUAUGAUGAUGUUCUACCGAGUCGGCCCAAAGAUACCUCUCCGUCACACAGAGUGACAAAUCCUGAUCUCGAUUCGUACCAACCCAACAGACACUUUCGGAGAUACCCGUAGUGCACCUUUAUAGUCACCCAGUUAUGUUGUGACGUUUGAUACACGCAAAGCACUGCUAUGGUAUCCGGGAGUUGCACAAUCUCACGGUCGAAGGAAAACAAACUUGACAUUUAGAAAAGCUUUAGCAUACGAACACCACGAUCUAGUGCUAUGCUUAGGAUUGGGUCUUUGAUACGUCUCUGAUAACCCACAAGUAUAGGGGAUCAAUUGUAGCCUUUCUCGAUAAGUAAGAGUGUCGAACCCAACGAGGAGCUAAAGGUAGGACAAAUAUUCCCUCAAGUUCUAUCGACCACUGAUACAACUCUACGCACACUUUACGUUCGCUUUACCUAGAACAAGUAUGAAACUAGAAGUACUUUGUAGGAGUGAUAGGAUAGGCUUGCAAGAAAGUAAAGAACACGUAAAUAAAACUAGGGUCUGGUUAGAUAAAGAAACAACUAUGAGUGUCUAAAGAGUGUGGAAAAGUGGUGGUAGGAGUUGCGGAAUUGUCACUAAGCAAUUGACUACGUUACUAGAUCGAUAGCAACUAUCAUGUGGGAGAGGCCUCUGCUAGCAUGUCAUCCCUUACUUGGANNNNNNNNNNNNNNNNNNNNNNNNNNNNNNNNNNNNNNNNNNNNNNNNNNNNNNNNNNNNNNNNNNNNNNNNNNNNNNNNNNNNNNNNNNNNNNNNNNNNNNNNNNNNNNNNNNNNNNNNNNNNNNNNNNNNNNNNNNNNNNNNNNNNNNNNNNNNNNNNNNNNNNNNNNNNNNNNNNNNNNNNNNNNNNNNNNNNNNNNNNNNNNNNNNNNNNNNNNNNNNNNNNNNNNNNNNNNNNNNNNNNNNNNNNNNNNNNNNNNNNNNNNNNNNNNNNNNNNNNNNNNNNNNNNNNNNNNNNNNNNNNNNNNNNNNNNNNNNNNNNNNNNNNNNNNNNNNNNNNNNNNNNNNNNNNNNNNNNNNNNNNNNNNNNNNNNNNNNAUAAUAAUAUGUAGCAUAAAGCACCAUGUUCAAGUAGAGGGUACAGCGGGUUGCGGGAGAGUGAACUGCUGAAUAUAGAUGGGGGAAGAUGAUGGAGAUGUCGGUGAAGAUGACGGAGGUGUUGGUGUAGAUCGUCGUCACACGAUGAUGUCCCGGGCGACGUUCCGGCGCCGCCGAGAGAGAGGGGGAGAGAGCCCACCUCCUUCUUCUUCUUCCUUGACCUCCUCCCUAGAUGGGAGAAGGGUUUCCCCUCUGGUCCAUGGUCUCCAUGGCGGCGGAGGGGCGAGAGCCCCUUCGAGAUUGGAUCUCUCUCUCUGUGUCCUUCUGUUUCUGCGCUCCCAGAUUCUGCGUUUCACCAUUUCUUAAAUUUCGGAAGAUCCGUAACUCCGAUUGGGCUGAAAUUUUAACACGAUUAUUUUCCGGAUAUUAUCUUUCUUGCGGCGAAAGAAGGGCUCCAACCGCAUUAAGGACUGGCCACAAGCCUGCCAGCCGCCGCCGUACCUCCUGGUGGCGGCUAUAAGGCUUGUGGGCCCUCCGUGCAUCGCCUCGCAUCGAGUCUUCUUCCGAAAAAUCAUAAAUAUUCCAAAAAAAAUCCCCGUAAGUUUUUAUUACAUUUGGACUUCGUUUGGAAUGGAUAUACUGCGAAACAAAAAACAUGCAACAAACAGGAACUGGCACUGGGCACUGGAUCAAUAUGUUAGUCCCAAAAAUAGUAUAAAAAGUUGCCAAAAGUAUAUGAAAGUGUAGAAUAUUGGCAUGAAACAAUCAAAAAUUAUAGAUACGACGGAGACGUAUCAGUCUCCAACGUAUCUAUAAUUUUUGAUGGUUCCAUGCUAUUAUCUUGUCAAACUUUGGAUGUUUUGUAUGCCUUUUAUAUCUUUUUUGGGACUAACUUAUUAACUUAGUGCCAAGCGCGAGUUCCUGUUUUUUUUCGUGUUUUUGACCCUUUUUAGAGGAGAGUAUUAAACGGAGUCCAAACGGAAUAAAACCUCCGAAAAGAUUUUUUCCGGAACAGAAGAUACGCAGGGAGCUUGAGAACCAAGGCAGAGGGCGCCAGGGGAAGCCACAAGCCCCCUAGCCAUGGCCUGGGGGGCGCCUAGCAGGCUUGUGGGCCCCCUAUGGCUCCUCUGCCCUACUUCUUCCGCCUAUAUAUCCCCGAAAAAUCCAAAACCACGGGAGAGAGCCACAAAAAUACUUUUCCGCCGCCGCAAGCUUCUGUCUCCGCAAGAUCCCAUCUGGGGCACGUUCUGGUGCCCUGCCGGAGGGGGGAUUCGGAUACGGAGGGCUUCUUCAUCAACACCAUUGCCUCUCCGAUGAUGCGUGAGUAGUUCACCAUAGACCUUCGGGUCCAUAGCUAGUAGCUAGAUGGCUUCUUCUCUCUCUUGGAUCUUCAAUACAAAGUUCUCCAUGAUCUUUAUGGAGAUCUAUCCGAUGUAAUCUUCUUUUGCGGUGUGUUUGUCGAGAUCCAAUGAAUUGUGGAUUUAUGAUCAGAUUAUCUAGGAAUCUUAUUUGAGUUUCUUCUGAUCUCUUAUAUGCAUGAUUUCAUAUCGUCGUAAUUCUCUUCAAGCUGUGGGUUUUGUUUGGCCAACUUGAACUAUGAUUCUUGCAAUGGGAGAAGUGCUUGGUUUUGGGUUCAUACCGUGCGGUGACCUCACCCAGUGACAGAAGGGGUAGCGAGGCAUGCAUCGUGUUGUUGCCAUCAAGGGUAAAAAGAUGGGGUUUAUAUCUAUUGCAUGAAUUUAUCCCUCUACAUCAUGUCAUCUUGCUUAAGGCAUUACUCUGUUUGUCAUGAACUCAAUACACUAGAUGCAUGCCGGAUAGCGGUCGAUGUGUGGAGUAAUAGUAGUAUAUGCAGAAAGUAUCGGUCUACUUGUCUCGGACGUGAUGCCUAUAUGUAUGAUCAUUGCCUUAGAUAUCGUCAUGACUUUGCGCGGUUCUAUCAAUUGCUCGACAGUGAUUCGUUCACCCACCGUAAUAUUUUCUAUCUUGAGAGAAGCCUCUAGUGAACACUAUGGCCCCCAGGUCUACUUCACAUCAUAUUUUCAGCCCUACACUUUUACUUUGUUGCACUUUCUGCCUUCAUAUCUCACCUUGCAAUCAAUCGUGAAGUGAUUGACAACCGCUUUGUAGCGUUCGGUGCAAGUUUUCUGUUUUUGCGCACGUACUUUAGAGACUUGGCUUGGUACUCCUACUGGAUUGAUACCUUGGUUCUCAAACUUAGGGAAAUACUUACUGCUACUAUGCUGCAUCACCCUUUCCUCUUCAAGGGAAAAAACCAACGCAAGCUCAAGAGGUAGAAGUCUUGUCCAUCACAUCAUUCUACUAAUGAUGUGAUCCCGUUAUCAAUGACAUCCAAUGUCCAUGAUCAGGAAACCAUGAUCAUCUAUUGAUCAACGAGCUAGCCAACUAGAGGCUUGCUAGGGACACAUUGUGAUCUAUUUAUUCACACAUGUAUUACUGUUUCCUGUUAAUACAAUUAUAGCAUGAACAAUAGACGAUUAUCAUGAACAAGGGAAUAUGAUAAUAACCAUUUUAUUAUUGCUUCUAGGGCAUAUUUCCAACAAAAAAUAUCUUUGGAGCCUCAAUUCAAAGCCGUAAAUCAUGAUGCUCUGAACUAUCAAGUAGUCACCGAAAGCGUGUUUUUCAGAUGUUCACAACAUCUACAUAUGACACUUGAGGGUGUAGCACACUGAGCGGUGCAUCAAGGACAAAGCCUUCUGUGCAACAAUGAGGACAAUCCUCACUUUAUGGACCAAGUCCGCAUAAUUGCUACUAUCAUCUUUCAACUCAGUUUUCUCUAGGAACGUAUUAGAAAUAUACAGGGGAGCUACAACGCGAUCUAUUGUUCUACAACAUAUUUUGCAAAUACAACUUUAGACUAUGUUCAUGAUAAUGAGUUUAAUUAAUUAUAUUACUUAAGAACUCCCACUCAAAUUAACAUCCCUCGGGUUGUUUGAGUGUAAGAUGAUCCAAAUCCACCAACUCAAGUCCGAUCAUCAUGUGGGAUGAGCUGGUUUCAAUGGUGAACUUCUACAUGUUGAUCAUAUGUACUAUAUGACACAUGUUAGACCUUUCGGUCUCCUGUGUUCUGAGGCCAUGUUUGUACAUGCUAGGCUCUUCAUGUUUAACCCAAGUGUUCUACAUGUGGAAAACUGGAUUACACCCAUUGUAUGCGAACGUAGAGUCUAUCGCACCCGACCAUCACAUGGUGCCUCGAAACGACGAACCUUCGCAUUGGUGCACACUUGGGGAGAACACAAUUUUAUGUUGAAAUUUUUAGUGAGUGAUCAUCUUAUAAUGCUACCGCCAUCCUAAACAAAAUAAGAUGCAUAAAAGUACUAACAUCACAUGCAAAUCAUAAUAGUGACAUGAUAUGGCCAUCAUCAUCUUGUGCUUUUGAUCUCCAUCUCCAAAGCACCCGCAUGAUCUCCAUCGUCACCGACAUGACACCAUGAUCUCCAUCAUCAUGUCACCAUUGGGGUUGUUUCACCAACUAUGCUUCUACCACUAUUGCUAACUCACAGCGAUCAAGUAAAGCAAAAAGGCACAAAUAAUUAAAGACAACCCUAUGGCUCCUGCCGGUUGCCGUACUCGACAUGCAAGUCGUGAUAAUUCUAUACAAAACAUGAUCAUCUCAUACAUCACAUAUAUCUCAUCAUGUCAUUGGUCAUAUCAUAUCACAACAUACCUUGCAAAAACAGGUUAGGCAUUCUCUACUUUCUUGUUGCAUGUUUUACAUGGCUGCUAUGGGUAACUAGCAAGAACCGUUCUUACCUACUCAAAGCCACAACGGUGAUAUUCAAGUUGCUAUUUAACCUUCUACAAGGACCGUCUCUGUCAAAUCCGAUUCAACUAAAGUAGCAGAGAAAAACACCCGCCAACCAUCUUUAUGCAACAAGUUGCAUGUCAGUCGAUGGAUCUGGUCUCUCGUACGUGGACGAGUAAGGUUGGUCCGGGCCGCUUCAUCCCACAAUAUCGCCGAAUCAAAAUAAGACUAAGGAAGUAAGCAAUCUGAACAUCAACACUCUCAAACUCUUUUGUGUUCUAGUAAUGCAUGUUAUCUACGCAAAGACCUUGCUCUGAUACCACUAUAGGGGAACGUCGCAUGAGAAACAAAAAAUUUCCUACGCUCACCAAGAUCUAUCUAUGGAGAUCAACAUCUUUGAGAGAGGGAGUGCAUCUACAUACCCUUGUAGAUCUCUAAGUGGAAGUAUUGAGAAACACAAUUGUUGUAGUCGAACGUCUUCGUGAUGCAAUCACGAUCCGCCCGCGAUCCAAUCACGAACGUCCUCAUCAAGUGCCGAACGGACGACAUCUCCGCGUUCAAUACACGUACAACCCGAUGACACGUUCACCACUUCGAUCUAUCUAGCGUGGGUGAAGUGGUAGAUGAGUUCUCCGGCAGCACAAUGACAUGGUGGUGGUGGUGGUGGUGCGAUCUGAGCAGGGCUUCGCCAACCGCUGCCACACACGCGUUUCACAGGAGAAACCGAUCCAGGGAGAGAGGUAGGGUUGCACCUAUGCCUUGGGGUGGUGAUGCCCGCUCUCUCCCUCUCUCUAUAUAGGAGGAGGGGGUAGGUAGGUGCAUCCUUGGCCCCUCUUCCAAGGAGGGAUGGCCCGCCAAAGAGGGUAAGAGUCCACCUCCAACAAGGGAGGUGGACACCCUAGGGCAGACUCCUCCUCCACCCUUGGGCGCAUGGCCCUAUAGGGGUCGGCUUCCCAUCCCACCAGGGGCUGGUGCGCUACAUCUUACGCCCAUGUGCCCCCCGGGAUGGGUGGGACCCUCCCGGUGGACCCCCGGAACCCUUUCGGCACUCGGUGUAUAAUACCGAAAACACCCAAAACUUUCCUGGAACCCGAAUACCACUUUACUAUAUAUAUAUCUUUAUCUCUGGACCAUUCCAGAGCUUCUCAUGAGAUCCGGGAUCUAAUCCGGGACUCCGAACAACUUUCGGUCACCAACAUAAAUAACUCAACGAUACUAUAUCAUCACUGAAUGUUAAGUGUGCACACCGUGUGGGUUCAAGAACUAUGCAGACAUGACCGAGACACCUCUAUGGUCAAUAACAAAUAGUGAGACCUGGAUGCCCAUAUUGGUUCCUACAUAGUCUAUGAAUAUCUAUAUCAGUCGAACCAAUGAUGUUAAGGAUUCAACUAAUCCCAUAUUAUGUUCCCUUUGUCCAAGAUUCAAUCGUCAGUAUCUCCAUACCUAGUUCAAUCUCGUUACCAACAAGUAUGUUUAAUCGUUCCGUUAUACACGAUCCAAUGACUAACUCCUUAGCCACAUUGCAUGCAAGCUUAUUGUGAUGUUCUAUUACUGAGUGGGUCCCGAGAUACCUCUCCGUCGCACAGAGUGACAAAUCCGAGUCUUGAUCCAUGCCAACUCCACAGACACCCUCGGAGAUACCUGUAGAGCAUCGUUAUACUCACCCAGUUACGUUGUGACGUUUGAUACACACAAGGCAUUCCUCCGGUGUUAGUGAGUUGCAUGAUCUCAUAGCCAUAGGAACAAAUAUAUUGACAUGCAAAAAGCAAUAGCAGUAAACUGGAUACGAUCAAAUGCUAUGCUUAAGGUUUGGGUCUUGUCCAUCACAUCAUUCUCCUAAUGAUGUGAUCCCAUUAUAAAAUGACAACUCAUGUCCAUGGCUAGGAAACCUUAACCAUCUUUGAUCAACGAGCUAGUCCAGCAGAGGCAUACUAGGGACACUUUGUUGUCUAUGUAUCCACACAUGUAUUUAGUUUCCAAUCAAUAAUAUUAUAGCAUGGAUAAUAAACGACAUGAUAAUAACUAAUUUAUUAUUGCCUCUACGACAUUUUUGAACAAAUUUGGCAUGGGUAGAAGAGAUUGAUUGGGUGGAAAGCAACUUGGGGAGGUUAGAGAUCAAGUUUCUAGUGGAUGGAUUGGAAUAUCUUGAUCCCAACACAUGAGUAGGUGGCUCUCUCUAAGAAACAUGGAUAUGGGAAGUGUGUGUGUGUGUGUGUGUGUGUGUGUGUUAUGAGUGCUUCCUCAGUAAAUUGGAGGUGGUGGAUGGGUAUAUAUAGGCAUCUCCAAUAAUUCAGCCGUUACAAUAUUAUUGCACAACUCGGUGAUACCGACAUGAAUCUCGAUGGUACCGAGUUGCACUAAAUGUGGAAACUUUCUAAUUGUUGGUGAGACCGAUAUAGGAAUCUCGGUGGUACCAAUAUGGUGACCUUGGGCAGUUUCCAAAUCUCGGUGAGACUGAUUUCAAAACUCGAACAUUCCGAUUCUUGAAAUUGACAGACCAGAAAAUUGGUCACUGAUUUUCGGUGCACCAAGUGAAAUUUGGUGGUAUCGAGAUUCUAGGGUUUGACAUAGAUUCAAUCUUUGAGAAAUCGGUAGGGUCAUGUGGAAAUUGUUGGUGGCACCGAUUUUGAUGUUUAGGGUUUUGACAAAGAAUUUUGUGGGAGAAUGGCUUAGUAUUUUUGGUGUCUAUCUCUAAGCACUUGAGAAACCAAUUCAUCAUAGAUACCUCACCCACCUUUAAUAGUAUUGGCUUUCCUAUGGACUCAAAAGUGAUUCCUGACAAAUAUAAAUUGUAGAGUCUUGUAGCUUGAAGAUCGGCCAAUCCUAUUCCUUUCCUUGCAUUAAGGGGCUUCUCCUCGCAAUCCUUUAGCCAAUGCAUCUUUGAACUUUUCUGAAAUAUACUUGGAUAGAACCAUUAGUUCAAUGACACAUAUGUUGUUAGUAAUUACCAUAACCACCUUUGGGAGAAAUUGUGCUUUUAAUCUCCCUUGUUUUGGUAAUUGAUGACAACAUAUACAUCAAAUCUUAGACAAGAGAUAUAAUCAAUGAUUAGCAUCAUCACUUUGAGAAAUAUGUGAAAAGCAAGACCUCCCCCUAAAUUUAUGCAUUAUUUUGAGUUUGCGUUUGAAUGCGAAUGCACAAUCGAUUAGGAUCAUGGGUCACUCUUACAUGUCACAUACAUCUUGGUGGUGCACAUAAAUGAUAUGAAUGAAUAACAAUGCACAUAGCACCAAACAAAUAGUGAAUGAUCAUCAUGUAGAUAGCACACAAAUAUAGUGUAGUAGCAUCAACAAUCAAAGUGUAUGAUCAAGCACAACGAAGAACGGAGUUUAAGACAUCCAAUAGACCAAAUGUUUAGAAACACCAAAAUAGAGCAAUAAAAAGCAAGACUCUCUCUCUCUCUCUCGAUCGAAGCCCUAAUGAUCUAUACACUCCUCCCCUUUGGCAACAAGUAACCAAAAAGUUCAAAGGUCUAGAGCUAAGCGUCACUCUGGGCUCGAUCUCCUCCGGUAGAAGUUGAUGGAGUCGACAGGAUAGUGUCGGCGAAGGCUUGAGUGGAUGUCCUGUGAGGUGGAGGUGUUGAAACUAGAGGUGCAGGAGCUGGUGGAGCUGAAGGUGUCGAUGCUUGAUAUGAUGAAGUUGGUCUAGCUUCCUAAACUUCAUAGUUGGAGACCUAGUGUGAGCCAUGAACUGAGUAGUUGUAGGUGAAAGGACGUGGAUGUCGCCUAGAGGGGGGGGUGAAUAGGCGCUUUAAAAUAGUUAAGGUUUAGGCUUGAACAAAUNNNNNNNNNNNNNNNNNNNNNNNNNNNNNNNNNNNNNNNNNNNNNNNNNNNNNNNNNNNNNNNNNNNNNNNNNNNNNNNNNNNNNNNNNNNNNNNNNNNNNNNNNNNNNNNNNNNNNNNNNNNNNNNNNNNNNNNNNNNNNNNNNNNNNNNNNNNNNNNNNNNNNNNNNNNNNNNNNNNNNNNNNNNNNNNNNNNNNNNNNNNNNNNNNNNNNNNNNNNNNNNNNNNNNNNNNNNNNNNNNNNNNNNNNNNNNGUUUAGGCUUGAACAAAUGCAGAAUAAAACUAAUAUUUAAUUUGUCAAGCACAAAACCUAAAACAACUAGGCUCACCUAUGUGCACCAACAACUUAUGCUAAGCAAGAUAAACAACUAAGUGAUAUCAAGAUAUAUGACAAGAAACAAUAUGGCUAUCACAAAGUAAAGUGCAUAAGUAAAGGGUUCGGGUUAGAGAUAACCGAGGCACGUUGAGACAAUGAUGUAUCCUGAAGUUCACAUCCUUGCAGAUGCUAAUAUCUGUUUGGAGCGGUGUGGAGGCACAAUGCUCCCCAAGAUGCCACUAAGGCCACCGUAAUCUCCUCACGCACUCGCACAAUGCAAGAUGUCGUGAUUCCACUAAGGGACCCUUGAGGGUGGUCACCGAACCCGUACAAACAAGGUUGGGGCAAUCUCCAAAACUUAAUUGGAGGCUCCCAACAACACCACGAAGCUUCACCUCAAUGGCAUAUGGCUUCGAGGUGACCAAAAUGCUCGGGGAAAUCGUCACAACUUAAUUGGAGACCCCAAUGCUUGCCCGGAGCUUUACACCACAAUGAUUGAGCUCCAAGGCACCACCAAGCUUCUAGGACACCAAAGCAUCCACGAAGAACAAUCUCCAGGGGUACCAAGUUCCCAAGGGUAAUAAGCUUCCCAACUUCUCACUUCCACGUAUCACCGUGGAGAACUCAAACCGAUGCAACUAAUGCACUUGCAAGAACACACAAAGUGGUCAAGUCCCUCACACUCAAAUCCCUCCACAACAACAAAAGCUAUGGAGAAAUAUGAGAGGAAGAACAAGGAGCUCACAAAGAAAUCCAAGAUCAAGAUCCAAGGGGUUCCCCUCACACAGAGGAGAAAGUGAUUGGUGGAGCUGUGGAUCCAGAUCUCCUCUCUCUUUUCCCUCAAGAACUAGCAAGAAUCAUUGAGGGAUUGAGAGUUAGCAAGCUCUAAGAAGGUCAACAAUGGGGGAGGAACAUGAGCUCAAUGGAUGGAUUAGGUACAAUGGGGAAGAAGACCUCCUUUAUAUAGUGGGGGAAGGAAUCCAACCGUUAACCCCACUCACAGCCCGACUGGAGCGGUACUACCGCUGCUACCCGGAACGUUCGAGGGAGCAGUAGUAAAAAAUUACUAACGCUCCACGGGCGGUACUACCGCUCCAGGAGCGGUACUAUCGCUGGAUACUGAAACUGCCAUAACUUUCGCAUACGAACUCCGAAUCGAGCAAACUCAAGAUUGUUAAAUUCACGAUGACAAGUGCUAUCCAACAUCAACAUAAAAUCUUAAGAACAUGCUGUUAUGAGAACACCAAUGAUAUAGAUAUGUGAGACCCCUAUGAAUGAAGAACCGGCAAAAACUUCCAACAUCGAAAACAUCAUAAAAGAUGCAUAUAAACUCCGUUUUCGAUGAACUCGAGCUUGUCAUGAAGAUGACCAUAAGCUCUAAAACUCACAAGGAUAAACACCAAACAAGAACCAAGAUAUGAUACAAGGAUGAAAACGGUUUGAGCUCUCAAUGAAUGAUACGAUCAAGCUACUCACUUGAGAGCCCCCCUUGACAGUACGACAAACUAUCCUACAGUAGAAAAACCUAUCAAGGGCAAACCUAUACCUUGCACCUAGUCCUCUUGAGAUAGAAGAUGAUGAUAUUGGCUUCCUCAAGAUGGACCACCUUACAUGAUUUCUCCCCCAUACUCACUAUGGGUGAUCCACUCUUCAGCACAUUCUUCACAAGUCCAUUGCCCCCACAAUGGACGACAAGCUUCAAGCAUGAUAUCUUCGUGAUGCAUCACUUGAACUUGCAUACCACAAUCUUGAUGACGAUCACCACUUGAUGUCAUCCUUCAUAGGUUGAAUGAGAUCUUCCUCUUGACGCAAACCCAUGGAAACACACCUAACCCCACAUAGAACUCUCACGAAGACAUGGGUUAGUACAAAAAAGCAUUAUGGACAAUGCUUACCAUAGCAUGGGAUCACUUGCUCCUUCUCGGUUCAUCUUGUACGCUUUGUGUGUUGAUCAUCUUGAUUUACUCUCUGCUUAGUCUUGAUCAACCUUGUGUCAUUAUGACCAAUCAUUGGAUAAUACUUUGAAUACCACCUUGGUCAUCAUAUAAACUCCUUGAAACCAACAGAUGGACUUCAAGAAGUGCAUAUGGACAAAUCCUUCGAAUAUAACUUAAGGCAACCAUUAGUCCAUAAGGAUUGUCAUCAAUUACCCAAACCACAUAUGGAGAAAUAUGCUCUAACAGUAGGAAGAGACGUAUCAUCAUCAUCACUGCUGGAAUGAGGUGUGUGCGCUGCAUAAACUUCAUGCUCGAGUUGUUCAACUGUGGUAGCCAACUCUGUUACUUUGAUAUCCAGGUCAUGGAGUUUAGUCUUAACAAUCCUCUCAAAUCUCUUCUAGUUAAAAAGAAUCUCAAGAAUAUUCUUCUCCAUCCCUUGGAUGGUGCUGACAAGAAAUGACAUCUGCUCCUCUCUGGAUAUCGGCUAUGGUGCUGGAGCUGCUCUGGCUGCCUUUUCCUCUGCUGCUGCCUCUGUGUGCUGACAAGCUGUAGCUGAGAGGGAUGGCUGGGGUCCAUCACUACCUUGUUGUCUUUGAACUCUGGCUCAAGUGGCAGGUGUGGACGGUCAAGUUGAUAUGCAUGAUUUCCAAUCUUGGCAUUGAUGAGCAUCUGAAUGUACGGAGCAUACCCACAUGAUCUCGUUCGAUCAGUAGUUGUCCUCCUGACUCUCUCAACUAUCAGAUCCAUCACUUUAAUCCUUGUGUGAGAAUCAACGUGGUGGAGCAUAUGGAUGGAAUACACUCUAAUCAUCUUCUCAUCUCCUGACUUGGGCAUCAGUGUGUACCUCAUAAUGGUGUUUGUAGUGGGUAUCCCUACUUUCAGGAAGUAGACAGAGCCAAACUUGUGAGUCUUCAAGUACUGGCAGGGCACUAGAUUGUACAUAUUAGCCAUAGUGUUGUGAUUCAUUUUUGGCUCAAAGUACACAUCCAAGUCACCCUCUUGGGCCUUUGGGGAACCAAUGAUCGUAGCCCACUCCUCCAUAGUUGACUCAUACCUAUGACCUUCAGUCAUCCAUACAAUCCUACCAUCUGGAUAAAAGUGUGUUGUGGAGUAGAAUUGCAUGAUCAUCUCAUCAUUCCAGGUAGUCAUCUCUUUGCCAACAAAAUCUUCAAUGUCAAUUGCCCUGAAAUUCUCUCUCACACGAGGGAAGAAAUCCUCAUCUUCCUUGAUGUAAUCUCACUCCACAUAUCUCCUGUCAUUGACUGCAGGACUCUUGUCCAAUACACUGUCUCAUAAAAAACUUGUUGGUCCUUAGUGUGAAAAUGAGGCUCAACAUCUGUUCUCCUCCUAACAACAUAGAGAUAUGUAGUUCUCCACUAUCUCAUACCUUGAUCCCUUCUCUUCUUCAUGUCCCCAGCCACUGGAUGAGCAUCAUUAUGCAGUGGCAAAUGAGAUCUCUACUUACUUGGCACACAAAGAUCUUCUUCCUCCUCUAAAGCAGCAUCUGUGGAUGCAAAACCCUUGUUAUUAUGUGCUGCAGGUAUAUCCCUAGUAGUCUUCUUAGGAGCUACAAGCUUCUUAGACUUAGGAGCAGAAGGCUUUGUCUUGGGUGUAGACAUGCUUGGCAUAGCAUCUACCAUAAGCUUCUGUUGGGGAACGUUGCAUGGGAAACAAAAAAUUUCCUACGCAAACGAAGACCUAUCAUGAUGAUGUCCAUCUACGAGAGGAGAUUUGGAUCUACGUACCCUUGUACAUCGCACAACAGGAAGCGUUAAGACACGCGGUUGAUGUAGUGGAACGUCUUCACGUCCCUCGAACCGCCCCAUGAACCGUCCCACGAACCAUCCCGUGAUCCUUCCCAUGAUCCGUAACGCGAUCCGUCCAACGAACCGUCCCGCUAUCCAUCUCACGAACCGUCUUGCGAUCCGUCUUCAUGAUCCAUUCCGAUCUAGUGCCGAACGGAUGUCACCUCCGUUCAGCACACAUACAGCUCAAUGACGAUCUCCACCUUCUUGAUCUAGCAAGAGGGGGCGGAGAGGUAGAAGAGUUCUCCGGCAGCGUGACGGCGCACCAGUGGUGGUGACGAUCUAAUCCUGCACGGCUCCGCCCGAGCUUCGCAGAAAUACGAUCUAGAGGAAGAACUGUGGUGUCUAGAUCUGAGUUCCACGUGGCAAAAAGUUGUAUCAAAUCAUCCGUAAAUCACCACUAUAUAUAGGAGGGAGGGAGGGGAGGAGGCAGCCUCAAAACCUCAAGGUUUGCCCAAAUUGGAGGUGGAGGAGUUUUACUCCAAUCCUACUUGGAGUAGGAUUCCACCUUCCCACUUGGAAACUCUUUCCACCUUGUGUUUUUUCCUUCUCAAACCUUAUGGGCCUUAGUGGGAACUUAUUCUAGCCCACUAGGGGCUGGUUUAUCUCUUCCCAUAGCCCAUGAUACACCUUGGGGUGUAACACCCCUCCCGAUAGUCCCCGGCACCCCUCCCGGCACUCCCGGUACACUACCGAUGAGCCUGAAACUUUUCCGGUGACCAAAACAUGACUUCCUAUAUAUUAAUCUUUACCUACGGACCAUUCCGGAGCUCCUCGUGACAUCCUGGAUCUCAUCCGGGACUCCGAAUAACUUUAGGUUACCAACACCUAUAACUCAACUAUACCGAAACAUCACCGAACCUUAAGUGUGCAGACCCUGCGGGUUCGAGAACUAUGCAGACAUGACCUGAGACACUCUCCGAUCAAUAUCCAAUAGCGGGACCUGGAUGCCCAUAUUGGAUCCUACAUAUUCUACAAAGAUCUUAUCGGUUGAACCUCUAUGUCAAGGAUUCAGUUAAUCCCGUAUGAUGUCCCCUCGGUCCUUCGGUAUGUUACCUACCCGAGAUUCGAUCGUCGAUAUCUUCAUACCUAGUUCAAUCUCGUUACUAGCAAGUCUCUUUACUAGUUACGUAAUACAAGAUCCCGUAACUAACUCAUUAGUCACAUUGCUUGCAAGGCUUGUUGUGAUGUUGUAUUACCGAGUGGGCCUCGAGAUACCUCUCCGUUACACGGAGUGACAAAUCCCAGUCUUGAUCCAUGCCAACCCAACAGACACCUUCGGAGAUACUUGUAGAGCACCUUUAUAGUCACCCAGUUAUGUUGUGAUGUUUGAUACACACAAGGUAUUCCUCGAGUGUCCGGGAGUUGCAUGUUCUCAUGGUCAUAGGAACAGAUACAUUGACAUGCAGAAAACUGUAGCAAUAAACUAACACGAUCAUAUGCUACGUUUAUAGUUUGGGUCUUGUCCAUCACAUCAUUCUCCUAAUGAUGUGAUCCCAUUAUCAAGUGACAACACUUGCCUAUGGCCAGGAAAUCUUGACCAUCUUUGAUCAACAAACUAGUCAACUAGAGGCUCACUAGGGACAGUGUGUUGUCUAUGUAUCCACACAUGUAUUUGAGUUUCCAAUCAAUACAAUUCUAGCAUGGACAAUAAACGAUUAUUAUGAACAAGGAAAUAUAAUAAUAACCAAUUUAUUAUUGCCUCUAGGGCAUAUUUCCAUCAGUCUCCCACUUGCACUAGAGUCAAUAAUCUAGUUCACAUCACCAUGUGAUUUCAACGAAUCCAACACCCAUAUAGUUCUGGGGUCUGAUCACGUCUUGCUCGUGAGAGAGGUUUUAGUCAACGGUUCUGAAUCUUUCAGAUCCAUGUGUGCUUUACAAAUCUUUAUGUCAUCUUAUAGAUGCUGCUGCUACGUGCUAUUCGGAAAUAUUCGAAUUAUCUACUAUAUGAAUCCGUUUUACUACUCAUAGUUAUUCGGAUUAGUGUCAAAGCUUGCAUCAACGUAACCCUUUACGACGAACUCUUUAACCACCUCCAUAAUCGAGAAAAAUUCCUUAGUCUAUUAGUUACUAAGGAUAACUUUGACCGAUGUUCAGUGAUUCAAUCCUGGAUCACUCUCUGUACCUCUUAACAGACUUGUGACAAGGCACACAUCAGGUGCGGUACACAGCAUGGCAUACUGUAGAGUCUACGACUAAGGUUUAGGGGACGACCUUCGUCCUUUCUCUUUCUUCUGCCGUGGUCGGGCUUUUGAGUCUUACUCAAAUUCACACCUUACAACACAACCAAAAACUCCUUCUUUGUUGAUCUAUCUUGAACUCCCUCAGAAACUUGUCAAGGCAUGUAUUUUGUUGAAACUUCUAUUAAGCGUUUCUAUCUAUCUCCAUAGAUCUUGAUGCUCAAUGUUCAAGUAGCUCAAUCCAGGUUUUCCUUUGAAAACCCCCUUUCAAACAACCUUUAUGCUUUACAGAAAUUCUACAUUACUUCCGAUCAACAAUAUGUCAACCACAUAUACUUUAUCAGAAAUACUAUAGUGCUCCCACUCAGUUCUUUGGAAAUACAAGUUUCUCAUAAACCUUGUACAAACCCAAAAGCUUUGAUCAUCUCAUCAAAGCGUAUAUUCCAACUCCGAGAUGCUUGCACCAGUCCAUAAAAGGAUCGCUGGAGCUUGCAUACUUUUUAGUAUCCUUAGGAUUGACAAAACCUUCUGAUUGUAUCACAUACAAUCUUUCCUCAAGGAAACCGUCGAGGAAACAAUGUUUUGACUUCCUAUGUGCAAUAUUUCACAAAUAAUGCAGAAACUACUAACAUAAUUCCAACAGACUUUUAGCAUCGCUAUGAGUGAGAAAGUCACAUCAUAGUCAACUCUUUGAUCUUGUUGAAAACAUUUGUGCGAUAAGUCGAGCUUUUCUUAAUAUUGACUUAUCACCAUCAUCGUCUGUCUUCCUUUUAAAGAUCCAUCUUUACUUAAUAGUCUUACUACCAUCAAGUAGUUCUUCUAAAGUCUACACUUUGUUUUAUACAUGGAUCCUAUCUCGGAUUUCAUGGCCUCCACCCAUUUGUCGGAAUCUGGGCCCACCAUUGCUUCUCCAUAACUCGUAGGUUCAUUGUUGUUCAACAACAUGACCUCCAAGACAGGGUUACCGUACCACUCUGUAGUAGUGCGCGACCUUUUUCGACCUAUGAGGUUUGUAGUAACUUGAUCUGAAGCUCUAAUGAUCACCAUCAUCAGCUUCCACUUCAAUUGGUGUAGGCGCCACAGGAACAUCUUCCUGCUCCCUGCUACACACUGGUUGAAGUGAAGGUUCACUAACCUCAUCAAGUUCCACCACUCUCCCACUCAAUUCUUUCGAGAGAAACUUUUCCUCGAGAAAGGACCCGUUUCUAGAAACAAACACUUUGCUUCCGGAUCUGAGAUAGGAGAUGUAUCCAAUUGUUUUGGAUAUCCUAUGAAGAUGCAUUUAUCCGCUUUGGGUUCGAGCUUAUCAGACUGAAACUUUUUCACAUAAGCGUCACAGCCCCAAACUUUCAAGAAAUGACAGCUUAGGUUUCUCCAAACCAUAGUCUAUAGUGUGUCAUCUCAACGGAAAUACGCGGUGCCCUAUUUAAAGUGAAUGCGGUUGUCUCUAAUGCAUAACCCAUAAACGAUAGUGGCAAUUCGAUAAGAGACAUCAUAGUAUGCAACAUAUCAAAAUAGGGCGUGGCCAUGACAUUCGGACACACCAUCACACUAUGGUGUUCUAGGUGGCAUGUAUUGCGAAACAAUUUCAACAUUGUCUUAACUGUGUACCAAAACUCGCAACUCAGAUAUUCAUCUCUAUGAUCAUAUCGUAGACAGUUUAUCCUCUUGUCACGAUGAUCUUCACUCUAAAAUAGCUUUGAACUUUUCAAUAUUUCAGACUUGUGAUUCAUCAAGUAAAUACUCCUGUAUCUACUCAAAUCGUCAGUGAAGUAAGAACAUAACGAUAUCCACUACAUGCCUCAGCACUCAUUGGACUGCACACAUCAAAAAUGUAUUACUCCCAAUAAGUUACUCUCUUGUUUCAUGUGGCAUGAUUUGCACGUCUCAAGUGAUUCAAAAUCAAGUGAGUCCAAACGAUCCAUCUCUAUGGAUCUUCUUCAUGCAUUUAUACCAACAUUACUCAAGUGGCAGUGCCACAAGUAAGUGGUACUAUCAUUAUUACUUUGUAUCUUUUGGCACCAAUAUUAUGAACAUGUGUAGCACUACAACCGAGAUUCAAUAAACCAUUGAAGGGUAAUUAUUCAAGCAAAUAGAACAACUAUUAUUGUCUUUGAAUGAAUAAUCAUAUUGCAAUAAACACGAUCCAAUCAUGUUCAUGUUCAACGCAAACACCAAAUAACAAUUAUUUAGGUUUUACCACCAAUCCCGAUGAUAGAGGGAGCGUGCGAUGUUUGAUCACAUCAUCCUUGGAAACACUUCCAACACUUAUCGUCACCUCGCCUUUAGCUAGUCUCCGUUUAUACCGUAGCUUUCAUUUCGAGUUACUAAUCACUUAGCAACCGAACCGGUAUCCAAUACCCUCGUGGUACUAGGAGUACUAGUAAAGUACACAUCAAUAUCAUGUAUAUCAAAUAUACUUCUGUCGACUUUGCCAGCCUUCUUAUCUACCAAGCAUCUAGGGUAGCUCCACCUCAGUGACCGUUCCCCUCAUAACAGAAGCACUUAGUCUCGGGUUUGGGUUCAAUCCUGGGUUUCUUCAUUAGAGCAGCAACUGAUUUGUCAUUUCAUGAAGUAUCCCUUCUAGCCCUUGCCUUUCUUGAAACUAGUGGUUUUACUAACCAUCAACAAUUGAUGCUCCUUCUUGAUUUCUACUCUUGCAGUGUCAAACAUUGCGAAUCGCUCAAGGAUCAUCAUAUCUAUCCUUGAUAUGUUUAUAGUUCAUCACGAAGCUCUAGCAGCUUGGUGGCAGUGACUUUGGAGAACCAUCACUAUCUCAUCUGGAAGAUUAACUCCCACUUGAUUCAAGCGAUUCUUGUACUCAGACAAUCUAAGAACAUACUCAAUAAUUUGAGUUUUCUCCCCUACUUUUUAGACAAAGAAUCUUGUCGGAGGUCUCACACCUCUCAACAAGGGCACGAGCAUGAAAUCUCAAUUUCAUCUCCUAGAACAUCUCUUAUGUUCCCCGACGUUUCAAAACGUCUUCGGCGCCUUGCUUCUAAGCCAUUAAGUAUAACACACUGAACUAUCACGUAGUGAUCAAAACGUGUAUUUCAGAUGUUCGCAACAUCCACAGACGACGCUCGAGGUGCAGCACACCCAGUGGUGCAUUAAGGACAUAAGCCUUCUGCGCAGCAAUGAGGACAAUCCUCAGUUUUACGGACUUAGUCCGUAAAGUUGCUACUAUCAAUUUUCAACUAAAUUUCUCUAGGAUCAUAUAAAAAUAGUAGAGCUAUAGCGCAAGCUACAUCAUAAUUCGCAAAGACCUUUUGACUAUGUUCAUGAUAAUUAGAGUUUAACUAAUCAAAUUACUUAAUAAACUCCCACUCAAAAAGUACAUCUCUCUAGUCAUUUGAGUGGUACAUGAUCCAAAUCCACUAACUCAAGUCCGAUCAUGACGUGAGUUGAGAAUAGUUUCAGUGGUAAGCAUCUCUAUGCUAAUCAUAUCAACUAUACGAUUCAUUCUCGACCUUUCGGUCUCUUGUGUUCCGAGGCCAUGUAUGCACAUGCUAGGCUCGUCAAGUUUAACCCGGGUGUUCCGCGUGUGCAACUGCUUUGCACCCGUUGUAUGUGAACGUUGAGUCUAUCACACCUGAUCCUCAUGUGGUGUCUCGAAACGAAGAACUGUCGCAACGGUGCAUAGUCGGGGAGAACACAAUUUUGUCUUGAUUUUAGUGAGAGAUCACCUCAUAAUGCUACCGUCAUUCUAAGCAAAAUAAGGUGCAUAAAAGGAUUAACAUCACAUGCAAUUAAUAAGUGACAUGAUAUGGCCAUCAUCUUGUGCUUCUUGAUGUCCAUCACCAAAGCACCGACACGAUCUUCUUGUCACCGGCGCCACACCAUGAUCUCCAUCAUCAUGAUAUCCAUCAACGUGUCGCCAUCGAGGUUGUCGUGCUACUUAUGCUAUUACUACUAAAGCUACGUCCUAGCAAUAUAGUAAACCCAUCUGCAAACACAAACAUUAGUUUAAAGACAACCCUAUGGCUCUUGUCGGUUUCCAUACCAUCGACGUGCAAGUCGAUAUUAACUAUUACAACAUGAUCAUCUCAUACAUCCAAUAUAUCACAUCACGUCAUUGGCCAUAUCAUAUCACAAGCAUACCCUGCAAAAACAAGUUAGACGUCCUGUAAUUUGUUGUUGCAUGUUUUACGUGACUGCUAUGGGUAUCUAGUAUGAUCGCAUCUUACUUAUGCAAAAACCACAACAGAGAUGUGCAAAUUGCUACUUAACCUCUCCAAGGACCGCCUCGGUCAAGACCAAUUCAACUAAAGUUUAAGGAACCGACACCCGCCAGUCAUCUUUAUGCAACGAGGUUGCAUGUCAAUCGAUGAAACCAGUCUUUCGUAAGCAUACGAAUAAAGUUGGUCCGGACCCCUUCAAUCCAACAAUACCACCGAAUCAAGAAAAGACUAAGGAGGGCAGCAAAUUGAACAACACCCUCCACAAAACCCUUUGUGUUCUACUCGAGAUAACAUCUACGCAUGAACCUAGCUCAUCAUGCCACAGUUGGUUACGUUGCAUGGGAAACAAAAAAAUUCCUACGCACACGAAGACCUAUCAUGGUGAUGUCCAUGUACGAGAGGAGAUUUGGAUCUACGUACCCUUGUAGACCGCACAGCAAGAAGCGUUAAGAAACGCGGUUGAUGUAGUGGAACGUCUUCACGUCCCUCGAACCACCCCACGAACCAUCCCACGAUCCGUCCUACGAUCCGUCCCGCGAUCCGUCCAAUGAACCGUCCUGCGAUCCGUCUUACGAACCGUCUUGCGAUCCAUCUUCAUGAUCCGUUCCGAUCUAGUGCCGAACGGACGACACCUCCGCGUUGAGCACACGUACAGCUCGAUGACGAUCUCCACCUUCUUGAUUCAGCAAGAGGGGGCGGAGAGGUAGAAGAGUUCUCCGGCAGCGUGACGGCGCUCCGGUGGUGGUCAUGAUCUAAUCGUGCAGGGCUCCGCCCGAGCUCCGCAGAAAUACGAUCUAGAGGAAGAACUACGGUGUCUAGAUCUGAGUUGCACGUGGCAAAAAGUUGUCUCAAAUCAGCCCUAAAUCACCACUAUAUAUAGGAGGGAGGGAGGGGAGGAGGCAGCCUCAAAACCUCAAGGUUUGGCCGAAAUUGGAGGUGGAGGAGUCCUACUCCAAUCCUACUUGGAGUAGGAUUCCACCUUCCCACUUGGAAACUCUUUCCACCUUGUGUUUUUUCCUUCUCAAAUGUUAUGGGCCUUAGUGGGAACUUAUUCCAGCCCACUAGGGGCUGGUUUAUCUCUUUCCAUAUCCCAUGAGACCCCUUGGGGCGUGACACCCCUCCUGAUGGUCUCCGGCACCCCUCCCGGCACUCCCGGUACACUACCGAUGAGCCCGAAACUUUUCCGGUGACCAAAAAAGGACUUCAUGUAUAUUAAUAUUUACCUCCAGACCAUUCUGUAGCUCCUCGUGACGUCUUGGAUAUCAUCCGGGACUCCGGACAACUUUCGGUUACCAACACCUAUAACUCAACUAUACCGAAACGUCAUCAAACCUUAAGUGUGCAGACCCUGCGGGUUCGAGAACUAUGCAGACAUGACCCGAGACACUCUCCGAUCAAUAUCCAAUAGCGGGACCUGGAUGCCCAUAUUGGAUCCUACAUAUUCUACGAAGAUCUUAUCGAUUGAACCUCGAUGUCAAGGAUUCAGUUAAUCCCGUAUGAUGUUCCCUUUGUCCUUCGGCAUGUUACCCACCCGAGAUUCGAUCGUCGGUAUCUUCAUACCUAGUUCAAUCUUGUUACUGGCAAGUCUCUUUGCUCGUUACGUAAUACAAGAUCCCGUAACUAACUCAUUAGUCACAUUGCUUGCAAGGCUUGUUGUGAUGUUGUAUUACCGAGUGGGGCCCGAGAUACCUCUCCGUCACACGGAGUGAUAAAUCCCAGUCUUGAUCCAUGUCAACCCAACAGACACCUUUAUAGUCACCCAGUUACGUUGCAACGUUUGAUACACACAAGGUAUUCCUCCAGUGUCCGGGAGUUGCAUGAUCUCAUGGUCAUAGGAACAGAUACAUUGACAUGCAGAAAACAGUAGCAAUAAACUGAGACGAUCAUAUGCUACGUUUAUUGUUUGGGUCUUGUCCAUCACAUCAUUCUCCUAAUGAUGUGAUCCCGUUAUCAAGUGAGAACACUUGCCUAUGGCCAAGAAAUCUUGACCAUCUUUGAUCAACAAACUAGUCAACUAGAGGCUCACUAGGGACAGUAUGUUGUCUAUGUAUCCACACAUGUAUUUGAGUUUCCAAUCAAUACAAUUCUCGCAUGGAUAAUAAACAAUUAUUAUGAACAAGGAAAUAUAAUAAUAACCAAUUUAUUAUUGCCUCUAGGGCAUAUUUCCAACAACUUCUUCUUCUUGGAAGGAGGUGGAUUGGCAGUUUCCUAUUCCUCUUCUUUCUCAACAGCUUCUGUUGGAUCUUCAUACAUGGAAGUUGGCUUUCCAACAACAUGCACAACUCGAUUCCUAGCUCUCUUCUGCCCUGGCUUCUUAGCCUUCUUGGAAGAGGAGUUGUGAAGGGUGAGUUUGAUCCCUUCCCGACCUGUCCCUAGAGCUCUCAUAGAAUGAGAGCUGACAUACUCCUUUCUCACAAUUUUCUUGACUAUGACCCUCUCCUUUUUCUUUUUGGGAAUGCUUUCUUCUGGAAUGAAGUCAGCAUCCUCCUAAUCAGAAUUAAGCUUCUUCCUUGACAUGGUAGCUUCCUUGGGCAUAUUAUGGGAGAUUGGAGUACCUGGGUCAGAAGAUGUCCUCUCAUGGCUAGUGCCUCAGUCUAUUUACACACUGAGCUCUCUGGAAACAUUCUGGCUAUCCCCUGAACCUGACAUACUUACAAGCAACCAAGCAAACAAGCUGACCCUGUCAAUAGAAGUAGAAGAGAAGGAGUGGAUGAGCAUCACAAAAUGCAGAAGUUUUCAAAAAAAUUAACGUAAAACCUUGAGUUUAACUUUAGCAAAGAGGAUUUCGGUUCCACCGAGUCAAGGUUUUCAGAGCCACCGAGACAUACAACCUCCUUAACAAAAAGUUAGCAGCCAUUUCAGUUUCAUCGAAAAGAGAAACUCGGUUUCACCAAGGUAGUUCUCUGUAGCCCUAAAACACAAAUCAUCAAGAAUGAUUUUUUCUGAAUCGGUGACACCAAGAUUCAAUUUGUGAAUGACCGAACCUAAUUUUUUUCGUUCUCUAAUCGAACGGAGAUUUCUUCUCGGGAGGAACAUAACAAUCAUGGAUUGUAGAUGGGCUAACCUAUUUGCGCAAGAUUCGGAUAAAGGAGCGCAAAGAGGGAAAAGGUAUUUACCCUACUUUCGGUGAAGACCUCCUACGACGGCGUCGGCAGGAGAGAUUGCCGCCAACGACGAGGACUCCUGCUGCGAGGGAGCAAGGGAGAAGAACGGCUAUGUCCCAGAGACGAGACUACGACAGUAAGGGGGUUGCGGAUGUGAUGAUUGAUGACUAAAUUUCAAAAGUCAGGCCCACUAUAUAUAUAUAUAUAUAUCCCCUUCUGUCCGUGACACCGAGUUGGAAAUAUCGGUGCCAGCAAGUUCCAUAACUGUCUAGUGACAGUAAAACUUGAUGAGGCCGAGAAUUUCCUAUCGGUGGUACCAAGAUUACAAAAAUUUAUCAACCCUAGUGCUUUGGUGGGGCCUAGAUUUUGAGUUGGUCACACCGAGUGGCACAUGAGAGGUUUUGGAAAUCAGCUCUUGUUGAGAUGGAUCUGUGUGUGCUCCUCACACAGAGUGUCCCCAAAGUGCUUGCUCAAAUUUUGUGAUGUAGCAUGAAUAAAAUUUGAGACGAGAAAGCAUAGAUUGCUAGAUAGGGGUACUUAGGCAUUCUUGUAUAUCCAAUUGGCCAAAUAAAAUGGAAAGCCAAAUAAAACAAUUGGAUAUCCUCGAAUGAGAAAAGAUAUGCAUACCAACAUGCUCACACAGUAAGAUAUCAAAUAAAACAUGGAAAACAUGCACGACCACUCGUAUCUACCGAACACUUUGGCGGUGACAAAUUCAUCUAUAUAUGAGUAUAUUGACUUAGGAUCCAAGCAAGAAUACUUGAUCAUAGGUUACACUCAUCGUUUAAGCACAAGUGGGGUUGCCACUUUUACAUAAAGCUUUCAAUGUGAUCACAUCUUAAGAGAUGCUUAUACGCAAGUCUUAGAGUAAACCUUCCCCUUGAUGUGACAUCCGCCCUAAGAGGGAUAAACUAACCUUGGGUUUUAUCGUAGAAGACUUCAUGUAGGUGUAGCAGUGGUGAAUUCUCAUUGUUGAUGAAGAUCAUCUUGAGUUGGGAGCAAUCCUUAUUGUUUCUUACUCUUCUCACCUACACGGGUUAGCCCCAAAACACAAGGAACAAAUACAAGGACAUCUAUGGACAUGGAGUGAAGUACAUGUGAUAUGAUGUCCAAUGAUACAUUAAUUACCUUGUCCCUUGCUUACCUUUGAGGGAAUGUCUGACUCCUUGAAAUGAUGCAUAUGGUUGGAGUUGAUUGCAUAUAGUUCUUGCAAAAAUGAGUAAGAGUGAAUUUCAUUGGAGGAGCCACCCCUCAAGGACUUCUCUAUUUCUUCUUCUUGGGGACCCACAUCAACUUGAUGGGGAUCCUUGGAGGUGUGGUAGCACUAGAUGAAGUAGAGCUAGUAGUGGCCUUGGUAAUACACUUGACCAUGGCUUGUGGUUCUUACUCAAAUGAGUCAAUAUUCUCUUGAAUAUUGUCCUUGCCCUUGUGGUCUUGUGGUGGAAGGUCAUCUUUAGAGCCUGUUCCCUUGGGGAGAGCAGGAUCAUACUUCUCCUUUUGGGGAACAAACUUUGGGAUGGGAUAUUGACCUUCUUCCCAUUCAACUUUGUUGGCAUUGAAGUAACCAACACCUUGCUUCUUUUCGUGUCCUCCUUGCUUGCGUACAAUUUCCACAAAUUGCUCAAUUAAUAAGACUCUUGGAGACACCUCUCUCUAUAAUUCCUUUAAUUCUUUUCUUGCUCAAGUGUAACUUGGCUAAGAGAAUAAUUAGUGUAAUGAAGAGAGCUACUAGAAGCAACAUCAUUUGAUUUAACAUUAGAAUUGUUGUUACUAGAUGAAGAAACUUUCUUGCCAUUGUUACUAGUGAGCUUAGGAUUAACUUGUGGAACAGAAGUAGACAUGAGUAAUCAUUUGGCUAGAUAAUACAACUCUUCUUUCAAAGAUCAUCAUUGAUUGCUUUUACAAACUCAUGUUCUUGCUUUAAAUUUAGCUUCUCGAAGCAUAACUUGUCAUGAGUUCUUGCAAGCUCUCUAUGAUCUUCUAGAGUAGAUUAAUGAGCUAACUUAAGAGUGUUUAAUUCUUUGGUUAGUCGUUCAAUCUAUUUCUUAUCAUCAUACGAAAACUCUUGACUCGCAUGAUUAUUAUCAUGUCCAUUUUCAUCAUUAUCACUAGUUUUAUCAAAGAGCAAGUUAUCUUCUCCUAGCAAGUCAUCUUCAUCACCAUUAAAGUCAAAGUACUCAGGGUGUGAUACUUUGGGGACUUUUGCCAUGAAGCAGCUUCUAAUCCCUUCAUUUGGUGAAUCAUAUAUGUCAUAGGAGUUGGAGGAUACGAGUGCAAGACCGACAACACCUUCAUCUUGACUAUAAUCGGAGUUGGAGUGGUAGCUUCUCUCGGAUUGGUUGUCAGACUCGGAGCCGAAUACCCGUUCACCAAUAUGGGAUUCAUUUCUUCUUAUUGAGUGGAUCUUGAUGUACUUGUCCUUUUUCUCCGAUUACUUACUUCUCCGGGAGGGUCUUCGUUCAUAACAAUCUUCUCUACUCCUCUCUCUACAAGGUGACUCUUCUCUUGAGCUUCAUCUUCUAGUUGACUCUUCUCUUUGUUUGUGGGUAGUCGAGCACUCAUUGGAGUAGUGACCGGGCUUUCCACAAUUGUAGCAGUUUUUGUCACGACUAGAUGAAUGCUUCUCUUCAUAUCUUGAGCUAGAGCUUCUCUCUUUGCCUCUACUCUUGUAGAACUUGUUGAAUUUGCUGAUCAUGAGGCUUAUAUCUUCAUUGGUGACAAGGUUGUCAUUUGAAGUAGCGGGAUCAUCCCUUGAAGCUUUGUAAGCAUCGCUUGACUUGUUGUGUAGCUCUUCUUUGUCCUUGAGAGACAUUUCAUGGGCGACAAUCCUUUCAGUGACUUCUGUUGGCUUGAGAUCCUUGUAGUUUGGCAACAUUUGGAUCAUUGUGCACACGGUGUCGUACUUCCCAUCCAAGGCUCUAAGUAUCUUCUUGAUGAUGAAUUUUUCGGUCAACUCUUCACUUCCCAAGCCGACAAUCUCAUUUGUGAUGAGAGAGUACAUCUCAGCGACUCCUUCACCAUCUUUCAUCAUGAACUUGUCAAGCUGACUUUGUAGCACAUCUAACAUAUAUCCUUCAUGGAUUCAGUACCUUCGUGCAUACCAAUCAAAGUGUCCCAAAUUUCCUUGGCAUUCUCAAGGCGGCUGAUUUUGUUGAAUUCUUCGGGGCAUAUGCAGUUGAAUAGAAUGUUGCAUGCUUGAUCAUUGUAUUGCAACAUCUUCAAUUCUUCCACUGUUGCUUCGCGGUCCUGUUCGUUGCCAUCACCAAAGAAAUCACCUUGUAAUCCAACACGAACAACAACCCAAGCGGCGGGGUUAUGACCAGGAAUAUGCAUUUUCAUCUUAUGCUUUCAACUAGCAAAGUUUGUACCAUCAAAAUAUGGACCUCUAUGGUGGUAAUUUCCCUCACUAGGCGUCAUACUCUCUUAGGUUGUGAAACCAAAGCAAUGGAGACGAAAGCUUUGACACCAUUUAUAGGAUCUGAAGUAUGUCUAGAGGGGGUGAUUAAAAUACUUGACCAAAUAAAAACUUAAUCUUUCCCAAUUUUAGUUGUGGGAUUGUUUUAGCAGUUGUAGCAAGUCAAGAACACCCUACACAUGCAUAUCUAAGAGUGUAGGAGCGGAAAGUAAAGACAUACAAAUGUAAGUAGAGGGAAUGGAUAGGAAGAUCAAACGCAAAGGUUGACACAUUGAUUUUUUUGUAUGGUUAUGAUAGGUGGUGCUAUCGUACGUCCACGUUAGUGGAGACUUCAACCCAUAGAGGGUAACAGCUACGAGAGACCACACAGGGAUCCACUCACAAGGGGUCCACGAAGAAGCGACCUUGUUUAUUCCACCAUGGCUUACAUCCACAAAUGACUAGCCUCACUUAGGGUAGAUCUUCACAAAGUAGGCGAUCUCCUUGCCCUUACAAACUUCUUGGUUCAACUCCACAACACGAAGUAGGAGGCUCCCAAGCGACACCUAACCAAUCUAAGAGGAACCACCCUCCAAAAGGUAAUAGAUGCAGUAGAAGGAUGAACUCCUUGCUCUUGUACUUCAAAAGAUAGUCUCCUCAACACUCAAUAAACCUCUCAUAGAUUUGGCAUGAGUAGAAGAGAUUGACUGGGUGGAAAGCAACUUGGGGAGGCUAGAGAUCAAGUUUCUAGUGGAUGGAUUGGAAUAUCUUAAUCUCAACACAUGAGUAGGCGACUCUCUCUCAGAAAAAUGGACAUGGCAUGUGUGUGUGUGUGCUUCCUCUGCGAAUGAGAGGUGGUGGAUGGGUAUAUAUAGGCAUCUCCCAAAAUCUAACCGUUAUGACAUUAUUUCCCAACUCGGUGACACCGACAUGAAUCUCGAUGGUGCCGGGUUGCACUAAAUUUGGCAACUUUCAAAUUAUCAGUGAGACCGAUAUAGGAAUCCCGGUGGUACCGAUAUGGUGACCUAGGGAAGUUCCUAAAUCUCGGUGAGACCGAUUUCAAAACUCGGAAAUUCUGAUUCUUGAAAUCGACAGACCAGAAAGUUGGUCACUGAUUUCCGGUGGCACCGAAGUUAAAGUUGGUGGUACCGAGAUUCUAGGGUUUGGCAUAGGUUUUGUAUAUGAAAAAAUGAGUAGGGCCGAGUGGAAAUUGUUGGUGGCACCGAUUUUGAUGUUUAGGCUUUUGACAGAGAAUUUUGUGGGAGAAUGGAUGAGUAUUUUUGGUGGGUAUCUCUAAGCACCUCAGCAGCCAAUUCAUCAUAGAUACCCCACCCCUUUUAAUAUGAUUGCUUUUAUAUGGACUCAAAAGUGAUUUCUCACAAAUAUAAAAUAUAGAGUAUUGUAGCUUGAAGCUCGGCCAAUCCUAUUCCUUUCCUUGCAUCAAGGGGCUUCUCCUCACAAUCCUUUAGCCAAUGCAUAUUUGAACUUUUCUGAAAUAUACUUGGAUAUAAUAAUUAGUUCAAUGACACAUAUGUUGUUAUUAAUUAAAAAAACCACCUUAGGGAGCAAUUGUGCUUUCAUGCAUGCCCUUCUCACUCCUAUGUACAAGUCUCUUGUGCCACAAUUCAACCAAAGUGUCUUUCUGAACAAUGUUGAACAACUCAUUGCACAACUUGGUUUUAGCCACACGGAGAGAGCUUUUCCUACUUCCUCGAGCCACAACCAAGUAGCCUUUGACGAGAUUCCACUUUCUUUCACCAAAAUAACUAGGAUGUUUGGUACCAUCAAGCUUGCCCAUUGACAACAAUUUUAGCCUUAUGUCAGGAACAUACCUCACAUUAUCAAGCACCAAUAUGCAUCAUGUGUUUGGUUCAAUGCAUAUAGAGCCCUUACCAACAAUUGUUGACGUACCACUAUUUUCCAUCCUCACUUGGGAAGUAACACUAGCGCAAGAUGUGAAAUACUCCUUUGUGUGAUGUGACGUGGAAGGACACACCUGAAUCCACAACCCAACUCAUGGCAUCAUCACGAACGUCACUAUAACAUUCUUCAUCUUUAAUGACUAGAUAAUUUUCAUUUGUUGCAAUCAUUGCUGAACUGCUCUCAUGCUUGUGCUUUGUUUACUUUGUAAGUUUCUCAUCUGCAAGCUCUCUUUAUACUUACUAGACUCACUCUUUAUGUGUCCCAGAUUGCCACAAUGAAAUCAAGUAAUAUAUUUUAUGUCUUUACUUUGGUCUCCCAUUGAUUUACUUUUGUCUUGCUUAAAGUGUGUGCUAUUGCGUUCAUAGUUCUCAUUCUUCCCAUGGGUUUCUGCCACAUAUGCAACAGAAGAAGAGACACCAUCACUCUUUUCCUUCUUUGUGACUUCUUCAUUCACCAUGCUAUUCUUCACCAUCUUCAAAGUCAUCUUACCAUUCAAAGUUGAAUUGCUAAGUGACACAACUAGCGAGUUCAACCUAUCAGGUAUGAAACUCACCAACAACAAUGCAUGGCCCUCAUCCUCAAAGUUGGUCUUCAUGGCUGAAAGUUGAUUCAUGUGGCACUGCAAGACAUUCAAGUGCUUAGUCACACUAGUUUUAUCACUCAAGCUUUGCAAGUCUUUUGAUCACCAAGGCCUUGUUACGAUGUCUUCCUCUCAUACAUAAAACCAACUUUUGCCACAUCUCAUACACAUUUAUGUCAUUUGCAACAUGGUGGAAUAUAUUAUUGUUGAUGUACAAACAAAUCAUAUCUAUUGCCUUUAUGUGCAACACUCUCCAUUCUUCUUCCAUGACACUGGUGAGUAUCUUGACUUUCACAAUUGGCUCAUACAAAUCCUUACAAUAAAGGAUGUCUCCCAUCGUGGUCUUUCAUAAUGAUUAACUGGAAGAAUCAAAUUUCAUCAUGCCACUUGUCAUAUCGCUUUUUUACAACGCCAUUAUGAAUAGCAAUUUCAACAACAAUCAAGCAACUGAGAUUAGCAACCUCCUAAGCAACCAAAGCUCUGAUACCAUUCCAUUGAGAAUUAGAAUCCAAACACACUUAUGGUGAACUGAAAACUGCAACAGAAGGAUAGUAAUCACAUCACUACUACUUCAUGUACUAACUCAAGGAUCAUUGCUUAUAACGAAAGGAAACAUAUGCAUCAAACAUAUAUGGAGAUACUAAGUUCAGUCUCAACCUAGGACAUGUCCUGGGUACAAAUAACAACCAGGUAGGACAAGUACUAGAUGAUUUCAGCAAGCAUCUCAGACAAGCCAUAUGUGCUCUCAAUCUAGAAUUUUUUCAGCAAGUAUCAACACAGAGACACCAGAUUUUACGUGGAAAGUCCCCCAACUUGAGGUGGAAAACCAUGGGCUGAAGCCACCAAAUAUUCUUUCACUAUUAUCAAAUGUGGGAUAGAACAAGUUCUUCUCUAGAUAGCACUCGAGGAUCUCAUAUAUCAAUAUUUCUGCAUCUUGCAUGAACAAAACAAGAUUUGGGGCUCAAGAGCUAGGGAUUGGAACAAUUUCAUCAACGAUGGCAAAACCGUAGUUUGAAUGAGACAAGGUAGUGGAUCUGGACCAUCACAACCUUGGGGAGGAGCUCCCUUUGCUUCUUCCUUCAAUUUUCCUCUCUUUCCUUUUCUCUCUUGAUUUUCUCUCUUCUUCUUCAAUGGAGAAUGAUCUGGUCAUUCUUGGUGGUGGCCGCUGGAUUGAGGGUAAAACAUCUACAUCCUCUCAUGUGGAAAGUCCACAAUGACGCUAGGUCACAACCCUAAUGGGUAGUGUCCUUCUGCAUCUCUUUGGGCUAUCUAAAAGGCUUCAAAUGGUCAUCUCUUCACAACCCACAUGAGAAGGAUAUCCUAUCACUUGAUAAACCAUGUAUAUAUCUCAUAUGUGAAGUAAAAAUGAAUGGAGGGACUAUUUCCUGCGACAAAAGAAGCAUUUAAAUUACUUAAUCUAAUACAUGUUGAUACACACCAUCUUCUCACAUACACUAAUAUCAUGGAUUGUAUUACUAUGAUGCUCCUAAGUUGGUGUAGAAAAAACAAAAGUUGCAGCCACGCAGCUGGAUUUCUGGUGCGUUUGAACCGUGUGUUGCUUAAAAAUUCACGCAUUGUUGGUCGAGAAAAAUUUCGAGGUUGUUUCAUCAUCCAUUUCGUUGAAGACGUUAGAAGUAUAUUGUGUUUAAGAUAAAUAUAGGAGUUAGAGAUAGAAUAUUUUUAAAUCAUGUAUAACUUUUCCUCUACCCCAAGUCUCUCUCCCCUCACAUGUACUCAUAUAUAUACCCCUACAAGGGUUAGAUCAAUACAACACACAACAACAUAACAUUCAGUCAUCCACAAUUUUUACAUGGUAUUAGAGCGGUUAGUCUCACAACGCCGAUCCUAGGCAUCUCCACCACUUUUGUAGCGCGCCGCACGUGGGGAGAUUAAUCUCCUCUCUCCGAGGGUGCGGCACCCAAUCGAUCAAAGAUCAGAUUAGUUUAUAGUUUAGAUAUUGCAUCGAAUUUCAUAGGUUUUCAAAUUUUGAAAUUCCCUAGUCUAGCCAACAAAUCGAUCCUUUUAGCCACUAGAAAAAUACAUAACAAACCCUGCUGUUUUCGGUGAAUCAGUGCAAAAUUGAUGCCUCAAACGGUGUCUAAAUCAACCCCAAUCAUUCACGAGAGCAUCCGCAGGUGUGCAGAAGAUCGGCUUCGAUCGUAUGGUCGUUGAUUUCAAUCCAAUCUACAACGAUGACAUGUGUAGCAUGAUGCACGCAUGCAUACACGGAAAGAUCAAGCGGAGGCUGCGUCACGCAGGAACACGAACAGCGACUCACGGGCCAAGCUUCUCCAAGCCCAAGCCUACGCAACGCAUCUCCGUGGCCGCAUCAACGCAGGAGCCCGACAAGCCUUCACCCCCAACGCCAUGAGCCUGUAGCAGCAUCAACUCCAUGCACUCAUGCGCAUACGUUCCUGGGUUCACUGGCGGAGCCUCCUUUCCAAAAGUGCAAACAAACUUUUAUUAUGUAUAUUAAGCAUUUCGAUUCUUUUUUUAAAAGGAGGACGUACCUUAGCCUCUCCAUCUGGACGAUGCAUGCAACCAUUUUAUUAAAUAUUCAACAGGACCUUAUAAAGUAAUACAUCAGUAAGUCUGAGGCCACCAUCUUGGCAACACAUGCCACUACUCUUAUCUUCUUGAUGAAGGGACGCCGAAUGUCCGGGCCAAUACCAAACAGACAUCGCACCAAAGCCUAACAUCUAAAACCGGAUGCGCCAUCCAAGCCACAACGUCGGGACUGGGUGACACCGGUCCGACGCACUCCCCGUGGGCACCAACGUACACGCCGCAAGGACCUUCACCACCGUCUUCCAUCGAUCCAUCCUCAAAGCAGCUACUAACGCAUUGACUUUGCCAGACCUCUCUGCCAUCAAUGUCACCACAACGCCAGACAACGUCGUCCUCCUGCACGAGUCCAUCGUCACAUAUCGGACGCCGAGCGUUCACUGCUCCACACCGUCAAGAUCCACCAGGAUUAAGCAUUUUGAUACAUUUCAUGAGUGAAGUAUGUUGGCUUUAGAGCAUCAAAUCACUUUAACGGUAGGUACAUGCAAAGCUAGCUCUCCAAAACAUCUUGAUUGCUUCUUUUAAUAUAAAAAGGAACAACUUGAUUGACUUUUGUACUUACAUCUCCUUGUACAUGAAGCUUUACUCCAGAUUCUUUUUAAACGACUACUCCUCUCUUGAAGAAACUCUCCACAGUUUGCAACAGCGGACGACCCCAAAUGAGCCGAAGUGCUAAAGGAUGUUAGGAGCAAGAUAGAUUUGAUUGAUACUGUAUGUAAUUUGUAUGAGUCGGGCCUAUUUUCAUGAACAUUUUAUUUUUGGUUUAAAUUUUGGCCCCCGCUUAAUUGCACGUCACGCUCCGUCACUGCCUGGGUUAGCCAUCCGCUACACACCCAGCAUCGACAGUGGAUCCGAUCCACAUGACCAAGUGCAUGCUGAUGGAAUUAAUUGCCAUAGAUGCAUGUGGCGGGUCCACAGGCAUGCUAUGAUCGAGUUGCAACCAGAUAGAAGCUAAUUUUUUUAAAAUAUUGCAUUUUUAUUCUUUUUGAAAAAUAUUGCGGUAAUUUAAAAAAAUUCAAAAAUAUUGUGGCCUCAUCUUAGGCGUGGCCGACUGGGACUAAUCGGCCUAGCCAAGACCAAUAAGUCCCAAUUGGCCUUGGCUAGGCCGAUAGGCCUAUCAGCCAGCGUUUGGGGGACUAAUCGGCCUUGGCUAGACUAAUUAGUUCCUAUCAGCCUAGCCAAGACCAAUAAGUCCCUAUCAGCCUUACCUUAGGCCAAUAAGGACUAAUUGGUGUUGGCUAAGCCAAUAGGUGCAUGGGAAUUUAUUUUUCAUCUUAGCUAUUUUCCAGGCUCCAUUUCCCGCCCAUAUUCCCCCAAACUUUCCCGCCAUUUCGUUCCCUCCUCCGUUCCCGCCAAUAUUUCCACAUCUCAAUUCCCGCCACCUUUCCCGCCAAAUUUUCCCCAUUUCUUUUCCCGCCACCUUUCCCGCCAAAUUUUGACCCUCUUCUUUCCCGCCAAAAUUUUCCCGCCAAAAUUUCCCUCCUCGUUUUCCUGCCAUCUUCCUGGUCAUCUGAGUCUAUAAAAGGAGGCAUUGGACUGCCUUCCUCCAUCAUCCAACCUCACUUGAGAACACUACCACCGCUUUAGUCAAUAUGAGUUUGCCUUGCUCGGAUCAAAGCAUCAGGCCUAAGAAAAUGAAGAGUGCGAGUUUGCCUCGGGGGGUGGAAGCAGUUCAAUGUUGGUGCGGUGAUCUCUGCAAGGUGAAGGAGGUGACGGAUUUUUCAGAUUGGUUGGGCAUUAAGUUUUUCAUAUGCGCGCCAAUUAUGAAUCUGAUCCACCCGAAUCUAUUUCUGCGUACAUCAGGCCUCCGGUAUGCUCAAGUCAUCCAGAAUAAAUAUGUUGUUGAUAUUAUUGUUUACUUGAUAUUUAAUUUUUUUAUAGUCUCCUCCUCCUCUCUGCAUGUACUAUCGUUGGAUUGACACGGAAAUGCCGGACUGGGCGGUGACCGAGAUUCGUGGAAGAGGUCGCCGUGCAUGGGCUAGCUUGGACUUGGAAGAGAGCCGCACGAAGGCUAAAGCAGAGGAGAAAGCAGCGGAGAAGAAAGAGUGGGAAGAGUACUGUGUGCAGCAGAGGGCUUUUCUUGAUGAGAUGAUUAGAAAAAACCAAGAAGAGAAACUUCGGCUGGUGGAGGUUUACAGACAGCGACAGGAGGCCCGUGAAGCUGAGAGGGAGAGAAAGAGAGAAAGGGCUCGUGCGGCCAAGGCAGCAGAAGAAGCCGGUGAUGGAAAAGGAAAAUAUCCAGGUUGGAAUCAGUAGAUUUGUUUUAUUGUAUCCUAAAAUUGUUGAAUCUUAAAUUCAGCAAGUUGUAUCUUAAUUUCAGCAAGUUGCAUCAGCACGUUGUAUCUUAAUUUCAGCAAGUUGUAUUUUAAUUCCGACAAGGUGUAUCUUACUUUGUUUGUAAUCUCAAGUUCUUGGUAGUAUAUGUGUUAUCCACGAUGAACCAACUGAGCAUAGAAAUAGAUAUGAAUAUGUCUCUUAAAAUACACAUAAGUCUCAUACAUAAAAUACACAUAAGUCUGCAGUGAUACAUAGAAGGGCAAGAGUCUGCUUCACUCACGACGUCUCGGUUAGCGCUCUGGGGUGUGGGAGACGUACUCCAUCCCCACGUGUGGGGGGCCCUAAUGUUACGAGGAGGAAUCUCGGAUCCACCCUGGUCAUAUCGUGUAUCCUGUGUGGGCCAUGGUGGAGGAGUCAAAAACAUGUCCGACCACAUGUUUUGCUGCGAUGGUGGCUCUUCUGGUUCACUCCCUAACCCGGAUCCGGACACCGACGCAUCAUGAUAUGCAUAGGAUCCUGCAGGAGGGACCAUUCCUGUUGGAUGUGGAUGAAACAUGAAACCAGGAGUUGGAUUGUGAUGUUGCGGAGUUGGCUGAAACAUGAAGCUCGACGACGGAGCAUGGUGUUGUGGCUGAUGCCACGCUGAACUGCCAGCCUAGUCAGGUGGGGGUGGAUGUGGCGUCGGUUCCACUCCUUGUAGACGUGGACGCGGCUGAUGUCGAUGCACGGAGUGACGCGACAGCUGCGUAGGCUACAGCUGGUGCUGCACAACAUCUGAAGUGCGGGUGCACGUGAUAGCUCUAUAGAUAUCUCUUAUCCUCUGCUCGAGCCGCUUGACCCAUGGUUGAAUCUGAGACCUAUGUAGCAGAAAAGGUCCAGCUGACAAUUUUCGAUCAAAGUUCAUCACGUCAGUAUGAAGAUUGUAUGCCAACUCACCCUGAAAUUGUCCUUAAGAAUAAUAAGUACGGAUGACAAAGUAAGUAACAACAAGUUAAAUGAGGUAAAGAGAAUAAAUAUUACCGUAUACUGCCUGGAGCCAGAAGUAUCAUAUGUCGGGUACGUAUCAGACGUAUGUGGGUCCGGAAUCUCAUCUGUAUUGGAGUGCUGAACAAUGCGUAAUCGUGUUCCUCAUGUACCCAUCCAAAUAUGCAUUGUAUCCAGCGAUAUCAAAUGCUUCUUGUUCAGGCCACAUACAUUCAGUGGCAGUGUCCCAUUCUGAAACGUAAUCUUGAAGCCUGUUUAGCCACUGAGCCUGUGUCCUGUUGGUUCCCUUCCUUGUCAUCCUGUAAUUUAUAGUGUUGUUUAACCAUAGGACAUAGAGAAAAAAAAUGUAAUAUACCGUUAGUAUAUAAUACCUGUGGACUACUCCUCGCAGCAGGUUCUCUGUAGGCGGCGCAGGAGUCAGCUGCCGAAGACCGAACUGUCUCAUAAUGCUCUGCUACACCAUCUCCUCAACAAAGACAUCGAAGAUAAUCUUCGAUUUCGUCAUCCAGUAAUCCCGAUCUCUCGUGCAUAGCUCAGAAAUACCACCAGGAUAUCUCGAAAUUCUGGCUGCUUCCGUGUACGGUUGCCAAAUAACUCCAGUGUACGUAUCAAACUGCUCAUUUAGUGUAGUGUAGGCUCGCCUAGUCUGUUCACUAGCAUACCGUCUCUGCGCAAGACAUAAGUGAGUUUCAACCAUAGUGUAAACUAAGAAGGUGGAUAACAUUAUACCAGGGACAUCCCUUGCAACGCGUCCAACACAGGCAAAAAGUUGGCAAGUCGACGUUUUCACCAUCAAACAUGUUGCCCACAUGAAAACUUUGGUCCACAUCUAUGUUUGGUCGUCCAAUAGAGAACCUCUCCCAGGACCACGGUUGUAAAAACAGCGGGCAACCAAGAAUGGCCGACUUGGCCGUGGAAAGCUCACAACCGUUGCACAUACCUCGGUAGGUAGCAGCUAAUACCACAGAUCCCCAACUCCUUGGUAUGAUCUGUUCCGGCGUCUCAGCGCUCGCGAUUUCCAGUGCAAUGGGGAUGUAACGCGCACUCAAAGUAGUGGCAUGGUUCUCUGUGAACAUCACCUUCCCGAGAAGCCACAAUAGGUACGCCUCCAGGCUACGAGUAAUCUGUAUAGCACUCAAAGGGACUUGUGGAUAACCUGGAAAUUUCUCGAUCUACAAUCAUGUAAGGAGAAAGAAUUAGUUCAUAACUUGAAGCAUGUGCAUUGAAAGAUAUGCGAGUUAGGAACUAAUCCUGAAAUGUUGUAACCAGUCAUACUUAGGUCCGUGCGCCUCUGACGCCAGUUCCGGAGCCCCAUCAUAUAUAUUGAAGAAACGUGCUGCCAAAGUUUGUUGCCAAUCUGGCAGGUCCUCCAACGGUCCUAUGGCAUUUACCGCCAACGGAAGUCCGAGCAAAAUUGAGACAUCUUCCAAAGUAGGAACCAUCUCACCCCAGCGGAAGUGGAACGUGUGGGUCUCAGGCCUCCAUCGGUCCACUAAGCAAGUGAGCAAAGAAGAGUCAAUGCUGAAGUGCCUCGAUGUCUCAGUGGCCUCAACUAGACGUGCGAAAGGUAAAAGCCCGGCCCAUUUGAGUCUGCAUAUCCACCAAUCAUAAAAUUUAUGUUACUUACAAUGCAUAUUUAAUACAAUGAUUAAAGUUUAAGAUAAAAAUGAAACAUUUACCUUUCAACCCACAUUGGAUGUAUACUCCAGUCCACCUUAGCAGUGCGAGUCACUAGUGGUACGAGCUUCUGCUCACUUAAUAGCGAAGCAUGAUGCUUACUAUCAACGUCCGGAUUAAGAAGAUACAUUCCCUCCAUUGCUAUACAAUACAAAACUUAUUGCAACACAUAGUAUAAAAUUAAAACAUAGUGCUAGUACAAACUUCAAACAUAGUGGUAGUCCAAACUUAAAACAUAGUGGUAGUCCAAACUUAAAACAUAGUGCUAGUACAAACUUAAAUAUAGUGCUAGUACAUAAAUCUUAAACUCUUCCUCCUCCUCUUGCCCUCCCUCUUCCUCCUCUUCUUCCUCGGCUGCCUCGUACACGCCUAGUGCCCCUUGCAGUGACGAAAGUGAGACAAUCAGGAUCCCUAUUCCCAAAUUCAUUACAUAGAAUGCAUUGCACGGUGCGCCCGCCGGUUCAUCCAUGUCAUUUCGGAUGCGCUGACACUGCCGCCUCCCUCUACUUGUACGCAUAUACGCGCCCGCCGGUCUGCUUCGUAAACAUCAUCUCCAGCAUGGGAUGCAUGAAUUGACUGUGAAUCAUGCAUCCCUACACUGCUCUCACCAUACUCAUAGCUACAUUCCACUUCCGGUUCAGUCACCGGCUUUAGCACGGGGAGCAGUAAGCCCACAAGAUGACAUCCCCUAUGCUCGCAAGCUUUUUAACCAGUGCACCCACUGGUCGUCCUGCUCUAUAUGCUUCAAAUACUAGAAAAUAUUUGCACUAGAUCGGAUCCAUAAUGCAUGACCACUGACGGUGUGAGUUUCAAUAUCGAACCCUAAACAUUUGGCCAGCCAUUCUGUCAACUGAUUAACAAACCACGUUUUAGGGGAAGACACUGGCACCUCAACGUACUGAAAUUAACUAAGAUCAGCUCCCAUCUCAUUUGUUCGAACAGUACCACGACCAUAGUGCAAACAUAACUUCACUAAAUCACACAUCUCGGCUGACCUAACAAAUUAUUCAACAAGUAAAAAAUUUAGAAGAAGGACAAACCUAAAUAUAUUUCCCAAAUAUAUCGGAGAACCUAAAAAAAAUGUGAGCUACUUAAUUCACAGGCCUAAAUAUAUCCGAAUGUAACCGGAGAAACUAAAAUUAUUUAAAGUACUAAAUGGUCUUACCUAAAUAUAUCCAAAAAAUUUAAACUAUUUAAUUCACUAAACUAAAUAUACACAAAUAUACUGGAGCACCUAAAAAUAUUGAAACUACUUAAUUCACUAAACUAAAUAUAUACAAAUCUACCGAACCACCUACAAAUAUUUAACCUACUGAAUUCACUUAAUUGAAUAUGUCCUAAACUAAAUAUGUCAUAAUCUACAGGAUCACCUACAAAAUUUUCAACUACUUAGUUCACUAAACAAUUUUUUUUACCCUUAAAGCAUGACGAACGACGAACGACGCUCGACCAACACCGACAAUAAUCACGAACAAGCAACCGACAGCACCACCUCCAACUCCACCGCAACAACCACCUUCACCCACACCUCCACCACCACCACUCCAACCUCCACCUCAACCUCCACCACCACCACCAAAAAAAGCUUGAGAAAAACAACCACGAACUACCCCAUCGCGAGUGAGACAGAUGGUUUUCCUGCCCUGACCUUACACAAUAAAACUACAGUGCAAAAUGUGGGAAAAACGGGUAAGUAAGAGGAAUAGGAGAGUUUUUGUGUGGGGAGAGAAGGAAGGAGGAGAAAGAGAGAAAGGAGAUAAGGAAGAAUGGGAGAAGGAGGAAGGAGGAAGAAGGUGGCAUGGGGGAAGGCCGGGCGCUGACUCUGGUCGGCCACUAAUCGGCCUGGCCCUGGCCGAUUGGUCCAGUCGGCCUACCCGUAGCAGAUUGGGCAAGGUCGACGUGGCGUGGCCACUUAUCGGCUGCCACGUGGCCGACGGGGCCCUUAUCGGCUUCACCUGAGCCAAAAGGCUCUUAUCGGCCGCACGCGGGCCGAUAGGCUCUAGUCGGCCACGCCUAAGUCGAGGCCACGUUAUUUGUGUAAAUUUUGAAAUUUCUGCAUUAUUUUUUAAAAAGAAAAAAUGCAAUAUUUUUAAAAAAAAUAGCCAGAUAGCAUCGGCAUCAAGCUUCAUUGGGACACGGCUCCACGCUUCUCCAGCUUCAUCGACCCGCGGCAUCUCCAGCAUCUCACGAGUGCGCCGUCAAGAAGCAGCAUUUAUGUGGCACAUCUAAUCCAACACGGAGGGGUGCAGCCAGCUGAACAUAUCUACCCUGAGCUGGCCUGCCACAACUGCAUCAACAUCUGCACCGAUCGACACCUCUGCGUCGACCCUAUGCCACUUCAGCUACAUGUACAACUAGCCCGGCUACGAGCCAACACACUUCUUCGACACAACACGGCAUCAACACUUCGUCGCCACGAGGGACGCCUUCAAGCAACGCAUCAUCAUUGACACGCUGCUGCAACGCCAUCAUCGAUACUUCAUCACCAAGGUCUUUAUCAACGUGGUCUUUACCAACAUCUUCCUUAAUACAUCACCGUCGCCUUGUCCAUAAGAAGGACAUCUAAUGUCAUCUCACACAAUUUUAUGCAAGACGCGACCUCGAUGAUAGCAAUGAUCGCGUCACGACGACGACAUUGACCGCGUCAUCCACUGUAAGUGCAUCUAGUGCCCCUUAGUGAUUUUGGUGGUUUGAAGACUUAUAUGUUAAGUAUCUAAUGUGUUCAUCAGUGUACACAUGAUCUAUAAGUCGCUGAGGAGUUUGAAAUAUUCGAUGAAUAUCGACCCCUAAAAAUGUAUAUCUUCGGCUGAAAAAAUUGGUCUGAAGCUGAAGAAUUGAAUCGCGAAGAAAUUGCGAUGAAAUUGAUACUCCUCAUGAAGAAAUUGAAGAUGAGGAAUCCGGUGUGUCCUGAAGAAAAACAAGCUGAAGAUUAUGAAGCAUGAAGAUUUAUUCUGUCUGUUUUAUUUUCUUCACUUUUGAGUCAUAGGAACACCGUACUAUUAAAGGGGGUCAAAGUAACACGUCGGAAUGAAUUUCCUCAUGAUGCUCAACCCAAGCCUAAUCCUACCAAAAGCCUCAAGUGAGGAAAAUGAGAGACAUGAGGACUCUCACACUUGAGGGUCCCGACCGUUACCGCACCUCACGCCACAUCAUUGGUCUUAUCCACACCAACGGUCAUAUUAUUUAAGGGCAUUAAUGUCAAAUCAUGUCGGGAUGCUCCCAGGCUAUAAAUAGCCGCCCCCACAACCAUUAGCUGGUUGGCUGCUCCGUUAGAAACUGACACUUGUCAUAAGAGCAACCCAAAUUCCUCAGAGUCUUCGAGAGUAAUUCGUCAGUGAGAAAAUACCCCAAACACCAAACCACAAACCGAAAAGCAAGUGAUUGAGCAUCACUGAAUAAGUUGUUCCUGUGUGGGACUGAAGCCUUUUACCUCUGACGACUGCGCAUCCUCCAGACGGUUAGGCGUCAUGGCCUAGAGCAAUCCAGCAUUCAAUUGUGGAUCGCCAGGUGACCAAGUUUGUGAGGGUUUGGAAGUCUGCCCUGAAGACUUACCACGAGUGUUGGGCGAGGACUGUGUGUUCUUAGCCCAAGGAGAAUACGGUAGGGACUGUAUGUCCUUUGGUUUCAAUACGAAGCCGCUCCAAACUAGAUGUACAACUGUGAGAGAAGUUGGAACUGGGUCAUCAACCACGGUCUUCACUGUGAAACGGGUUCUAUUUCUUCAACUCUUUAUAUUCCUUAGAUUGUGUGUUGAUGAUUUUCACUAUCACUGUUUGAAGAAUUUGCUGAAGACUUUCUCUUAAAUUCCUCAACUCCAAAUUCUUCACGCGUGUUAAUCCUCAUAUGUUUUCUCCGUGCCUGCAUACUGUGCAAUCUGUUUUUCAUAUUCUUCAUCCUGAAAAACUGUUGUAGUGAUACUUUGCACUCGUGAUCCUUUGCUGUUUCCGCUGCAAGUUAGUCAUCAGUGAGGAAUUUCCUCAAAAGGAAUUUCCCCAGUGAUGAAAUUCUAAAAAUCUCCUAUUCACCCCCCUAUUGUCGAUAUAACGCACUUUCAAUUGGUCUCAGAGCAAGGUACUCCCUUGUUCUAUGUGAUUUUGGUUUAACCAUCUGGAGUUUUAGUUAAGUCGACUGCAGGCAUGAUCAAAGUUACUGCAGCAUGUCCUACUUUCGAAGGAAAGGACUUUCCCUGUUGGAAGACCAAGAUGCAGAUGCAUCUACAAGCUAUUGACAACGAUCUCUGGUAUAUUGUGGAACAUGGCGUCCCUAUCGUCACUGCUACUGUCUCUGCCGCUGAUGUGAAGAAAUUCAAGCAACUUGAUUCUCAAGCGAAGAAUAUCAUAUGUGGCCAUCUGAGCAAGGGCCAGUAGGGCAGAGUAAGUGCUUUGGGAUUAGCAAAACUUAUCUGGGAAAGGCAGUCCAAAGUUAAUGAAGUAGUAUCAACCCAGCGUGAUUCUCGUGUUGAUGUUCUUCGCAAUCUCUUCAAUCGCUUCACGAGGCUUGACAAUGGAAGCUGCCAAGAUACAUUUGAUCGCCUCACUGACAUAUCAAAUGAACUGCAAGCACUGGGAGCUCGAGACAUUACUGAUCACGAAGUCGUGAAGAAACUGCUAAGAUCUUUGGAUUCUUCAUUUGAUACUUUAGUUCUGAUGAUUCAAGAAAGAGCAGACUAUAAGAUGCUUGAUCCAGCUGAUAUACUCGAAAGACUCAAUACUCAUGAAUUCCAACAAGAAGAAAAGAGAGAUAUUUAUGGACCAAGCUAUUCUAGACCACGUGCACUGAAGGCCAAAGCAAUUUCCUCAUCUGAAGAAGAAGACUCGGAUGGUAGCAUUGGUGAUCCCAAAGAAUUUGGACAGGAGCUUGCAAUGCUCGUGAGGAAAUUCCAGAAGUUUACACGACGUGGCCAGUUUGGUAAAUCUUCAAGAAGAGAUAUGAGGAAAUUAGAAUCUUCAUCUGAGGACUACAAGAAAAGAACCUGCCACAAAUGCAAGAAAUGAGGUCACUACAUUGCUGAUUGUCCUCGUUGGGGAAAGGAAUCAAAGAAGAAGAAAUACAAGCAUGAAAGUUCUGAUGACUCGAAGAAAAAGAAGAAAUCUUCAAAAUCCUCAUCUUCAAAGUCCUCAUCGCACAAGAAGACUAGUUUCAGAAAGGCUCGGGCACUUAUUGGCAAGGAAAUGGACUCCAAGGCAGAAUCCGAGGAAUGUGAUGAAGAGGAGGGUUCUGAUGAAGACACAGAAUCCGGACAGGCUAGCCUUGCACUUGCAACCACAUUCGUCAGCAAGUCAAUCUUCAACCUUGAAGAAAAUGAUAACACCAUCCACACUGAUGACUAUGUUGAUGACUUCGCUCCAACCUAUUGCUUCAUGGCAAAAGGUUCAAAGGUACCGAAUGAUGCUUCCUCCUCUGAUUCAAGUGACUGUGAACCUGUUGAUUAUAAAAAACCAAGUUACAGUAAACUUGCUAUCAUUGCCACUAAACAACAAACUGCCGUGGAAAAGCUUCAGAAACUGCUAGAUAGAAGUGAUGAUCUGUUGAAUGAUGAAAUGAAUCUUACCCAAAUCCUCACUGAAGAUAUGAAAAGUGUUUUGUCCAGAUUUGAUAAUCUUCAAGAUCGUCAUGUUACACUCUACGCUGAUCAUGAGAAACUUUCCUAUGAAUUUCUUCAAAGGAAGCUUGAUCUUGAGAAGCUGAGGAUUUCUCAUUAUGAUCUUCGUAUGGAAAAUGAUUCAUUACUAGCUCAACAGAUCAGUACUGCUCAAGCUGAAUUCAUUCCUCCAUGUCUUGAUUGCAUCAAAUGUGAAACUGCUAAUUCUUCACCAGAAUCAUCAUAUGCUUCUAUUGCUACAAAUUCUUCAACUGCUCCUGUAGUCUCAAAUUCCUCACUUGAGGAAACCACAAAUGUCACUGAUGAAAAUGCAGGGCUGAAGGAAUUGUAUGUGACAGGCAUAUACAAAAGUCUCAAAGGACACCAAACCCUUUGUGAUGUGCUCAAAAACCAGAUCUUGAACAGGAACCCGAGGAAAGAAGUAAUUGCCUUUGAGAGGAAAUUGAAUGCUGAUGAAUCUUAUUGGAAACCUGAGUAGUAUCCCAAAACCUCAUGAGUUGCUGCUACUGGGCCUCCUUUUGAUCCAUCCAAUCUAAUAGGAUUUUCAUGUGAAUUAUCCUAUUCCUCACAUGAGUCAUUUGACACCAACUAUAAACUAUUCAAAAAUAAAUCUGGUGAAGUAUUUGCUCGAUAUGUUGGAACUAACUGCAGGAAUGGGCCUCCCCUGAGGAAAAUCUGGGUUCCCAAAAGUUGCCUUGAAAAUCUUCAGGUGAAUGUCCUCAUGACACCACCUAUGAAGAAUUUGAACCCCAUAUCAAAUUCCUCAGGAGGACCAAAGUCUUCAAGACGAUCAAAAGCUUCAACUCGUCAAAACUAUGCCCGUACCCGUGCUAAUGCUUCUAAUAUGCAGGGAAAUUACAAGGAAUAUGAAUAUAAGCGUUAUUCUUCAAAUAAUUAUGUUCAUAAAUCCUAAAAUAAAUUCUCUGCAUAUUCAUUUGAGUACUCUAACCCCUACUGUUAAAAGAAGUGCAUUAGCUUCAAUGCCCCCUUUCUCAUAUGGUGCUCGCAGGAUGAUGAAUGCUUUACCACCCCUUUAGAUGUGGGUGGUGAAGAAAUUGAACUAAUCACUUCUGCAGGUCAGGUCUCUAUAUGAAAAUCAUCAUCUGAAGAAUUUGCUGGAGACCUGAGGAAAAUUCCUGAUAGGACGCAAGCUAAUAUUGAGGAAAUAGAAAUAUUUCACACGUCCUUAUAAUUCUGUUUAUGAUGAAAUUCCUAUCUGAUGAAAUUGAUAUCAUAUUCUUCAAGUUUGAAGCAUAUGAGAUGGUAAGUUGUACUAAUUCAUCCGCAAGAUGACAAACCCAAGAGUAAGGAGUGGGUUCUUGAUAGUGGCUGCACACACCACAUGACUGGUAACAAAAGCUUGCUGAUGAAUAUGCCACUAACUCCAUCACCCCUGAAGAAAAUCACAUAUGGUGACAAAGGUGAAAGCAAGGUAUUGGGACUUGGCAAAGUGGCUAUUUCCAAGGAUAGGCACAUGGACAAAGUAAUGCUUGUUGAAUCCCUUGGAUUUAACCUCAUGUCAGUCUCAAUGCUUUGUGAUCUUGAUAUGAUUGUUAUCUUUGGAAGAUAUAGAUGUGUUGUCAUCAUGGAAUCUGACAGAUCCAAAGUCUUCGAAGGUGUUAGAAGAGGGGAUUUGUACAUUGUUGAUUUCUCUAGAGCUCCUCAACCAGCCACUUGCUUACUAGCAAAAACCUCAGAAGGAUGGCUGUGUCAUCGAAGACUUGGUCAUGUAGGCAUGAGUAAUUUGCACACACUCGCGAAGAAGAAGCAUGUCAUCGACAUUGAAUCAGUCAAAUUCCUCAGGGACCAUAUCUGUGGUGCUUGUGAGUCUGGGAAAAUGACCAGAUCCAAGCACCCCUCGAAGACUAUCAUGACCACUACUUGUCCAUUUGAAUUGCUUCACAUGGAUCUAUUUGGACUUACUCAUUAUGCCACACUAACUAAUGCAACAUCUUUAUAUGGCUUUGUCAUAGUUGAUGAUUAUUCCACAUACACAUGGGUGCAUAUCAUUUUAUAUAAAACUGAAGUGCAGGAUGUCUUCAAACGAUUUUCCUCAAGGGCCUCGACGAAAUUCCGCGUCAAGAUCAAACACAUUAGGAGUGAUAAUGGAACAGAGUUCAAAAACACUGGUCUUGAUAAUUAUCUUGAUGAACUUGGUAUUACUCAUGAAUUGUCUGCUCCUUAUACUCCUCAACAGAAUGGUGUCGUUGAAAGGAAGAACAUGACUCUAUUUGAGAUGGCAAGAAUCAUGCUUGAAGAAUAUCAGACUCCUCGUCACUUUUGGCCCGAAGCAAUCAACACUGCAUGCCAUAUCAUCAACAGGGUAUAUCUUCACAAAUUCCUCAAGAAAACCUCAUAUGAACUCCUCACAGACAAGAAACCCAAUGUAAGUUAUUUCAAAGUCUUCGGUGCAAAAUGUUGGAUUAGAGAUCCUCACCAUAGCUCAAAGUUUGCACCUAAGGCACAUGAGAGUUUUAUGCUCGGUUAUGGAAAGGACUUGCACACCUACAAAGUCUUCAACAACUAUAACAACAAGGUUGUUGAGACUGUAGAUGUGUGGUUCGAUGAAACUAAUGGCUCGCAAAGAGAGAAAUUGCCUCCUAAUCCAGAUAAGUUGUCUCCUGAGGAAGCAAUAAAGCUCAAAGCUACUGAAGACACUGUUCCCACUAAGGAAAUUGAUGAAAAAAUCAUUCCUAGCACUGAUGAAAAACAAGAAGAUGCUCCUGAGGAAAUUGCUCCAGAACCAAUUCCUCAGCCCACACGAAAUCCUCAACCAGCUCAUCCGAGGAUUGCAAAUGAAGUGAAACUUGACAAAAUCCUCAAUGACAUCAACAGGUCCUCUCACUCGCUCAAAAGCUUCACACUUAGUUAACUUUUGUGGGCAUUUUUCCUUUGUGUCUAUCACAGAACCUUCAAAGGUUGCUGGUGCUUUCAUGGAACCGGAGUGGAUCCAAGCCAUGCAAGACAAACUUCUUUCAAUUCAAGCUGAAUGACGUAUGGGAGCUCGUCAAACAACCAGAUCCUCACAAACACAAUAUCAUUGGAAUCAAGUGGAUUUUCCGAAACAAGCAAGAUGACGAUGGUCAAGUGGUGAGGAAUAAGGCACGACUUGUAGCCCAAGGCUACAUACAGGUUGAAGGAAUAGAGUUCGAUGAAACUUUUGCACCUGUUGCUAGACUUGAAGCUAUUUGAAUACUACUUGCUUAUGCUAAUCAUCAUAACAUCAUCUUAUAUCAAAUGGAUGUGAAAAGUGCAUUUCUCAAUGGUAAGCUUGAGGAAGAAGUAUAUGUUGCUCAGCCCCCAGGUUUUGAGGAUCCAAAGAAUCCAGACAAAUUCUUCAGACUCAAAAAGGCGCUCUAUGGUCUCAAGAAAGCCCCUCGGGCAUGGUAUGAUACAUUGAAGGAAUUCCUCAUGAAGAAAGGCUUCAAACCUGGUUCACUCGAUCCAACUCUUUUCACUAAAUCCUAUGAUAAUGAACUAUUUGUGUGCCAGAUAUAUGUCGAUGAUAUCAUAUUUGGUUGUACUGACAAACGUUACAGUGAUGAAUUUGCUUACAUGAUGAGUGAAGAAUAUCAGAUGUCUAUGAUGGGGGAGCUAAAAUUCUUCUUAGGUCUUCAAAUUCGUCAACAACGCAAUGGAAUCUUCAUAUCACAGGAUAAAUACCUCAAGGAUCUGGGGAAACUCGACAUGCAUGAAUGCAAAGGUGCCAAGACUCCAAUGCCUACCAACGGCCACCUCUGCACUAACGAAAAUGGUAAAGAAUUCGAUCAGCAAGUAUAUCGCUCCAUGAUUGGCUCUUUACUGUAUGUGUGUGCAUCUAGGCCAGAUAUAAUGCUUAGUGUUUGUAUCACUACUGGAAUUUAUAAUUUUGCCAUCUGCCAUGGCUGACGGCAAAGGGGGGAACCACGGACGACAAAGUCUUUGCCGUCCGUCAGCAGACGACAAAGUAGACGGCAAAAAAAUCCGAUGAAGAGGUUCUUUGCCGUGUGCUUUUGCAAAGCAGACGGCAAAGAAUCUUUGCCAUGAGGGGGCAGACGGCAAAUUAAAUGGGACGACAGAUCCACCAACGGUCCAGUUAAGUGUUAAAGCAAGGCCUCCCCUCUUUGCCGUCAGCCCUCCCCCCUUUGCCAUGAGGGGGCUGACGACAAAGGGGGGAACCAGCCCCUCUCUCUCCCCUCUUUGUCGUCUGCCCUCCCCCCUUUGCCAUGAGGGGGCUAACGGCAAAGGGGGGAACCAGCCCCUCUCUCUCCCAUCUUUGCCGUCUGCCCUCCCCCCUGUGCCAUGAGGGGGCUGACGACAAAGGGGGGAACCAGCCCCUCUCUCUUCCCUCUUUGCCGUCUGCUCUCCACCCUUUGCCAUGAGGGGGCAGACGCCAAAGGCUGAAAACAACCCCUUUUUAUUUUAUUUCUUAUUAUAUCCAGCAAUUUUCACAAUAAUCAGGAUAUAUAAAUAUAUUUGACAAAAAUAAAUUUGUUUCCGUACUCAUAAGCAUAUUAAAAUAACUUUCAUCCAUGGUACAUACUCCCUCCGUCCCAAANNNNNNNNNNNNNNNNNNNNNNNNNNNNNNNNNNNNNNNNNNNNNNNNNNNNNNNNNNNNNNNNNNNNNNNNNNNNNNNNNNNNNNNNNNNNNNNNNNNNNNNNNNNNNNNNNNNNNNNNNNNNNNNNNNNNNNNNNNNNNNNNNNNNNNNNNNNNNNNNNNNNNNNNNNNNNNNNNNNNNNNNNNNNNNNNNNNNNNNNNNNNNNNNNNNNNNNNNNNNNNNNNNNNNNNNNNNNNNNNNNNNNNNNNNNNNNNNNNNNNNNNNNNNNNNNNNNNNNNNNNNNNNNNNNNNNNNNNNNNNNNNNNNNNNNNNNNNUUUGGGACGGAGGGAGUACAUAUUAUGCAAGUUGGAUCCAUACCAAACCAUAUAUUACACCAGUUUCAUCCACAUGCAUACAAAGUUUCAUAUAUAUCCAUAUACUACAAUAGUUUCAAUACAAGCUUCCGUGAAGCCAUGGUACAAGAAAUCAUAUUCAAGCAUUCCAUCAAUAUAAUCCAAGCCUCCCGUGAAGUGAAUGCAAUCUGCAAAAUGACAAAUAAGAAAGUUAGGAGAAGAAUACUAGAUGAAGCCGUAUAUAUAGGUUAUUUCGGAGAGAACUUAGCUAAGUAUAGGCCAUUUAAUAGCUAUGUUUGGUGGAAUAGGUCAUCUUGGAGCUACAUAGCCUUAUUACGUCAUUUAGGAGAGAACUUAGCUAAGUAUAGGUCAUUCUAGAGCUAACUUGGAUAAAAUAUGUCACUUUGUAGCCAACUAUGAUUAUUAAUCCAUUUUGACCUUAUUACGUCAUUUUGGAGCUAAAUUAGUCAUCUUAAUGAGCUAACCAAGGUUCUUAUGAUGUUUUUACCUAACUAUGCUAAUUAUGUCAUUUUGGAGGAUAAUUAGCUAAGUAUGUCUUUGUUGGGGAAAAUAACCUACGUAGAAGAAGAAAGAGAAGAAGCAAGNNNNNNNNNNNNNNNNNNNNNNNNNNNNNNNNNNNNNNNNNNNNNNNNNNNNNNNNNNNNNNNNNNNNNNNNNNNNNNNNNNNNNNNNNNNNNNNNNNNNNNNNNNNNNNNNNNNNNNNNNNNNNNNNNNNNNNNNNNNNNNNNNNNNNNNNNNNNNNNNNNNNNNNNNNNNNNNNNNNNNNNNNNNNNNNNNNNNNNNNNNNNNNNNNNNNNNNNNNNNNNNNNNNNNNNNNNNNNNNNNNNNNNNNNNNNNNNNNNNNNNNNNNNNNNNNNNNNNNNNNNNNNNNNNNNNNNNNNNNNNNNNNNNNNNNNNNNNNNNCAAGAAGAGAAGAAGAAGGAGAAGAAAAAGAAGAAGAAGAAGAAGGAGGAGGUGAAGGAGAAGGAAGAGGAGAAGAAGAAGAAAAGAAGAAGGACAAGAAGAAGGAGAAGAAGGAAGAAGGCGAAGGACUCCUUCUCCUUCUUCUCCUCCUUCUCCUUCUUCUUCUUCUUCUCUUCUUUUUCUCUUCUUCUUCUUCUUCCUUCUUUUCAUUUUUCCUCUUUCUUCUCCUUUUGUCCCCUUAUUCGGGCUAAAUUAGCUAAUUAUGCCUUUUUGGAGCUAAUUAUGUCAUUUUGAGGAUAAUUAGGUAAGUAUAGGUCAUGUUUUAUUAAAUAGACCAUUUUGGAGCUAAGUAAGCUAAUUAUGUCAUUUAGGUGGAAGCCUAGCUAACUAUAUGUCAUUUCGGAGCUACUUGGGUAAAAUAUGUCAUUCCGGAGCAAACUAUGCUUAUUAAGCCAUUUUGGAUCUAGCUAAGCCAAUUAUAGGCCAUUUAAUACCUAUGUUAGGGGGAAUAGGUCGUCUUGGAGCUAUGUAAGCCUUAUUAUGUCAUUUACGAGAGAACUUAGCUAACUAUAGGUCAUUUUUUUAUUAAAUAGGUCAUUUUGGAGCUAACUAACCUAAUUAUGUCAUUUAGGUGGAAGCUUAGCUAACUAUAGGUUGUUUCAGAGCUCACUUGGGUUAAAUAUGUCAUUUAGGAGCUAACUAUGCUUAUUAAGCCAUAUUGGAGCUAAAUUGGCUAAUUAUAUCAUUUAGGUUGAAGCCAAGCUAAGUAUAUAAUAUUCAUGAGGUAACCAAGGUUCUUAUGCCAUUUUGAGCUUAUUAUUUCAUUUUUUAGCUAAAUUGGUCUAAUGAGCUAACCAAGGUUCUUAUGAUGUUUUCACCUAACUAAGCUAAUUAUGUCAUUUUGUAGGAUAAUUAGCCAAUUUAGUCUUUGUUGGAUGAGUCUAAGCUACGUAGAAGAAGAGAAAGAGAAGAAGCAAGNNNNNNNNNNNNNNNNNNNNNNNNNNNNNNNNNNNNNNNNNNNNNNNNNNNNNNNNNNNNNNNNNNNNNNNNNNNNNNNNNNNNNNNNNNNNNNNNNNNNNNNNNNNNNNNNNNNNNNNNNNNNNNNNNNNNNNNNNNNNNNNNNNNNNNNNNNNNNNNNNNNNNNNNNNNNNNNNNNNNNNNNNNNNNNNNNNNNNNNNNNNNNNNNNNNNNNNNNNNNNNNNNNNNNNNNNNNNNNNNNNNNNNNNNNNNNNNNNNNNNNNNNNNNNNNNNNNNNNNNNNNNNNNNNNNNNNNNNNNNNNNNNNNNNNNNNNNNCAAGAAGAGAAGAAGAAGUAAAAGAAGAAGGAGGAGGAGAAGGAGAAGGAGAAGGAAGAUGAGAAGAAGAAGAAAAGAAGAAGGACAAGAAGCAGGAGAAGAAGGAGAAGGAGCUUCUCUCCUCCUUCUCCUUCUUCUCCUUCUUCUUCCUCCUUCUCCUUCUUCUUCUCUUCUUCUUCUUCUUCUCUUCUUCUUCUUCUUCUUCCUUCUUUUCAUUUUUCCUCUUUCUUCUCCUCUUGUCUCCUUCUUCGGGCUAAAUUAGCUAAUUAUGCCUUUUUGGAGCUAAUUAUGUCAUUUUGAGGAUAAUUAGCUAAGUAUAGGUCAUGUUUUAUUAAAUAGACCAUUUUGGAGUUAAGUAAGCUAAUUAUGUCAUUUAGGUGGAAGCCUAGCUAACUAUAGGUCAUUUCGGAGCUAACUUGGGUAAAAUAGGUCAUUCCGGAGCAAACUAUGCUUAUUAAGCCAUUUUGGAUCUAGCUAAGCUAAUUAUAGGCCAUUUAAUACCUAAGUUAGGGGGAAUAGGUCAUCUUGGAGCUACGUAAGCCUUAUUAUGUCAUUUAGGAGAGAACUUAGCUAACUAUAAGUCAUUUUUUAUUAAAUAGGUCAUUUUGGAGCUAACUAAGCUAAUUAUGUCAUUUAGUUGGAAGCCUAGCUAACUAUAGGUCAUUUCGGAGCUCACUUGGGUUAAAUAUGUCAUUUAGGAGCUAACUAUGCUUAUUAAGACAUAUUGGAUCUGAAUUGGCUAAUUAUAUCAUUUCGGUGGAAGCCAAGCUAAGUAUAUAAUACUCACCAUGAAAAGUCCACACCGUAUAAUUAGGCGUAAAACCCCACUUCUGCAGGUGUUUACCCAUUUCAAACUCUGUCUGCUUUUUCCAGUCGUCACAGUUGGGACAGGGACACAAUGUUUUUGCUGGCCAUUUGCAAAUGCGGCUCUCACAAACCCCGUGGUUUUUGUUAACCAUUCAUGGGUCAUGUCUUUCUGAAUAGGGUGACCAGUGUACAUCCAAGCACGAUCACUCAUGUUGCCUAGCUACCUAUGGGCGCACAAGAAAUAAAUAUAUAAUUCAUCAUCUAUAUUCAUACGCUAAUCAAGUUUGUCAGUUUUAUUACGUCCAUGCAACCUACACGCUAAUAGUUAAAGAUAGGUCCUAAUCCCACCCGAGUAUGUGUAGAUUGGGUUCGUUUUCCCAUGCUCUGCUCCAGAUGCGACGCAGAAUUUCGACAGCACCUCCCCGCUGUUCUCCUGAUACACGUCUUGGGAAUAAGCAGAGAGGAUGUGUACCCGGAGAACAACAGGGAGGCACUGACGAAAUUCUGCAUCGGAUCCAGAGCACAGCAUAGAGGAAAACGAACCCAAUCUACACAUACUCGGGNNNNNNNNNNNNNNNNNNNNNNNNNNNNNNNNNNNNNNNNNNNNNNNNNNNNNNNNNNNNNNNNNNNNNNNNNNNNNNNNNNNNNNNNNNNNNNNNNNNNNNNNNNNNNNNNNNNNNNNNNNNNNNNNNNNNNNNNNNNNNNNNNNNNNNNNNNNNNNNNNNNNNNNNNNNNNNNNNNNNNNNNNNNNNNNNNNNNNNNNNNNNNNNNNNNNNNNNNNNNNNNNNNNNNNNNNNNNNNNNNNNNNNNNNNNNNNNNNNNNNNAAUCUACACAUACUCGGGCUGUCCAUGGAUAAUGUUGGACAAUUCGAAAGGAUGGCGGUUAUAAAUAUGCAAAUAAAUGCAUAUGUAUAGAUGUCACCCUUUCGAACGGGAGACGCAUACUGGUCACACAUACUCAUGAUUGAAGAAACAUAUAGCUAGAAAGUUUCAUCGGCACGAAGACCAGGACAGAGGAAAUUAAGGGGGUAGGAGGAGAAGUCAUUUGUUCUCACCAACAAACGCAAGGAUGGAGCUCGUCCAACGCACGUGGAGGUCAUCGAAUAACUGCACAUUGAAAUUCACACGAUCAACACAAAUAUGAUGUUUUUAUAAUUAACAUAAUCGGAAAAUAUGUGACCUAACUCAUAAUUUACAAAACUAUGACCCCGUGGGCCUCUAGAAGGCCGAAAAGCACCUUCUCGUUCAACAGUGACUAGAAGAGGUGUCGGGGGACGGGGCUUAGUGGCGUCAAGGGUCGCUGGUGUCGGGUGUCGGUGGUCGGGAGUCGGGUUAAAUGCGUCGAUGGUCGGGGGUCAGUGUCGUCGGGGGUCGAGGGUCANNNNNNNNNNNNNNNNNNNNNNNNNNNNNNNNNNNNNNNNNNNNNNNNNNNNNNNNNNNNNNNNNNNNNNNNNNNNNNNNNNNNNNNNNNNNNNNNNNNNGAUCUUGCAAGUUGUAGUUAUCUACUAUGUGUUAUGACCCGGCAACCCCGGAGUGACAAUAACCGGAACCACUCCCGAUGAUGACCCUAGUUUGAGGAGUUCAUGUGUUCACCAAGUGCUACUGCGUUGGUCCGGUUCUUUAUUAAAAGGAGAACCUUAAUAUCCCAUAGUUUCCUUUUGGACCCCGCUGUCACGGAAGGGAUGGACAAUAGAUGUCAUGCAAGUUCUUUUCCCUAAGCACGUAUGACGACACACGGAAUGCAUGCCUACAUCACAUUGACGAACGGGAGCUAGCCACAUAUCUCUCCGUGUUAUAACUGUUGCAUGAUGAAUAUCAUCCAAACAAAUCACCGACCCAUUGCCUACAAGUUUGUCCCACUGCUGCUGUUACUUGUUUUGCUCUGCUGCUGUUACUACUGUUGCUGCUGCUAUUACUUGCUCUGCUGUUACUUGCUACUCUUGCUACUUGCUACUGCUGUCACCACUGCUGUUCCUUGCCACUACUGCUACUCGUUACAUUGAUGUUACCUGCUACAAUUCUGGUUCGCUCGGCGUUGANNNNNNNNNNNNNNNNNNNNNNNNNNNNNNNNNNNNNNNNNNNNNNNNNNNNNNNNNNNNNNNNNNNNNNNNNNNNNNNNNNNNNNNNNNNNNNNNNNNNGUUUGGGUCUUGUCCAUCACAUCAUUCUCCUAAUGAUGUGAUCCCAUUAUCAAGUGACAACACUUGCCUAUGGCCAGGAAAUCUUGACCAUCUUUGAUCAACAAACUAGUCAACUAGAGGCUCACNNNNNNNNNNNNNNNNNNNNNNNNNNNNNNNNNNNNNNNNNNNNNNNNNNNNNNNNNNNNNNNNNNNNNNNNNNNNNNNNNNNNNNNNNNNNNNNNNNNNNNNNNNNNNNNNNNNNNNNNNNNNNNNNNNNNNNNNNNNNNNNNNNNNNNNNNNNNNNNNNNNNNNNNNNNNNNNNNNNNNNNNNNNNNNNNNNNNNNNNNNNNNNNNNNNNNNNNNNNNNNNNNNNUCAGUCUCCCACUUGCACUAGAGUCAAUAAUCUAGUUCACAUCACCAUGUGAUUUCAACGAAUCCAACACCCAUAUAGUUCUGGGGUCUGAUCACGUCUUGCUCGUGAGAGAGGUUUUAGUCAACGGUUCUGAAUCUUUCAGAUCCAUGUGUGCUUUACAAAUCUUUAUGUCAUCUUAUAGAUGCUGCUGCUACGUGCUAUUCGGAAAUAUUCGAAUUAUCUACUAUAUGAAUCCGUUUUACUACUCAUAGUUAUUCGGAUUAGUGUCAAAGCUUGCAUCAACGUAACCCUUUACGACGAACUCUUUAACCACCUCCAUAAUCGAGAAAAAUUCCUUAGUCUAUUAGUUACUAAGGAUAACUUUGACCGAUGUUCAGUGAUUCAAUCCUGGAUCACUCUCUGUACCUCUUAACAGACUUGUGACAAGGCACACAUCAGGUGCGGUACACAGCAUGGCAUACUGUAGAGUCUACGACUAAGGUUUAGGGGACGACCUUCGUCCUUUCUCUUUCUUCUGCCGUGGUCGGGCUUUUGAGUCUUACUCAAAUUCACACCUUACAACACAACCAAAAACUCCUUCUUUGUUGAUCUAUCUUGAACUCCCUCAGAAACUUGUCAAGGCAUGUAUUUUGUUGAAACUUCUAUUAAGCGUUUCUAUCUAUCUCCAUAGAUCUUGAUGCUCAAUGUUCAAGUAGCUCAAUCCAGGUUUUCCUUUGAAAACCCCCUUUCAAACAACCUUUAUGCUUUACAGAAAUUCUACAUUACUUCCGAUCAACAAUAUGUCAACCACAUAUACUUUAUCAGAAAUACUAUAGUGCUCCCACUCAGUUCUUUGGAAAUACAAGUUUCUCAUAAACCUUGUACAAACCCAAAAGCUUUGAUCAUCUCAUCAAAGCGUAUAUUCCAACUCCGAGAUGCUUGCACCAGUCCAUAAAAGGAUCGCUGGAGCUUGCAUACUUUUUAGUAUCCUUAGGAUUGACAAAACCUUCUGAUUGUAUCACAUACAAUCUUUCCUCAAGGAAACCGUCGAGGAAACAAUGUUUUGACUUCCUAUGUGCAAUAUUUCACAAAUAAUGCAGAAACUACUAACAUAAUUCCAACAGACUUUUAGCAUCGCUAUGAGUGAGAAAGUCACAUCAUAGUCAACUCUUUGAUCUUGUUGAAAACAUUUGUGCGAUAAGUCGAGCUUUUCUUAAUAUUGACUUAUCACCAUCAUCGUCUGUCUUCCUUUUAAAGAUCCAUCUUUACUUAAUAGUCUUACUACCAUCAAGUAGUUCUUCUAAAGUCUACACUUUGUUUUAUACAUGGAUCCUAUCUCGGAUUUCAUGGCCUCCACCCAUUUGUCGGAAUCUGGGCCCACCAUUGCUUCUCCAUAACUCGUAGGUUCAUUGUUGUUCAACAACAUGACCUCCAAGACAGGGUUACCGUACCACUCUGUAGUAGUGCGCGACCUUUUUCGACCUAUGAGGUUUGUAGUAACUUGAUCUGAAGCUCUAAUGAUCACCAUCAUCAGCUUCCACUUCAAUUGGUGUAGGCGCCACAGGAACAUCUUCCUGCUCCCUGCUACACACUGGUUGAAGUGAAGGUUCACUAACCUCAUCAAGUUCCACCACUCUCCCACUCAAUUCUUUCGAGAGAAACUUUUCCUCGAGAAAGGACCCGUUUCUAGAAACAAACACUUUGCUUCCGGAUCUGAGAUAGGAGAUGUAUCCAAUUGUUUUGGAUAUCCUAUGAAGAUGCAUUUAUCCGCUUUGGGUUCGAGCUUAUCAGACUGAAACUUUUUCACAUAAGCGUCACAGCCCCAAACUUUCAAGAAAUGACAGCUUAGGUUUCUCCAAACCAUAGUCUAUAGUGUGUCAUCUCAACGGAAAUACGCGGUGCCCUAUUUAAAGUGAAUGCGGUUGUCUCUAAUGCAUAACCCAUAAACGAUAGUGGCAAUUCGAUAAGAGACAUCAUAGUAUGCAACAUAUCAAAAUAGGGCGUGGCCAUGACAUUCGGACACACCAUCACACUAUGGUGUUCUAGGUGGCAUGUAUUGCGAAACAAUUUCAACAUUGUCUUAACUGUGUACCAAAACUCGCAACUCAGAUAUUCAUCUCUAUGAUCAUAUCGUAGACAGUUUAUCCUCUUGUCACGAUGAUCUUCACUCUAAAAUAGCUUUGAACUUUUCAAUAUUUCAGACUUGUGAUUCAUCAAGUAAAUACUCCUGUAUCUACUCAAAUCGUCAGUGAAGUAAGAACAUAACGAUAUCCACUACAUGCCUCAGCACUCAUUGGACUGCACACAUCAAAAAUGUAUUACUCCCAAUAAGUUACUCUCUUGUUUCAUGUGGCAUGAUUUGCACGUCUCAAGUGAUUCAAAAUCAAGUGAGUCCAAACGAUCCAUCUCUAUGGAUCUUCUUCAUGCAUUUAUACCAACAUUACUCAAGUGGCAGUGCCACAAGUAAGUGGUACUAUCAUUAUUACUUUGUAUCUUUUGGCACCAAUAUUAUGAACAUGUGUAGCACUACAACCGAGAUUCAAUAAACCAUUGAAGGGUAAUUAUUCAAGCAAAUAGAACAACUAUUAUUGUCUUUGAAUGAAUAAUCAUAUUGCAAUAAACACGAUCCAAUCAUGUUCAUGUUCAACGCAAACACCAAAUAACAAUUAUUUAGGUUUUACCACCAAUCCCGAUGAUAGAGGGAGCGUGCGAUGUUUGAUCACAUCAUCCUUGGAAACACUUCCAACACUUAUCGUCACCUCGCCUUUAGCUAGUCUCCGUUUAUACCGUAGCUUUCAUUUCGAGUUACUAAUCACUUAGCAACCGAACCGGUAUCCAAUACCCUCGUGGUACUAGGAGUACUAGUAAAGUACACAUCAAUAUCAUGUAUAUCAAAUAUACUUCUGUCGACUUUGCCAGCCUUCUUAUCUACCAAGCAUCUAGGGUAGCUCCACCUCAGUGACCGUUCCCCUCAUAACAGAAGCACUUAGUCUCGGGUUUGGGUUCAAUCCUGGGUUUCUUCAUUAGAGCAGCAACUGAUUUGUCAUUUCAUGAAGUAUCCCUUCUAGCCCUUGCCUUUCUUGAAACUAGUGGUUUUACUAACCAUCAACAAUUGAUGCUCCUUCUUGAUUUCUACUCUUGCAGUGUCAAACAUUGCGAAUCGCUCAAGGAUCAUCAUAUCUAUCCUUGAUAUGUUUAUAGUUCAUCACGAAGCUCUAGCAGCUUGGUGGCAGUGACUUUGGAGAACCAUCACUAUCUCAUCUGGAAGAUUAACUCCCACUUGAUUCAAGCGAUUCUUGUACUCAGACAAUCUAAGAACAUACUCAAUAAUUUGAGUUUUCUCCCCUACUUUUUAGACAAAGAAUCUUGUCGGAGGUCUCACACCUCUCAACAAGGGCACGAGCAUGAAAUCUCAAUUUCAUCUCCUAGAACAUCUCUUAUGUUCCCCGACGUUUCAAAACGUCUUCGGCGCCUUGCUUCUAAGCCAUUAAGUAUAACACACUGAACUAUCACGUAGUGAUCAAAACGUGUAUUUCAGAUGUUCGCAACAUCCACAGACGACGCUCGAGGUGCAGCACACCCAGUGGUGCAUUAAGGACAUAAGCCUUCUGCGCAGCAAUGAGGACAAUCCUCAGUUUUACGGACUUAGUCCGUAAAGUUGCUACUAUCAAUUUUCAACUAAAUUUCUCUAGGAUCAUAUAAAAAUAGUAGAGCUAUAGCGCAAGCUACAUCAUAAUUCGCAAAGACCUUUUGACUAUGUUCAUGAUAAUUAGAGUUUAACUAAUCAAAUUACUUAAUAAACUCCCACUCAAAAAGUACAUCUCUCUAGUCAUUUGAGUGGUACAUGAUCCAAAUCCACUAACUCAAGUCCGAUCAUGACGUGAGUUGAGAAUAGUUUCAGUGGUAAGCAUCUCUAUGCUAAUCAUAUCAACUAUACGAUUCAUUCUCGACCUUUCGGUCUCUUGUGUUCCGAGGCCAUGUAUGCACAUGCUAGGCUCGUCAAGUUUAACCCGGGUGUUCCGCGUGUGCAACUGCUUUGCACCCGUUGUAUGUGAACGUUGAGUCUAUCACACCUGAUCCUCAUGUGGUGUCUCGAAACGAAGAACUGUCGCAACGGUGCAUAGUCGGGGAGAACACAAUUUUGUCUUGAUUUUAGUGAGAGAUCACCUCAUAAUGCUACCGUCAUUCUAAGCAAAAUAAGGUGCAUAAAAGGAUUAACAUCACAUGCAAUUAAUAAGUGACAUGAUAUGGCCAUCAUCUUGUGCUUCUUGAUGUCCAUCACCAAAGCACCGACACGAUCUUCUUGUCACCGGCGCCACACCAUGAUCUCCAUCAUCAUGAUAUCCAUCAACGUGUCGCCAUCGAGGUUGUCGUGCUACUUAUGCUAUUACUACUAAAGCUACGUCCUAGCAAUAUAGUAAACCCAUCUGCAAACACAAACAUUAGUUUAAAGACAACCCUAUGGCUCUUGUCGGUUUCCAUACCAUCGACGUGCAAGUCGAUAUUAACUAUUACAACAUGAUCAUCUCAUACAUCCAAUAUAUCACAUCACGUCAUUGGCCAUAUCAUAUCACAAGCAUACCCUGCAAAAACAAGUUAGACGUCCUGUAAUUUGUUGUUGCAUGUUUUACGUGACUGCUAUGGGUAUCUAGUAUGAUCGCAUCUUACUUAUGCAAAAACCACAACAGAGAUGUGCAAAUUGCUACUUAACCUCUCCAAGGACCGCCUCGGUCAAGACCAAUUCAACUAAAGUUUAAGGAACCGACACCCGCCAGUCAUCUUUAUGCAACGAGGUUGCAUGUCAAUCGAUGAAACCAGUCUUUCGUAAGCAUACGAAUAAAGUUGGUCCGGACCCCUUCAAUCCAACAAUACCACCGAAUCAAGAAAAGACUAAGGAGGGCAGCAAAUUGAACAACACCCUCCACAAAACCCUUUGUGUUCUACUCGAGAUAACAUCUACGCAUGAACCUAGCUCAUCAUGCCACAGUUGGUUACGUUGCAUGGGAAACAAAAAAAUUCCUACGCACACGAAGACCUAUCAUGGUGAUGUCCAUGUACGAGAGGAGAUUUGGAUCUACGUACCCUUGUAGACCGCACAGCAAGAAGCGUUAAGAAACGCGGUUGAUGUAGUGGAACGUCUUCACGUCCCUCGAACCACCCCACGAACCAUCCCACGAUCCGUCCUACGAUCCGUCCCGCGAUCCGUCCAAUGAACCGUCCUGCGAUCCGUCUUACGAACCGUCUUGCGAUCCAUCUUCAUGAUCCGUUCCGAUCUAGUGCCGAACGGACGACACCUCCGCGUUGAGCACACGUACAGCUCGAUGACGAUCUCCACCUUCUUGAUUCAGCAAGAGGGGGCGGAGAGGUAGAAGAGUUCUCCGGCAGCGUGACGGCGCUCCGGUGGUGGUCAUGAUCUAAUCGUGCAGGGCUCCGCCCGAGCUCCGCAGAAAUACGAUCUAGAGGAAGAACUACGGUGUCUAGAUCUGAGUUGCACGUGGCAAAAAGUUGUCUCAAAUCAGCCCUAAAUCACCACUAUAUAUAGGAGGGAGGGAGGGGAGGAGGCAGCCUCAAAACCUCAAGGUUUGGCCGAAAUUGGAGGUGGAGGAGUCCUACUCCAAUCCUACUUGGAGUAGGAUUCCACCUUCCCACUUGGAAACUCUUUCCACCUUGUGUUUUUUCCUUCUCAAACCUUAUGGGCCUUAGUGGGAACUUAUUCUAGCCCACUAGGGGCUGGUUUAUCUCUUCCCAUAGCCCAUGAUACACCUUGGGGUGUAACACCCCUCCCGAUAGUCCCCGGCACCCCUCCCGGCACUCCCGGUACACUACCGAUGAGCCUGAAACUUUUCCGGUGACCAAAACAUGACUUCCUAUAUAUUAAUCUUUACCUACGGACCAUUCCGGAGCUCCUCGUGACAUCCUGGAUCUCAUCCGGGACUCCGAAUAACUUUAGGUUACCAACACCUAUAACUCAACUAUACCGAAACAUCACCGAACCUUAAGUGUGCAGACCCUGCGGGUUCGAGAACUAUGCAGACAUGANNNNNNNNNNUGUUAUGGGCCUUAGUGGGAACUUAUUCCAGCCCACUAGGGGCUGGUUUAUCUCUUUCCAUAUCCCAUGAGACCCCUUGGGGCGUGACACCCCUCCUGAUGGUCUCCGGCACCCCUCCCGGCACUCCCGGUACACUACCGAUGAGCCCGAAACUUUUCCGGUGACCAAAAAAGGACUUCAUGUAUAUUAAUAUUUACCUCCAGACCAUUCUGUAGCUCCUCGUGACGUCUUGGAUAUCAUCCGGGACUCCGGACAACUUUCGGUUACCAACACCUAUAACUCAACUAUACCGAAACGUCAUCAAACCUUAAGUGUGCAGACCCUGCGGGUUCGAGAACUAUGCAGACAUGACCCGAGACACUCUCCGAUCAAUAUCCAAUAGCGGGACCUGGAUGCCCAUAUUGGAUCCUACAUAUUCUACAAAGAUCUUAUCGGUUGAACCUCUAUGUCAAGGAUUCAGUUAAUCCCGUAUGAUGUCCCCUCGGUCCUUCGGUAUGUUACCUACCCGAGAUUCGAUCGUCGAUAUCUUCAUACCUAGUUCAAUCUCGUUACUAGCAAGUCUCUUUACUAGUUACGUAAUACAAGAUCCCGUAACUAACUCAUUAGUCACAUUGCUUGNNNNNNNNNNGAAGAUCUUAUCGAUUGAACCUCGAUGUCAAGGAUUCAGUUAAUCCCGUAUGAUGUUCCCUUUGUCCUUCGGCAUGUUACCCACCCGAGAUUCGAUCGUCGGUAUCUUCAUACCUAGUUCAAUCUUGUUACUGGCAAGUCUCUUUGCUCGUUACGUAAUACAAGAUCCCGUAACUAACUCAUUAGUCACAUUGCUUGCAAGGCUUGUUGUGAUGUUGUAUUACCGAGUGGGCCUCGAGAUACCUCUCCGUUACACGGAGUGACAAAUCCCAGUCUUGAUCCAUGCCAACCCAACAGACACCUUCGGAGAUACUUGUAGAGCACCUUUAUAGUCACCCAGUUAUGUUGUGAUGUUUGAUACACACAAGGUAUUCCUCGAGUGUCCGGGAGUUGCAUGUUCUCAUGGUCAUAGGAACAGAUACAUUGACAUGCAGAAAACUGUAGCAAUAAACUAACACGAUCAUAUGCUACGUUUAUAGUUUGGGUCUUGUCCAUCACAUCAUUCUCCUAAUGAUGUGAUCCCAUUNNNNNNNNNNNNNNNNNNNNNNNNNNNNNNNNNNNNNNNNNNNNNNNNNNNNNNNNNNNNNNNNNNNNNNNNNNNNNNNNNNNNNNNNNNNNNNNNNNNNUUUCUAGAUCCACAACACCUUACUAGCAUGACUUCAAUAUUACCAAAACCACAACUCAAAACUAAUUGAGAUGAAUCAAACUUCCCUAACUAUUCAAUGCACAUGAAGGUGGAAGUUUUCGUAUCCCUUUGGAUAACUACCCCUUUUGAGACUACUUUCAAAGCAUAGAUCAACUACCAAGCCACGCACCGCUGUGCUCUAAAAUAUAUAAGUGAAGCACAUAGAGCAAAAGUAUCUAGCUCAAAAGAUAUAAGUGAAGCACAUGUGAGCUGAAUUGUCUACCAAAAGAUAUAAGUGAAGCUCGACAAAAUCACGGUGAGUGCAUGUCUGUCUCUCUAGGUGUGAAGCAAGGAUGAUUGUGACACAACAAAAAGAAAAGAAUCCUACGAUACAAGACGCUCCAAGCAAAAACACAUAACAUGUGGUGAAUAAAAAUAUAGCCCCAAGUAACAUUACCAAUGGAUUGAAGACGAGAGAGGGGAUGCCUUCCCGGGGCAUCUCCAAGGUUAGGCUUUUACGGCAUCCUUGAAUCUAUUGGGGUGCCUUGGGCAUCCCCAAGCUUGAGCUCUUGCCACUCUUUAUCUCUUUGUCCAUAAGAACUUCACCCAAAACUUGAAAACUUCACAACACGAAACUUAAACAUAAACUCGUGAUAACAUUAGUACAAGAAAGCAAACCACCACUUCCUUAGGUACUGUAGCAAACUUAAAUUCUACUUGUGCUGAUGUUGGGUUACUGUAAUUUCAAUCCUCCAUGGCUAAUACCCCCCGAUACUAUCCAUAGUUUCAGCAAAAUAAGCAACCAACACAACAAAAACAGAAUCUGUUAACAGCAGACCAGUCUGUAGCAAUCUGUAUAUUUCGUAUACCUCUGCUACCUCAAAAAUUCUGAAAAAUUACUACACUCUUAAGAAUGUGCGUAGAAAUCAGAAUAAAAAAGAAUCAACUCAAAAUAUCUUAUAGAAAUAAAAUGAAAAUUCUUUUCGUGAGCGGAAAGUUUCUGUCUUUUCCAGCAUGACCAAACGAUCAUCCCCAAGACUAAUCAUAACGGUUUUGCUUGGCGCAAACGCAAAAAGAAACACAAAAACACAAUCAUAACAGAAUUAUGAAAGUGUGGAAAACACAAAACAUAAAGAAAAAGGAUAAAUUCGUUGGGUUGCCUCCCAACAAGCGCUUUUGUUUAANNNNNNNNNNNNNNNNNNNNNNNNNNNNNNNNNNNNNNNNNNNNNNNNNNNNNNNNNNNNNNNNNNNNNNNNNNNNNNNNNNNNNNNNNNNNNNNNNNNNUUGAUGUAGAAGCCCUCCAACUCCAAAGUCCCCUCCGGCAGGGCACCGGGAAGGGUCUCCAAAUGAGAUCUCGCAGAAACAGAAGCUUGCGGAGGCGGAAAAGUAUUUUCGUGGAUCCCUUGAUUUUUUUCUUCUGAUUUUUAGGGAAUAUAUAGGCGCAAGAUCUAGGUCAGGGGGGCGCGAGGGAGGCCACAAACCUGCCCACCGCCGCCCCCUGGUGGCGGAGAGGGGGCUUGUGGGCUCCCUGUAGCCCUCCUGGCUUGGCCCACAAGCCCCCUGAUCUUCUUCCGUUCGGGAAAAAAUCAUUUCGGGGAUUUUAUUCCAUUUGGACUCCGUUCCAAAAUCAGAUCUGAAAAGAGCCAAAAACACAGAAAAAACAGGAAUUGACACUUGGCACUGAAUUAAUAAGUUAGUCCCAAAAAAAUAUAUAAAAGGUACAUAAAACAUCCAGAGAUGACAAGAUAACAACAUGAAACCAUCAAGAAUCCAAAGAUGUCUGAGACGUAUCAUAGACAUGCCCCGAGGUACUCAUCGGUCAAUAUCCAAUAGCAGGACCUGGAUGCCCAUAUUGGAUCCUACAUAUUCUCCGAAAAUCUUAU
rnacentral:lncRNA from 1 species